GGGGAGCUGCGGUAAGGCCGGAUCCGGCGGCAGGGCCAGCGAGGUCGGGGAUGGCGCUACAGAUUGUCGAACCUGGCAUCUCGCCUCCGCCACCAAUUCUGCCUCGUGGCCGCCGGUGCCGGGGAGGAGAGAACCGGAAGGGAAGGCGUGGUUCAGGAAGAGAAACGGCAGAGAGGAGGAAGCGAGAGAGUCGGGACUAGGGAGGAGAAACGAGGCAGAUGGCGGCGGGGGCUGGAUGCUGGGGAGACGAGAGGGUGCGUCUAGGGUUAGGACGGUGUUUAUAGCCAGGAGCGGGCGGGAUACGAAAAAAUUGGAAAGGAGUGGAGGGAAGACGCGGCGGGAUAGCCAAAAUUAUAUAUUUGGUGGAAAUUCCUGUACAGGUUACACGUUUUGUUUUUUAUUUUAAGAUUUUAAAUAAAAUGUUUAUUUCGAACCAAUGUGAACUAAGCAGUAUCCACGAGGAUUUUUAUUUUAAACAAUUAUAUAGUUACAUUCAUAGUCGCACGUGUUGUCUUUCAUUCUUCUCUCGUAUACAAUUGUGAUCGGAAAGAUAAUUAGUACUUUUGAAUACUAACACCAGAUCCGAUAAUCGUGGAUGGAUGCGGACGGGCGAUUCCCUCCCUUCUCCGCGCUCCUUCCAGUGGUGGACAUAGGAUUUUUGUUUAGGGUGAGGCGACUAAAUUUUUUUUAGGUUCAGUACUGUGAAUUAUCAAUCAAUGUAAGGCAACAUCUAAUGAUCUCAAUUCUCAAUUCCGACAAAAUCAAUCAAUGUAAAGCAACAUCUAAUAAUCUCAAUUCUCAAUUCCCACAAAGCACAUCUUAAGUUAGGCUUGAAAGCUUCAGAAUGAACAAGAUUGGAACUUUGGAAGUGUCCUGCUAUGCCCGAUGACGGCGUGGCCGCCUUGGAACACUCCUUUUCAGUGCUGCACCUACUGCUUGCCUUCUCCUCGCGUCCUGCUCAGCUCUACAGGUGCGGCAGCGCCUCUCGCCUGGCCGAAACUUUGAUUUCAUGGGGAAUUGGACAGCAGGGAAUUGGGGAUUUGGGAGUUGUAGUCAUAAAGGCACAGCAGUAGGGAGAGACGAAGCGUUGCGGCGCUACUCGGGGGUGCGUACGAUGCCCUUGCGAAGACGGAACGCCCGUGCAGUUAGUAGCGUACAAUUCGGCCUGUUGGUUGUUGGGCUGCAGCUUUUGAACCGAGCAAUUGGGUUUUUCUAUUUUUUCCUUUUUGUUAACAAUAAUUUGUGAACAUGUGCCGGGUUCUUAGGGUGGUCCACGCCCCACCAUGCCACCAUGCUGGCUCCGCCACUGGCUCCUCCUCUCGCCACCGCACGGGACGCUGCGAUGGUGCCGGUGCCAGCGAGAGCGAGGUCGAGGGGGCGCAUGGAGGCGGCUCCAACGAGGAGGGCCAUCCUCCUGGGCUUCGAGGACGGCCAUGGGAGCCUGUUGUUUUGCCUUUGCAUUGGUGCUCCUCACGGCUGUGAUGAUCCAGGCCAAGCUAACUAAGGCGGCAAGGAGGUGGGAGCUGGGCUCCUUAUGGUGGUGAUUCAUUUGGCGGCGAUGCAGGUGGUCCUGAUCCGCACUAUUACAGUGGGGAUGGUGGUGGUGCUGUUGCCUAUGGUCGUGGUACACGAGGCUGAGUGCCAUAUUUUUUUGCUGGAUGGUGGUGGAAGCAUCGUGCUUCGACGGGUUUGCAGAUUGUUCUCCGUGACUUGUCGUGCUGCGAUGGCUGAUCUGGGGUCUCAGCUUUUGGCCUGGGGUCGUGAUGUGAUGAUGGUACUGAUAGUGUCGUACCAGUGGCCCACGGGGUCCCACUGAUACUGGACGCGUGGGUCGCCUCUGAAGGGGCCACAUCAGGAAGGACUCCCGGGAAGUACCGAGCCCACGAAGCCUGCCUCAAAGGGACGGCCCCCAGUGAAGAAAAAACUAGGAGCCAAGUACGGAGCGCUCCCGGGGACCCCAACCCCGGGAAGUCAUAGGAAGGCCACUCGGCAACUAGCGGAUGCGCUAGCCGGGAGGGUGCACCUCGGCAACCCGCGCUCGGGCAUGCAAGCGGGACCCGCAGAACAGUGAAGACAGGACAAGACUGCGGGCGCACUGCAUUUAAUGCACCGACAGGAGUCUUAUCAGCAGGCCUAGUCUUGUUUAGCAAGGCUAGAACGGUCGCCCUAAGAGCUACUUUUUCUACUGUAUACAGUAGGAUGGGCGUUGCAUGGCGUCCAGCGUGGAUGAACAAAUUUGUAUUUCGUGUGGGCGUGACACGCGUCUAGCUAACGUGUCACGCUGCACACCGCGACACCUGUGGUAUCCCCUUGCAUAUAAAAGGAGGACCAAUGCCACCGAAAAAGGGUUCCGACUCAAGUAAUUAGAACACAUCGUAGUAUUCACCUAAGUAGCCAGUCCGGGAACCCCCCGAGCGAUCUGUACACUCUUAAACUUGUGAAUAUAACAAAAAGCAGGACGUAGGGUGUUACACCUCCGGGUGGCCCGAACCUGGGUAAAACUCUCGCAUUUACUCUUCGUUUCUAUCGCCUCGCCCUCCACCGAACCGAAAAGGGGGUGCUCAGCACCCCUGGUGCCGGAGACCGUGCUCCGACAUCUGGCGGGCCAGGUAGGGGGCGUGCAGAGAGCUUCGGGUGAUCGCCGGUGUCAUCGUCAUCAACACCGGCUCGUUCGCCUACGGCAUCUUCAACAACUAGCUCGCCAUGCCACCCAAGAAGGCAGACGAGCCCCGGGUCGACUUGCCCGACACACUCGCCAUGCGCACUCGGUCCCAUGACGCCGCACACGCGUCACAGGUGCAGGGUGACCAGGGGUCCCCUCCACGGCAGCAGCAGCAAUCGCAGCUGCCACCUCCACCUCCUCGGCCGUCGGCAGAUAACCGACCGAGGGGGCCUGCGGCUCCCAGCGCUAGAGCCGGUCGCGCGAGCGGCCACAAUGCCGCCUGCGCCGGCCAGCGAGACCACUCGCGGGCCGAAGAUGCGCAGCGACAGCUGCGCCACGAACACAGCGCGUCACGUGCGACACUGACGGAGUCUCGUCCCACUCAUCCGAGGGCACCGGGUGACAGGCGGAGGGCAGCCGGUCCGAGAAUCAGCAGCCUCCCGCCCAGACCCCGGCGGAAGCCAUCAUAGCCGAGCGUGUCAUGGUGCGCUAUGAGCCACCGCAAGGCACACCGGCGCAUGAAGCAUGGAGUGCGGAGCUGGACGCGCUCCUUGCACUCGCCGCCCAGCAGCCGCAAGGCGAGGGCGCCUCAGCUUGUUCAGGGCCGGGGACAGAACCCGGGACGCGGAGAUGCGCCCCGUGUUUCUGGACACGGCGAGCACCUUCCCCCGCGGGGAGGGCAAAAAGGUGAGGAUCCCGUAGGAUCCUCGGGUUCGUCACCGACCGCCACAUGGGGUAACGCGGGAGGCGUCCUGAACGCCCGCCAACAGGAAGACCUCCGCCAGCGCUUGGAGCGCCGGCGCCGGCGUGAAGCAGAACGCCAACGCCCGGAGGAGCAGGAGAACGCUCCCAUGGGCCCCGGUGACGGCUGCGCCGUGUUCAUUCUCAAGCUGUGCCGGGUGACAUGGCCCCGCAAGUUCUGAGCACCGACGCUUGGAACGUACGACAAGACCGUGAACCCCAAGGAUUUCCUCCUGACCUAAGCGUUGGGGAUGCAUGCCAUUGGCCCGACGACAAGGUCAGGGCCAACUGGUUCCCGAUGGUCCUCAAAGGAUCAGCGAGGACCUGGUUGCUCAACCUGCCUGCCGGGUACAUAGCCUCCUCGGCUGACCUGCGCGAGCAAUUUAUGAACGCGUUCCAGGGCGGCUACAAGCGCCCGGGAACCAUGGCGGAGCUGCACACGGUCGUGCAGAAGCCGGGGGAGACGUUGCGGGACUUCACCAACAGGUUCUCCAACCUCUCCUACUCCAUCCGUGAGGCGGAAGCGGCCGCCAUCAUCAACACGUACGCCAUCAACGUCCGUGAUCCGAAGAUGCGUGAGAAGCUUAACACGCACCGGAUCCGGACCACCAGGGAUCUCUACGCUCUCGCGCACAAAUUUGCGAUGGCCGAGGAAGGGCGUUUGGCACCUGAGCUUGCCGCCAAAGCGGCGGCAAACCCACCGGAGGGCUACGGGAAAAAGGGCUCCCGAAAGCGCGGUGGGAAGCAGGUACGCGCCGCGGAGCCGGGGGCUCCCCCGAGGCCCACCAAGAAGGCGGCGUCGGCAGGAGCAUCGGGCAGCAAGCCAGCAGCCGCACACUGGCUAGUUGACUCCAAUCUGGGAAGGCCCUUCCGGGUAGUGCAGGUGACCAGACCGGGGGCUGUCCGGCUGGAAACCGAAGAAGGCUUGCCGGUGCCCAAUAGUUGGAACAUUGCGCACCGGCGCAAGUUCUACCCGUGAAACGGUGGCGCCUUACCCACGGGUGACGCUGCGGCAGCGUACCUCUUUAAGCUAGUGUAGCCAGGAAAGGUCCGAUUGUAAACCGCUAGCACAAGGUUGAAUAAAGAUAAGAGUUACAUUGGUAAAUAUUGUGUUUUGCUGCUUAUAAAUGCUUCUGUCUCCUGCUCUAGGUGCACAGAAUUGUCUCAUCAUCCUUGGCUGUGAGCAGGGGGUUGCCGAACCCCGAAAACCAAAUCUCGUUGCCGGGAUGUCCCGGAACGAGGCCCAGCAGUUGCCGGACCCGUCCGCAACUUGCUACGAGCCAGCGAGGCACCAUGGAAAUGUAAAGAUGCUCACAGCCAGGAUUGAGGUCGACUCUUCUGUGCCUGGGGGCUGGGAGGCAGGAGGUUAUCCAGUUUAUACUGUUUUUCGUACAUUUCGAAAAAAAUUGUUAUGUUCCUUAGGCACUGCAGGAAUCUGACAUGCAGGAUAAAGAUAGGGAUCAGACACGCGGGGGUACACGUGGAGUACUCACGGGUCGUGUCGUCUAGCAGGUAGCCACUGGCGCAUGGCGACCGCUUCAAGGCUUUUACCUCAGGAGGGUGUCGUCACGUGUGCCGCUGUAGCUCGGCGCGCGCGGCGGCAGGAUUCUUCGCCAUGCCUAUAAAAGGGCAUGGUGGCCACGAAGCAACUCAGAGCAAAGCCAAGGAGAUGGCUACAAAGGCGAAGGAGGCCGCAGAGACACGGUGGUGGUGCAUGCCAUCAGUGCCCAGUGCCGAUGGGUGCACUGCCACCUUGUCCUUGCUGCAUCCCUCCAACAGUCGUUUCCAAGGCGAGGGUUGCCGCGGAGACGUUGUGGUGGUGCAUGCCAUCAGUGCUCAACGCCGAUGUGUGCACUGCCCCAACGCCCUUGCCGCAUCCCUCCAUCAGGCGUGCCAAGUGCAGAAUCGAUACGUUCGACAAGUGGACGGGAAGCUAAGUAUCUCACUUUGGGUCCUUAGUUUUCCUCUCUCAGUAACGCUGGCUUGCUGGGGUGGGUUCGGUCCCCGUGUUGCACAAGAUUAUCAGCGGAGUUGGGCUCCUUCUCCCGCCGUGCCGACGCCGCUGCCGCGUCCUCCGCAGCCUUGGUCUGCUCCCCCAGCUUGGUGCGCAGCCCCUGGAGCUGGGAGAGGUAGCUACAGAGCAGCUCGCUCUUCUAGUUGAGGCAAGCUUGGGCCGUAGCGAGCACCUCCUCGUGCUCCUUCUUGGCCUUCUCCUGCACCGCGGCCAGCGAGUCCAGGGUUGCUGGUGCUCAGUGCGCUGGGCCUCCAGUUGCCGGUGGAGCUCUGCCUCGGGGACGACCGGUGCUGCGUCUUCAUCCCUGGCCUGCAGGGCCAGGCGCGUCUUCUCCCGCAGCCGGGAGAGCUCCUGCCGCUCCCUCUCGACAGCCUGCCGCACCUCGCUGAGCUGGCCCUUCGCGAGCUCGUGGCGCUCCCUCACCUGGUUGAAGGAGGUGACGAAGGCCAGUUGCUGCUCCUUGAUGGCGUCAAGGAACUGGUGCCCCUGGUCAUAGAUGCUUGGGUCCCAGGUGAUUGGGUCCCAAGUCGGCCCUGCAAAGAUGCCGAAGUCUGGGCCGGAGGUAGCAGCGGACGACGACGAGGCCCCUGCCGCCACUGUUUGGCUGGGAGGGGCGUCGUCCACUUGCGGCGGAGCCUCCUGUUGCUCCCCUGCCGCAGCCUCCUCCACACCCGUACCCACGGGUUGCGGGACUGGUGGAGGUGCCGCGCCCCCGACAGGAGGCGCCUCCUGCUGGGAGACCGCGGGGUCCGCAUCAUCGGCCUGCACGGCCCGGGACACGCUGCCAAGCUCCGCCUCGGUCGCGACGAGGGGCGCCGCCACCGUUGUGUCCGGCGCGGUGGAGCUGGGCGCGGGUGCCUCUUCCGGCUCCUCUCUCGUCCCCGCAUCUUCGACGUCGGAGCCGAGAUCGACCACCGCAUCGCCGGCUCUCGUCGUGGGCGCAGUCGGGUCUGCGGCAAAGAAAAGAAUUAGAAUCUAAAAAUAAACUAAGUUACCCGGUGAUGAACGCAAGGAAGCUCUGAACGAGUACCUUGCAGGGCCGCCGAGCUUGCGGGAGGAGCCUCCUCCUCCUCCGUCCCAGCCUCUUUCGCCGGGGUGCCCGCCACGGGUUGGACUUUGCCUGCGAAUCAACGAAGCGGCACGGUUACGGAUCAGUGGGCAGAGGAAACAUAAACAAUGGAACAAGAAGAGGGAUUGGUACCUGUUGUCGGCUCCUCCUCCACUGGGAUUUGGUCGGCGGCAGGCGCGUUGGCAGCGCCGCCAGCCCCCGCGUUGCCCCGGUCGGCGCUGGCACUGGCCCGGGUGCGCGGCUUCUUGCUCGGCGCGGCGGGUGGCGAGUCAGCCCUCCCCCUCUUGCCGGCUCCCGUCGGGGUGCUGUCCUUCGAGGGGUUGAGCUUGAACUCGUAGCCCUGAAAGAGGCCCCGCUUGGGCGGGGCCGUGGCCGCCCGUGGGGUUGCCGCACCCCCGGUCGCCGCCACGGCGCUUGCGGUCACUGCGGAGGUGGCCACUGCUGCGGGCGCUCUUGAUCUUCGCAGGAUCAGGGGUGCAUCUUCCUCGUCCUCCUCCUCCUCCGCUGCAGGGAGGACCGCUCUGGUCCCGGCAAUUUGACCCGCCUCGUCGCUGGAAGACUUGAGGUCGGGCCAGUUGAGCUCCGACUCUUCCUCACUCUCCUCGACCACCCUCUUCCCACGGGUUGCGGGUGGAAGGGGUCGCGGGGUCCGAGCGGGGGAGUUGGACAUCAGCCCCCACUCGUCGCAGGGUGGGUAGCCGCUGAUAAUCUUGUGCAAACCCAGGACACCAGCAUGGAGGGAGGGAGCCCCUGGCGGUAGCUCUAUGAAGGGGGCGUCUUCGCCGGUGAUCCCCUUCACCCACGCCCGGAUUGCUUCCGGGGCCACGCCCCGUGCUGGAGACGGAUGGUGUCCCCGGGCCCCGUGUACAUCCACGCGGGACGGGAGCGCAGCUACAGCGACGCGAUACGCCGGCUGAUGUAGGUGCACGCCACGUCAAGGUUGGUGAGCCCUGCUAGCCGCAGGGCCUUGAUUCUCUCGACGAUGGGGAGGAGUUCGGCGUCGCGGCUGUAGCGGUUCCGCCAGGUGUCGUUGGGCACUGGCAGCUCGGUAGGCGUGUCGAUGAACUCCUCGGGUUCCUCCACACGAACCCGGCACCAGUCCGUGUGCCACUCCUUCUCGAUCUUCUUCUCCGACCGGACGAUGAACUCCGAUUUCAUCCGGUUACGGGCGCGGAAGACCACCCCCGACGACAUCGCCCCCGUCUGCUCGAUGCGCGGGUAGAAGUAGUGCCGGAAUAAUGCCACCGACAGCAUCACUCCGACGAACCCCUCGCAGAGGAACUGGAAGACGGCGAGGAGGAAGAGGGAGGUGCGGUGGAGUUGCGUCACCCGAAGCUGAUACGCCUCCAUGAGCGUGUGGAGGAACAAGGAGAACGGAGGCACCAGCCCGGCGAGGAUGAAGCGCGCGAACACCCGGAAGUCGUUCUCCUGGUGCUAGGCACCGGCGGGGAAGAUGAGAGUCUCCCCGUACUCGUUGAACCGCGAGGCGACGGCGUGCCGGACCUUGUCCGGCCCCUUUUCUGGUCUUUCUCCGAGGCGGGCUUCUUGGGAGCCGUCUCGCUCUUGCGGGCUGCGGGCUUCUUGGAGCCUUUCCCUUUCUUGGGAGCGGUGGGCGCCAUGGGGAACGCGAGCGGAAACUAGCAGGAUUCAAGGGCGCAAGGGAGCGUGAAGAUGGAGAAGAAAGGCUGGGGGGCUAAGUGUUUUCUCCUCAGCGCAGCGGUGGGGUCUUAUAACACCCCGGCGCUAAGCAGCGGUCACAUCCACACCCUACGGGUGCGCUGGGGAUAACUACACUUCAAGAGGAUAGCGCAGGGCGUGGCCUUAAUCACCCGUGUUUAAGGGGGAGGUUAGGGCGGAAAUCUCGCGCCCACUAGUCUGCCAGUAACGGCAGAAUCCUUGAAGCAGCGCAUAGACGAGAACCCGAGGCGGCUCGGGACCCACGCGUCGGUUAAGGGCGUAGCCCGGCAACCGACCAGGGAAAAGUCCACCCGGGAACAGGCGUUGCCGGCCCACGCCCGAGGGCUACUGUCGCACCAGUGGCACCCGGGGUACCACCGCUGCAUGACGCGUGGGCCACCUCGCUUGCUCCUCGGGAGGAUCGCACCCCGAGCAGCACCCCGCGAGCUGCCCGGCAAGUCACCAGCACGGCAGGGCUAGCCAGGCUGCGGGGGUUGCCCUGGAGGGCAGCAAGAGAAAUCCCGCCUGGGCGCUUCCCGGGAAGCUUACUUGCCAGGAAGGGCGUUCCCGGGCACAAGCGCCCGUUACAGGAGCGGGACCGAGUGGGCAGGACAGCGACGCCACGUGGCCGCUCGGCGGGCUCCCCGUGCGCAGGGUUCGUCAGGACAAGGAGUGAAGCACACUCAAGCAUUAAAUGCACCGACAGAAAAGGGAUUCCCCGUCCAGUCAGCCUAUAGUGACUGGCCCGGUGUAAAUUUUAGGCACGUAGGACCCUAGUUGCAGGGCUACCCAUCCUGCAUGCAAGCCAACGCGGCAGGGCCGAGCUGCCCUGGCUCCUUGUUCGCCAUUUCUCACCCAUGCACCGAGGCACCUAUGGUAUCCCCUUCGGUAUAAAAGGAGGACCCCCGCCAAAGGUCAAAGGGGGGAUGGACUCUCAGUUCACUACUAAUUCUAGCCAAUAGUAGCAAGUAGCACUUAGCUAAGAAGAGAGAGAGCACCCGGGGACUCCCCCCGGCAACUUGUAAACCCUUCCUCAUCGGUAAAUAGCAAACUCAGAAGCAGGACGUUGGGUUUUACACCUCAGGGUGGCCCGAACCUGGGUAAAAACGAUCUUGUGUUCAUCGUGUCCCAGUGCUUGACAUUGGCCUCGCCGGCGAUCGCCGGAGCGAUCCCCGUCGCCCACUGCCGAACCUAAAAGGGGAUGCCCGUGCAUCCCCGGUGUCUGAGCCCCGUGCUACGACACUUGGAAACAUUCGUGAUGAGGCCACUCGCAUUUCCGAAUUGCUCCAGAAUCACAGAGAUGGUCGCAAGCUCCUGCUUGAAAGGUUUGGCGAAGAUGCCAACGUCAUCCGCGUACAGUGAGAUCCUGCAGCGUACGGCCGGGGCCCCGACCCAUUGUAGCACACCGCUCUCCUCCGCCCGGCACAGGAUGAUCUGGAGGGGAUCAAUCGCUAAAAUGAAGAGCAUGGGGGAGAGGGGAUCCCCUUGGUGCAAACCCCACUUAUACCGGAAGGGGGUUCCCGGGCAGCCAUUGAGGAGGACCCACGAAGAGGACGAAGCGAAAGACAUACAAAUCCAAUUCCGCCAGCGCGGGCCAAAGCCAAGUUGUUCCAGCACUUCCAGAAUGUAAGCCCAGUUGACAGAAUCAAAGGCCUUUGAGAUGUCAAGCUCGAGGAAUAGACUUGGCAUGUUAGAGGAGUGAAGCACCUUGAUUGAAUUUUGGACGAAGAGAAAGUUAUCAUGGAUGCACCAUUUUUUAAUGAAUGCACUUUGACAGUUGGACACUAACAAUCCCAGCUCCGGGGCAAAUCUCAAAGCCAACAGCUUGGAGGAAAUCUUGGACAUGCUGUGUAUCAAGCUGAUGGGACGGUAAUCGCCAACCCGAGCGGCAUCAGGCUUCUUUGCAAGAGAAUAAUGUUUGCCGAGUUGAGCAGGUGCAUGCAGUCUCCUCGCAGCUCCGCCAUUUGGAGGAUGGCCGCCACCACAUCACUCUUAAUGGUCUCCCAGCAGGACUUGAAGAAGGCACCAAUGAAGCCAUCCGGGCCGGGGGCUUUGACAGAGGGCAUGGCGAAGACUGCCUCCUUAAUCUCAGAUUCGGAGAAAUCGGCAUCAAGAGCAGACAGGUCAGCCGGUUGGUAGCCAAGCGCAGUCCAGUCAAGAGUCUCAUUUCUGACGUGCGCCGCACCAAGAUGGUUCUGGAAGUGGGAAUGAAGCUCCGUUUCUUUGUCAGCCUGAGUGAUGGCCAUCCCUUGCGGCGUUUGGAGAUGCUGAAUGAAGUUCUUCCUUCGCCUAUCAUUCACCCGGAUGAGGAAAAGUUUGGUGUUGGCAUCCCCUGUCUUGAUCCAAGUAAGCCUGGAGCGUUGCCGCAAUUUGACCUUUUGAACGGAGAGAUGACCCAAGUAGCUGUUCUUGAGGUGCCGUCUCAGCCCCCGUUCCUCCACCGAAAGCGGUCGCUCCUCCUCGGCGAUGUCGAUGCGCCAAAUAACCUCCUUGAUAAUGGCCAAUUCAUAGUCCAAAAAACCAAAACGCCCCUUCUGCCACUUCUUAAGAGCCUUCGCCGCGCGAUUGAGCUUUAUAUGGAUCCUGCGGAGGGCGUCUUGGGCCACAACAUGCUUGUUCCACGCACCUGCCACCGUGUCCUGAAAGCCAGGCAUCUGCAGCCAAAACUCUUCGAAUUUGAAAGACGGCCGAUGCUAUCGGGUCGGCUCCCCCUGGAGGAAUAGGGGAAUACGUGUUAAAAUCUGUAGUAAAAAAAGAGGGAGGAGUCUGCUAAUAUAUGGCCGGGGAAAAACUAAUCAAUCGUACCUGGAUCAAGCACCGAUGCCGAAUGAAUCCCUCCCUGACAAAACGGCCAGGAAAAAUUUCCUUAGCGCCCAUCGUAGAGCCUGCGUUGGAUUAUGAGGGGAUGCGGCGGAACCGACGGAGACAGGGAACGAUGGGGGCAGUCAGAGAGAGUCACGAUGCUUCGGGCCUUUUACGUAUCUGAUAGAAGUGCUUCAAACUUCUGAAUAGGUAUUGUGCAAUAGAGAUCCUCAACCUCACUAAAUUCAUCAAAAUCUUCCUGAAUUUGUAAAAAGAAAUUGAUAGUCAGAACAAAAGAUCUACUCCCACCAAUCCAUAUUAAUCGCCUCAACUUUGGACAAAUAUGGAGACAAUUAGGCUGUGUUUGGACACAAAGUAUUUUUCAAACCAUGGUAUUGCAAAAACACAGUAUUAUUUGCCCUGGCUAAAGAAUACUGCAGUUUCAGAAAACUACGGUUCUUCUCAGUUUUGCCAAAACUACCAAGGCGUUUGGCAGGUUGUAUUUACCAUCGUUUUCUUUAGUUAACAUUUUGAUCUAGCUGUGUUGACCGCAAAGCAUCAGGUGGAGCACAACAGCUGCGGCUGCUGGCUGCCAGACGAGCUCCAGUGUGCGGCUGCCCCUCGUAGUCCCCGGCGGCGCCGAACAACGACAAAGACAACGACUGCAUCGCCUGCGGCGGCGCCGUGCCGCCGGCAACCAAGGAAGCCAGAUCCGUCGGCAGAAGGCGCUUGAGGAUGGUCCUCUCCGGCGUCAUCAUCACCAGCGACUCCACGUACGGCAGUCACGGCAGAGCGAGGUGAGGACGAAACAUCCAGUCCCUGACGACGGCGGAAGCGAGGACGGCGGUCGCAUCGUCGAGCAGCACACGGCGGGGCCGCGCGAGGGAAGCCGAGAUCUGGUACCACGGCCUGCAGCUUCCGCAACCCGAACGAUGGCUGCACCGUGACGGUGCCCAGGUCCACGCUCCAGUCGCCAUCAAUGAACACCCCCUACAGCAGCGCCGCCACCGCCUGGGAGAUCGAGAUAGGCAAUCAGAGGGGGGUGAAUGAUUGCGCGGAAGCAAAUUAAAACUUUUCCUGAAAGUUCAAAUCCUAAAUUACCUUUCUGUCCGUGAUAGUAAAACAGCCUUAACUUUUUAUUGGAUGAAUCAAGAAAUACGUAUGAGUAUGCAAAAGAACGGUAUUGAAAUUAUCUAACCAACCCAACAAGAAUCAGCUCAAUCGGACGUACCAAUCAAAAGAUAUGAUCAAAAGAGUAACAGCUGACAGAAAGUUACGAGGAUUAAUCUAAAACCAAUUUCGAGGAAUAUUAAGAAAGAUGAAGUAAUCGCGAUCUUUCCUUGAUCUCGUGAUAAACCUGCAGCAAAGUAUUAUGAACUCAUGAUGAACCUGCAGCAAAGUGUUAGAAAGAUCUAGCACGAACAAUCCAUGAAGAUCUGAGAAGAACAGAGAUGACACCGCCAACGAUUCUCUUUAUUGCGACGAUGUCGAUCGAUUACAAAGAUGCAAUCAUGCAUCCAAGAACUCUCCAAGAUAUGAUCUACAUCCAAAGCUCUGAGUUCCCUCACGUCCUUACUAAAACCCUAACUAGUCCGCCCUCUAUUUAUAAGGGAAAAUUCACGACUCUAAACCGAAUCCGAAUCCAACACGAACUCCUCUAUCCCGGUCGGUAUUCUGCCCAUGAGGCCCGCAUACGACCUCGGAUUGAGAUUACUCCAAAAGCAAAGUUGUUCGUCUCGACGACGCGCACAACUUUCAUGUGGACACUUUUCCAUCAGACACCAUCUUGAUGAUGCUACUGUUUAAUUUUUAAACAGCUCUCAUCCAGCCAUGGCUGGACCUACAUGUCUUCACGUCGAUGCCACUCCAUGCCAUCAACUCUUAUUGUGAUGUCUUCAAAACUCGACAAUCACGUGUCGAAUAUCUCCAAUACCGUACAUCUCCGGUAUAAACAACGUACGACAAACCGAUGCCCUCCCGGAUCAUCGUAGCCUUCACUUCCAUUGUUCCUUCGCACGAGCGUCCCGCAUGACCUUGAUCCCUCGACCUCAGCUUCUCCCAAGCUUCGUCCCUCGAUCCCGUCAUCGACCACGUUCCUCUAGCUCCGACAACACCUGAAAGCGAAUAUACAAAUAAUCAGUACGAGCACAAGUCCACGACUUGACUCAGGGUAAGUUCCACACAACUCACACCAUGUUUCACAUAAGAACUAAUGGAUCAACACACCACUAGCAAAGCAUUAAGUCCAAACAAGAUACAUGUCAUCACAUAAAUAUUCAUAUUAUCCAAAGUAUCCACAGCAAUGUUUCAUCUAAAACACUUGCAGAUGUUACACAUCACCUAUGAUUUCACACCGCCGCACCGCCAAUCCCCUCACAAACCAGCACCGCCGAUCUCUCUCUCUCUCUCAGGCUCGUCGAUCCCCUCACGAACCAAGCACAAGCAUCGAAUUGGAACCCGCAUCAGCUGGAAGAGAAAUUUGGGAUUGGAGGCGAAGAAGAGAAAUUUGAUUCCUCCAUCUCACCGAUGGAGACAACGAUAGGCGGCGGCUUGAGGGACCGAGAGAGGCGGACCAUUUUUAUCUCCGUUGGACUGUUUUCCUUUCUCCGUCUCGGCCGAGGGACACGAGCAGCGGCGGCGGCAGUGGCUUGAGGAAGAAAGUUGCGAGCGAGGCAGGGGUGGGGGCAGCUUUCUCGUUUCUCAGUAAAAAAAAUAAAAUAAAGAGGUCGGGGGCUCUUUAUUUUAUAGAGAGAAAAUACUGCAGUUUUGGGGAUUCCAUGGUAUUAAUACUACUGUUUUUUGUUGUAUCCAAACACCUCAAAAUAUUUGAAACCAGAGUAAUUUUAAAAAAUGUGGUAUUCUCAUAAUACUCUAAAAGUACUGAGGUACCAAACAGGGCCUUAAUGUAAUAUUUUCACAAUUAAUAUGGAUCGAAUGGAGUACACGUUAUCACAUAAUCUUCUAACAGGAAGACAACACUGCACCUGGUUACGUUCAACAUAAUCUUCUAUGAAAUCUUUAACAUCAUCGACUUGCUCAUGUCUCAACUCAUCCUUAUCCAGUAGUCUCAAGAUUGACUCCAGUAUUUUUAUGUGAGUUUUAUGAUGCGUAAUAGAUUUCUUUAAAUGUACCUGAUAAUGCAUAAUUACUUCCUCUAUACUUAGGCCUUCCACCACAGUGUAGGUGAAGCAAACUCCAAAAGGUUGCACCGGUGCUUGUUUUGGCAUUUGGCUACAAUGGCAUGCACAUCCUUUUUUUUAUCUACUGGGACCCACAUUACUAAAAAGUAACAGUUAAUUUAUUCAACUAUAUACUCUUUAUUCCUUUCUCAUCCCAAUGACAUGUGAGGUCCCCCAACCAUUUCACAAGUUUGUAUCGGUUCAUAUACAUCAACCGGUGCAAAAAAUCUUGGAGUUUGCUUCCCCUAACUUUUGGUCCUCCAAUGUGAUGAACCGGUGCAUGAGAGAAAAAGUAAAGUUUGCACCGAUACAUUGGAGAAGGCCUUAGAGAUUGUCGCGCAGCUCUUACAGUUUAACUUCAAAAAAUUAUGUAAAACCAGCUGAUUAUACCGAUGGAGGAUGUCUUUGUUUGUGUUGCAAUAUAUUUGAAAUGUUGCACCCAUGCACAACAAAGAAAGCGAAUAGGAACAGCAAAAACAAUCGCAAACCACACUGUAAUGACAAGAUGAAAUAAAAAAAAAUAUAACUAAAGUAAUCAGGUAUGCAUGCAACAUGCAAGUGAGACAUUCAGAGUAAUCAGAUCAAGAUAUUAGGGAUCCAGAUUCUGAAUAUUCUAUCAUCAAUUGUCGUGAUGAUGGGAAUAGUUACGAGGCAAAUCUGCAAAACGCCCAAGUCUUUUGGAACAAACUCUAGAUUGAAGGUAUUCAAGCAAACAAUAAUGUAACACGUACAUGUUUCAAUUAAAUAUGUCUUUGCUUAGUCAUGUUUAAGCAAAAGAAGCAGACAUGAAAGACAUAAACACACAAUACUAAGCAGUGCAGCUCCCAACAUACUACCUGUUAAGCCAACCUCUUUUAAAACAGCUCUUCAGCUUUGGCCUUCUCUCUGUAAUCCUGGGUGAAAUAAGAAAUGAUGCUGAGAUUCACAAUUAACUGAAAGGAAAAAAAUCUUACCUAUUAUUUAACCCACAAUCUAAUGCGCAGACGGGCCAAGUGUUGUCUUAGCGUACGGCGUGCUCCGAGAUUCGUGCCCCUUCGUACUCUCUCCUCCUCCCGAUUCCUCUUGUCGGCGGCGUGGGGCUCGCGGAGCUGCGGCCGCGAAAGGCAGCGGGGGCGGGGGCGGGGGCGGCCUCUAAAAGCGGCGGCGGCGGCGCGCGGGGCGACGGCCAAGAAGAGCGGCAGCGUGGGGGCGCGCGGGGCGGCGGUCGCCAAGGGCAGCUGCAGGGAAGCGGCGGCGCGCGGGGCAGCGGCCGCGAAGGGCCCCUGGCGCAGCUGGGCCUGCGUCGCCCUCGGACCCUUGCGCGCCACCCGGCUGUCGUUCUCCCGGGCGCCCUCUGAACGGCGCCACCUCACCGCCACAGGCCCACUACGGCUUCUCCCUCGCCUCCAGCGUCGCAUAUGCUGGUGCGCGCACGCAACAGGGCGUGCAUCGCCUAUGGUAGCGUGAGGUACUGCUGCAGCGGAGAGUACAACAUGCCGGGCGGUGAGCGGAUCGACGAGCUACUCGGAGGCGUUCAAGAGCAUCUGCCGGACGCCUACCGCUAUGCCUACGACGAUUGCCACGUCACCUAAUGUGAUUUUGCUACUCCCCCGUCCAACAAAAGAUGUCUUAAGUUUGUCAAAAUUUUGCUACUCCCCCCGUCCAACAAAAGAUGUCUUAAGUUUGUCAAAAUUUUAAUGUACAUAGACAUGACUUAGUGUAUAGAUGCAUUCAAAUUUGGUCAAAGUUGAGACAUCCUUCGUUGUACGGAGAGAGUACAUGUUUUGAUUCGAGUGUUUUGUUCCAUGAAAUGUGUUUACCCGUGUGUUUGGCCAUUGACGCGAGUAUUUGUUAGCAUGGUAAGUAGAUUCGGCUAAUCUGGCUAAUCUGGUAAGUAUCAUAAUUAACUUGAUAAAUAGACAUAACUAACUUGAUAAUUAUCUCCAAUUAACUUGGUAAGGAUCCCAAUUAACCCGGUAAGCAUCCCAAUUAACAUGGUAAAUAAGCACGGUUAAUCAGAUAAGUAUACCUAAUUAAUCUGAUAAGUAAACACUGUCAACGUGACAAGUAUGUGUGGAUAUGCACGUGCGGAUAAUCGAUCGUGGUAUAGUCAUGUCUAGAAAUAAUUGUUGUUUAGAAGGAAUAAGUCUAACCAACGUGGGCCAGAAGUCAAAUGGAUUGAUUUUACAUACCACAUCAAUACAUUUAUGUUCUGUUGUCGAUCAUGCUAAUUAGAGAGAUGCACACGGUAAAGGAGAAGCAUGGUGCUCAUUAUAGCGGCUCCGCUACCACUUAACGAGGCAUGACUAGAAUUGAUGUGUGUGCGCUUUUGGUCAUGGAUGCGAUGGACCUUCGUCCUGUGAAAUACACAUAUUUUCCCUCUCGGUUCUUUCUUUGUCGACCAGAUUAAAAAUAGGGAUUUAAAAUCGAUGGACUAAUUAAUAACCCGGCAAAUAUGAGAAUUGUACUUUUGUCCUACGUUUAUAGGUCCUAGUAUGUAGACGUAAAUAAUCUGGUAAGUGUGUACAAUUAACCUGGUAAGAGGAAACAAUUUACCUGGUCAAUAUGCACAUUUUAACUUGGUAAGCGGGAACAAUUAAUAUGGCAAACAUGUGCAUCUAAUCUGGUAAGUAAGAACAAUUAACCUGAUAAGCAUGUGUGGUUAAUCUGAUAAGCAUGCACAUUUAAUCCGGUAAAUAGGAACAAAUAACCUGAUAAGUAGGAACAACUAACCUGACAAGUAGGGACCUGACGAGUAAGCACAUUAACCGGUAAGUAGGAACAUUUAAUUUAAUCUGAUAAGUAGAAACAUUUGACCUGCAGUUAACAUGAUAAACAAUUAAUCUGGGUUUUAUUGUAUGUGUGCUGAUCCUAUGUGAGGAGGUGAUGCGCGAUCCAGGAUUGUAAAUAGUUGUCAAAUACUUAUAUCUUGGUUGUUUUUUGCUAUGUAAUUUUUGGCAUAGAAAAUCUAGGGGUUGAUGUGUGGGGAUGUUAUUUUUCUGCUGCUGAACGUGCUGUUUUGAGAAAAAAGAUGGUCUCUGAUCGAUAUGUUUUUUUUAGACAAUCUCUGAUCGAUAUGUAGGGAAGGUUGACAGGUCUCUGCCUGCCCAGCGCGAUUUCCGGCUCCAUCCCGCGCACCGGCCACCGGGUGGCGCUCGCGAUCGCCCGCUCGCGCGCUUAACCGGUUGCGCUCCGCCUUAACGGGCGCCACACGUUAAAAUACGGUGCACACGUCGCCCAAUAGUUCGGUCCAUUAUUUAAUUUACGGUUCGCGUUUCGUCCAUCCGUCCGUCACUCGUACGUCGUCUAACCCCACGUGCAAUUAACCAACCGAGAUCCCCGAACAGCCUCGUUCCCAUCCCAGCACGAUUACCUCCAACGAUCCCGCAAUUACCUCCCCACCCACUAUGGGUGGCCAACGGGCCGGUCCGGCCCCUGCUAAACGGGCCUAGCCGGAGCCCAGCCCAAAAACUCCUCCUCCAAGCCCAUGCGCAGCACCAAGCCCGGACGGCCCGGCCCGUUAAGCUUGACCGGGCUAGCAAGGUCUCUCACGCCAAAUGUACAAAAAUAAAAAAACCUUAGAUUUGGGCCAAAACUGCUUGAGAUGAUAGGCCAAAUGUAAAAAUAAGUUAGCUUAGACCAGAUUUUUGAGAGUUGAUGGAUCAAAUGAAGGAAAUCUAAAAAAUAAAAAAGAUAAUCGGGCCGUGCUAGGCAGGCCUUGGUCCGGCCAGAUUAAUUCUCAUCCUUUCCUCUCCUUUUGGCCCAGUUCGACUACCAACAUCAACAUCUUGGCCCAGCCACAGGCCUGCCUCCUCCCCUCCUUCCGCAGGCCUAUGACAUUCUGGAUCGAGAGCCAUCGACUCAUCGAGGCCAAAUUUGAGCUCAAAACAAAAAUAUAAAUCCCAAUUUUUCUUAGGGAACAUUAGCUUAAACCCAUCCGAACCUAGGCUUGCAUUAUCAUUCAUCAUGGCUAAUCUUGUCUAACGAGAAGAGGAAGAUAAGGAUUUGAGCAUGAGAAGAAAGGAAAGAACUAGACAUAGAUUCUCUUUGUUUUUUUAGAGGGAUUCUCUCUGUUUUUGUAUGACACUCUAGUGCUACGUUUUAAUAUAUAAUGGAGAGAUGUACACCCGUCGAUGCAACGUUUCUAAGAAAGAUUGACACUUCCAUUAACAACUGUGUUUUUAUACUCUUCACUGCCCUUGGAUUAUUUUUUUUCAACAAUGCAACCCAGCGGGUGCAUCAUCAGAUUAAGAAGGAAAAGCCAUAAAGCCAGUUACAACACCGCGAAGUGGUUACAACGCCACCAAGUGGCCAAAACACGAAAAGGAACUAAGUAGCAUCGAGCAACCCACUCGCGAAGGCGGCCCCGAGCGAUAGCCUGCUCCUAAAUAGCCCGGCACUCUCCCACCUCGCCACCUCCUCACACACAAUCACCGCACUAGGCCCCGUGAUGCCGGCCCACCACUCUUGGAUGUUGGAAUCAAUGCCAGGCCUCCAGUCUUGGCAAUCCCACGCCACAAGAACCACCUCCCAAACCUGUCUCGCCACGACACAACCCAGCAGGAGGUGAGAAAGGGUCUCCGGCUCCUGGGAACAAAGAGGACACUGAGAAGGGUGAGGGAGCCCCCUCCUCUGUAGCCGAUCAGCCGUUUAACAACGAUCCUUCGCCACCAACCAAGCAAAGAACUGACACUUGCCUGGUGCCCUGUUCUUCCAGACCUGGGCCGCCAAAGGGUCAGGCGUUAGGCCAGCAAACUGAUGUCUGUAGGCCGAACGCGCCAAAUAGACGCCGUCGUCGGACCAGUUCCACAGCGCCCUUGGACUUGUUCAUUUGCCAGAACCAGCGGAUGUCAUGCUCUCUUGGGUAGUGGCUUCUUUUUCGCCUGCCUGCUAUACCCGCCACCACUGCAACCCUUUAUUAGCAUCCACCAGCUGAGACAAGCAGUGAGAGAGGGAACGAGGAGAUGGGCAGCUCAUCAGGGCUUGUCGACUGGAGGGGAGGCCGAUUACCAGCAAGAAACAUGGAGGACUGCGAGCUUCAAUCUUUAUCCACGGUAAGGAACACUGUCCGGACGACUUAAUUCUUUUAAUAUCGAGUUCCUUCUUUGCUUUGCUCACUCUGUGUUUGCCCGCCAUCCGACUCCCUCCGGCCCAUCCUAUUAAGUGCCUGAAUUUGUCCAAAUAUGCAUGUACUGUAUUUUAUAUACCUCAAACAUGUCUAGACACAUAAAAUAUUUCAACACUUAAUAUAGGAUGGAGAGAAUAUGCUUUUAAAGCGUACGUCAAGCUAUUUGACUUGCUGAGUCAAUGGGUCAUGUAAGAUAGAUAUGUUUUAUUUUAUGGACUGUGCUAAGUAAGGGCGCGCGUACGGUUCUCCGAGAAUCACGGUGAAUCAUACACUCCGAAACAAAAACACCAGGACACUAUUAUCUCACAACUGCGUACACAAACAAAAUCAAGAGCAUGUUGUCUAGAGUUUGCAUGCAUGCUAGCUUUUGCAAAAAUAAAUUUUAAAAUAUUAUAACUCUUAAACCGUCUAUUCAAUUUACGAUCCGUUUUCACGGUUAGCUUUGUUUCGACGAGAUCUUUGAAACUAGAUCCCAUGUUAGUAUGUUUUGAAAACUUUUUGUCGACCUUAUAAGUUACCACCCACGAAUAUAUCAAGUUGCCAUCCAGUUAGUAAUAAGUUACCAUGUUGUAACUUCGUACGAAAUAUGAUGGUAACUUUGCAUUAAAGUUAUCAUUCAGUAAUAUACGAAACUGCCGUCUGCUAGUAAUAAAAUUAACAUUGAUUAAUAUACGAAUUGCCACCUUAUUAGUAAUAAAUUACCAUCCAAUGAUAUAAGAAACUAUCACUUUAAUAGCAAUAAAAUAUCAUAUGGAAAUUUCUUACAUAUUAUUGUAGUAAAUUGUGUAUUAACUCAUGAUAACAAAAGAGACUGAAAAAAGUUCAUCGAAUGAUUAAUACACUACCGAUAAUCCGCAAAGAAAAUACACUAAUGAUAAGCCAUGCGAUGUGAGCAACGAACACAUUCAGGUGUGUAACAGACUGAUAUAUGUGCAUGCAUGCAUAUACUUUUGUCAAAAUUUAACACUCUCAAAUGUUUUAAUUUCUAAACCGUGUAUACACAAGACCUUCAAAACUAGAUCUUGCAUUGGAAUGUUUCGAUAAUGUUUUUUAUGUUUCAAAGUUACCACCCAAUGAUAAAUGAAAUUACCAACCUCGCGAGUAACAAGUUGUCAUAUGAAAUCGUCAUACUAAACAGGAUGGUAACUUGUGAGUUAAAGUUACCAUCCGAUAAUAUAUGAAGUUGCCACCUUUUUCGUAACAAGUUACCAUGUGACAACCUAAUAAAAUAGGGUGGUAACUUGUGAACUGAAGUUACCAUCUUGUAAUAUAUGAGUUUACCAAUGUUUGUCAACAGAGUUGACACAUGGCAAAUUCUUUUUGGUAGGACGGCAACUCGUGCAUUAUCCCUUGGUAACAAAGAGUCCGGAUAUUUUUUUAUCAAAACCUACCGAAGUAAGAUCUAGAUUUGAAGCACUUGUCGAUACGAAGUCAAUGGUGAAAACAGAUUAUGAAUCGGGUAGACGAUUUGAGCUUAAAAAUGUUUUGAAUUUCCAAAAUCAAUUAGUACAAAAACGUUCAUGCAUGUUUGUCUGCUUUGCAUGUUGUCCUACCGAACUCCAUGCUAGAACACUACCCACCGCUACUCUUCGCGUGCAUGAACAAAGCUGAUGGUGACAUUUCCUUCGCUAAAAUCGUACGCACGUACAUACUAAUCUCCGAACGGUCUUACUCCUGAUUUAGGUUUAUUUUAACAACACUUCCUAAGCAUAGUGCAUAGAUGCACAAUUGACUGACAUACAACAACAGAUUUGGACUUUUCUUGUGCCACCUAACCUACCCCCCCCCCCCCCCUCCCGUUUUUUUUCAAUUUAGCAUGAAUUUCCAUAAAUAAAAUAUCCACCAUAAGCUUAAUCACAACCUGUUUUUUUCCUGCUCUACUGCACUGCAGCUCUGGUGCUACUCAGCAACGCUGCCAACAUAGCCAACAUCAUGAACCUGGUGAGGUACCUCCGUGGCACCAUGCACAUGGGGGUCGCCGAGGCCUCAACGACGGCGAGCAAUUUUUUCGUCGCGCUGCAGAUGUUCUCAGUCCGCGCCGCGUUCCUCACCGACUCCUGCAUCAAGCGCGUCUGCGCCGUCCUCAUCUUCGGGCCCAUAGAGAUUCUGGUAACAUAGGAAGACAUGCCUUUACGUUAGUUUAAUUAAUGACAACAAAUUCAGUGAAAAUUAACUUGCAUUCAGUGUAAACUUAAAAACUAUCAUCGUGGUCCAUUGAAUUAAGAACACAUGGCUCAGAUCAAAGGUGAAAAUUCUACCAACUACUUAAAUACUCCUUCCGUUCCAUAUUAAGCGACAUUCUAUUACAUGUAUCUAGACGCUUUUUAGACAUAGAUACAUCCAUAUUUGACAAAUUUGAGUCAUUUAACAUGAGACGGAGAGAGUAGAUUUUUGCACAUAAUCCUUUAUCAUUGAGUGUGAGACUUGCACCUUCGAUCCGAUCCGUUCGUUUUUCAUCUAAUGACCAGUAAAAAUAGUACUAUAUACAAAUUUGCAUUGAACGGAAGUUUUCACCGUAUACGAGACCAUCUUAUCUCUGAAAGGAAUGGAAUAUUCCCGGUGGCUUAUCGUGUACACUUAAGUUGGAGUUUUCAUCAAGGUGCCACUCAGCGAGAAAUUAGACUUUGUAACGCUGAGAUGGAAAGGGGGGCAUAUAUUCAGGCUUGAUCAUAUAUAGGUCCUAGUUUUGAAAACCGGACCGGUGACUGAACCACCGAGGCUAUCGGUUCAGGUUGAUGCAAAAUUCAGACUUGUCAAUAUGAAUAAUAAUUCACAUAAUAAAGUAGCGCAAGUAGGAUUUGUAUUUAUCAAUCGCUUUGUGCUUUUAUUUUUAGAUUCACAGGCUUUUCGCCUGGUUCAAUUUAUCAAUGAAACCAUGUUCACAGGAGUAGCGCAAGUAGGAUCAUUACAGAACUGAAAGCCUACAUGGUCUAACCAGCCUGUAGAAGUAAAAGAUAGCACAGCUUACAAGCUGAAAAAUUUCUGGCAACGGGAACAGAUAAAAGCCACCUAACCAGAGAAAGCAAUAUGGCGCAGCGGUGUCCUCAUGUCCGAUGCCUGAGGCGUCCCAGGGCCCAACAAAGUAGUUCUGGGGAUUUCUCUCGCUUUGGUGUCCAUCAACAUGAUGCAGCGAUCCAGGAUCUCUAUGUUCUUCUUGGGGCAAAGAGGUUGCCAACGCUUUAAUAUACUAAGCAGCCUGCAACUUGGUCAACAAAAAAAAAACUCAGCAGCCUGCAAGUCAUGUUUGAAUCUAAAUUUUAAAAAAUCAUGGAUCUUGAACUUCCGUCGGAUAAAGUAAUGAUGAUUCAAAUGAGCAAACGUACCGUAAGAAGAGUCUGAAUGUCUGAUGAAGACGGUGUUAAAUCUGCAGGGCUAUAUCCUGCUAACAAUCCAAGCACACGUCCCAUCGCUGCACCCACCGCCGUGCCGCCGGGACCACCAGCGCCGCAACCUGCGAGCCAGUCCAUGGGUCCAACCUGAGCCUGCUCCUCCUGGGCCUCUACCUGAUCCCUAUCGGCAAUGGCGCCGCACGGGCCUGCCUGCCGGCUCUGGGCGGCGACCAGUUCGACACGGCCGACCCUGCGGAGCAGCGGCAGGAGACGAGCUUCUUCAACUGGUACACCUUUGCCGUCUCCUCCGGCGGCUUCCUCGGCCUCGUACUCAUCGUCUGGGUCGAGAACAAGCAAGGAUGGGAUAUCGGCUUCGCCGUCUGCGCUCUCUGCGUGCUCCUGGGGAUGCUCAUCUGGAUCGCCGGGUUCCCCUUUUACAGGAAUCAGCUUCCCGGUGGAAGCGCCAUGACAAGAAUGCUUCAGGUAAUCUAUAUGCUUUACUUAUUUACCCAGGCUACAAAUUUUGCGAAGAAUUGAGUAAGUUGUUUUCAACAGGUUCUGGUGGUGGCAUUCAAGAAAAGAAAUGUUGAGUUACCCAAGGACACAAGUGAACUGAAACAGAUGAACCAAGAUGACCGCAAUAAUGGGCUUGAAGAGCUGGAAAGAACAUCGGGCUUUCAGUAAGUAGAACAACGGGCUAAAAUUGGAGUGUUAUGUUAUUACUAUAUUGCAGGAGAUCGAUAAAGCUUUGUGUGAAUUUCCUUGCUUCAUUCAGGUGUCUUGAGAAAUCUGCCAUAGACACCGGAGAGAUGGGGCCCUGGUCGCUGUGCAUGGUGACCGAGGUGGAGGAGACCAAGAUCGUGCUUCGCAUGGUGCCCAUCUUCCUCAGCGCCAUCCUCGGCUACAUCCCGGUGCCGCUGAUCCUCAACUUCACCGUGCAGCAAGGGAACACCAUGCUCUUCCUCAUCCCGACCGUCUUCACCAGAUGGUCAUCCUGGUCCUCUACGACCGCUUCAUCGUCCCUUUCCUGCGCAGGAUCACCGGGUACGUUGGCGGCGUCACGCACCUACAGCGCAUCGGCAUCGGGUUCCUCUCGGCCACCCUCGCCACUGGCAUCGCCGCCCUGGUCGAGACCAAGAGGAAGAGGGUCGCAGAGGAGAACGGUCUCAUGGACGCUGCCACGGGGAUCCCUAUCUCUGUUUUCUGGCUCACCGUGCAGUUCUUCAUCCUCGGGGUCGUCGACGUAACCUCCUUCGUGGGGCUUCUCGAGUUCUUCUACAGCGAGGCGUCGACGGGGAUGAAGUCCGUAGGGAGCUCCAUCUUCUACUGCAUCCUUGAGGUGUCGGCUUGGCUGGGGAGCUUGCUCAUCCAGGUACCGAACCAGGUCACGAGGCGCGGCGACGGGGCGGAGGCGGCGACAGGGUGGCUGGAUGGGACUAACUUGAACAUGGGCAAGCUUGAUAGGUUCUACUGGCUGCUUGCUGUUCUUGAGCUGGUGGCGUUCUUCAUUUACAUGUUCUUCGCAAGGAGGUACGAGUAUAGGAAUAACCAGAGGGCUGUGGACAAUACAGGAGAUAUCAAGGCUCCAUUGGCACCCGAAGGUGCUGUGGGUGAUCUGAUAAUCUAGAUGUGCUAGUCAUCCACCCUUUCUUUGACGAGCUUUUACGUUAUUCCAUCCUGUACUAUUGUAAUAUUUAGUUAUGGAAUGAGUGAUAUAUUCAUAUUUAUUGCUUCUGGUGGAUUUAUGUUUCUGCACACCCAAUAUGUGAACACUAUUGCUGGAUGUUGUGGUAUUAUCUUGCCGUGAAAAAACAUUAUUCCAAUGUUUUUAUCAAGAUAGAUCAAACUAGGAAUUCUUUUUUGUUUGGCUUAUUUAUUUUUGGUAUAAAAAUAUUUCUACUUUCAUUGAUGAUAUGCUAUUUAUUCUAACCAAAAGGAAUAUACUUGUGAAAUUUAUAUGAGGUUCGAUGAUAUUCCUUUUUUGCUUGGGUCCGUCUAUAGCCCAGUUGUCUGAAAUUUUCGCUUUCCAGCCAGCCAUCCACUGCCUAUCCUAAGGCUAAAAAUACUCUAGUUUCUUGGACGGUACUAUUGUAAAUUUUCUUUGCUAACCGUUUGUUCCGGGCCUUUUCUAUUGUGUACUGGGCUGUACAAAUUUUUAUUGGACUAUACCUAUUCUGGAUUAGAAUGGGUUAAAGGAUUAUAAAAAGAACUUGACUAUAGAAGAGAAGACUAUAGGUAUAGUUCCUUUUUGGAACAGAUUAUGGUAAUCUAAAACACACAUAAAAAUUUGUAAAUUGCAACUGAUUAAGUAUAGAAUUGCACUGCCAGAGAUUUUGAAAGCACUAAUCAACUUUCAAAUUUUGGGUAUAACCCUACAGGUGCAAUUCAAAUUAAAAAUCAGCAACUGCAACAAAAAAAAUACACACCUGCUAACCAUGCAAUUGCAUAUAGAUGCAACUAGGAUUGCAAAAUGUAAACAUUAUGCACUUAAAAGUAAAAGAUAGUGCAACUUGAAUGAAACUUAAUUAAUUGAAACUGAUUAAGUCUAGAAUUGCACUCCGAGAGAUUUUGAGCACUGCAUCAACUUUCAAAAUUUGGGUAUAAACCUACAUGUGCAAUUCAAAUUAUUAAAAACUGCAACUGCAUAUGGAUGGAACUAGGAAUGCAAAUGUAAACGUCAUGCAAUUAAAAGUAAAAUAUAGAGCAAUUUGAAUGAAAAUUUUAUCUUGUCCGUUGGAAUUCGUUGGAACCAAUAAAUGUUUCAGCUUGUUUCAUUUCUUGGAAAAAAAUGACAGCAAUGCUUUGACAAUUCUAUCAACCAAAAUGGUAAACCACCUACUGAAUUAUAAGGUGCAUGACCAAAAAGGCAAACAACCUACUGAAUUAUAAGGUGCAUUUCGGAUCUGUAUGCUAUUAGAUCUAGCAACACAGCUUGGUACAAACACAGAAAAGAACAUGUCCGCAGCAAAGAAAAGGAGCGGUGCAUCCUGUAAAUUACUUAAUUACUUAAUUAACGUAUUGUUACAUCCUGUACUUAAUUAACGUAUUUUUCUUUUAAGUUGUUCUUAAAUUACUUAUUAUUGUUACAUCCUGUACUAUUGUAAUAUUUAGUCAGGGAAUGAGUGAUAUAUUCAUAUUUAUUGCUUCCAGUCGAUUUAUCUGUUUCCGUAGACCCAAUAUGUGAACAUUAUUCAAAAAGAAAAAGGCUGGGGGCGGUGGGCAGAAUGUAGAUCCGCCUUGGGCAAAGAGAAAGGACAAGGUGGUAUAAAAGUGGGAUCCUGCAUAUGACCCACUUUCAAAGGCAGUAUGCUUGUGCUAUGCCACGACAUACUGCUAGAUUAAACCAUGUUCCACCUUCAAUCCCGCAUGUUCCACCUGCGUGAAGGCAUUAUGUUUAUAAAUCCAUACACACCGCAUACAUGUGCGUGCUGACGUACUAAUACUCCCUCUGAAUAUACAGGCUGUUACUGAGCAAAACCUUUAACAGAAUAAAAACAAAAAAUUGAAGACAAUAUUAACAAGAUGUACAUGAAUUUUGGCUUCUCUUAACUAUUGAUCUAGGACAUAAAAUGCAUUCGUGAAGACAGCGUACUACAUUUAGAAAGUGAAUGCAUGGUACCUGCAGCAGGGAGUAAGUAUACGAUGAUGGAGAGGAGCAACGUGAGCUUUGAAGAUUCUGGUUCAUUGAAUAGAUGUCUUAUUCUUCAUUUUGUCAAAUCAUAGCUAUGAGCUUGCACAUGAUGUUCCUCUUUUGGUUUAGUUUUUCCCACAGGAAUGAGUCAUAAGAAACAAUUGGUAGUUCCAGAAGAGCACUAUUUUCAACAAACAAACUGCAGUCAAGGAAUGGCAGUGCUGUGAAAAACAACACUACUUUGCCCAGCUGUCUUCUUGAUUCCAGCCUCAUGCAUCAUCUGGCCCAUUCUUAUAGCAGCAUACCAGUUCCCAUCUUCUAGAUAAAUAUUCCUAAUAGCCACAUACCGAUCGGAUUGCUGAGGACCAAGAGCCACUAGUUUCCGCUCAAUCUCAGCAACAAGCUCUACAUUUCCAUGGAGCUUGCAAGCACCAAGAAGUGCACCCCAUACAGAAGCAUCAGGGGGAAAUGGCAUCCUCUCUAUAAUCUCAAUGGCCUCAAUGAAACGGCCAGCACGUCCUAAGAGGUCCACAACACAUCCAUAAUGGCUCAUCACCGGAGUCACCUUGUAUUCAGUGACCAUCGCCUCAAACCAGUAUAACCCAAUCUCCACCAAUCCUGCUCUAGCACAACCUGUCAGUAUAGAAAGAAAUGUAAUCUGAUUCGGCAAGAACCCUCCAACAAUCAUCAUGUUAAACUUAACCAACGUUUCAGUUUCCUUCCCAUGGUUAGCCAAUGCAGACAGCAGUGCAUUCCACGUACAUACCUCCUUCUCCAGUACGGCCUGAAAAGCUCUCUUACAACAGUCCAUCUUCCCGUACUUUCCAUAAGUGUCAACCAGUGCCGUGCCCAAGAAAGCUGUGAGGUCAACCUGAUGCCGAACAACAUAAGCAUGCACAGCCAUCCCCACCACAAGCCCCUCAGCGCCAUCCAAGUUAGCACAAGCAGAGAGCACGCUGACCAACGUAGCCUCCCCGAGCCAUCCCUUAUUGUGCACCAACAAUCCCCUAAAAGCCUCCACAGCAUCCCAGUGGCACCCAUUCCUCGAUAAACCAGAGAUUAGCGUGGUCCACGACACCACAUCCCUCACCGCCAUCCGCUCAAAGAAGUCUCUAGCCGUGGCCAGAUCCCUGGCAAGGAACAGCACGUCAAGCAUGGCAUUACAGGAGGCCAGAUCGGGACUCCUCAUUUCAUCGAACACCUUGCCUGCGUCACACGGGAGAUCGCCAGCUCGGCCAUAGGAUCUGACGAGCGAGCAGGCGACGAAGCGGUCGGCCGCGAGGCCCCGGCGGAGGCACUGCGCGUGGAGGGCCGUGGUGGUUGCGCCGGAGGCGGAGGCGGACCUGAGGAGGGAAGGGAACGUGUGGCCGUUGGGGUGCGCGCCGGCGGCGAGCAUGGCUGAGAAGAGGCGGAGCGGGGCGCCUGGCGGAGAAGAUGUGGAGGAGAGGCGGAGGUGGGCGUGGAUGAGGCAGUUGUAUGGAAAGGCGGCGGCGGGGGCGUGGGAGGCGGAGAACGCGCCGGAGGUGAGGAGGAGGGCGUGGACCUGGAGGAGUCGGCGAGGACAGGAGAAGUGGUUCUGGAGGAGGUGCUCGAGGCGGGCGCAGGAGUACGGGGAGCCCGUCCACAUAUGGUAGCGGGAAGCCGACGCCGGCAGCGUGGAGGGUGGAGGGCGGUGGCGAUGGAGGACGGGGAAGCCGGCGGCAAAUGCAUGGGUUUGGAGUUUGGAUGCACGUCUUUUUUUUUUGACAGCUGGAUGCACGUCAAUUCUCUUCAAGAAAGAUGUCUCAAAUAUACCGCCAAGGUCCCGGGGCACCAAUUUCACCCUAUACCCGUGCAUGGUUGGCCCGACCCGAAACACGACGUCCCGGGCCAGGCCCGGACUUCACUUUCCAAUCCCGAACCCAGUCCGAAAGUCCGAAAUAACUAAAAACGGUAUAUUUUUAAGGAAAAAUAAGUAUAAAAAAUCAUUUAUUUAUUCCGAAAAUAACUAUUUUAAUGCUAAAAUGGUCAAUUUUUUCGGGCUUCGGGCCGGGCCGGGUUCGGGCUUGAGGUUUUCCCGUCGAGCUUUAUGAAGCCUGGCCGAAACCCGGCCCGGCCCGAGGCUUGCCCAGGUAUAUUUCACCCUCAACUUGAAUGUAGUACUCCUUCCGUUUCAUAAAGGUUGGCACGGUUGGAAUUAUAUAUAAUUUUCACUCUACUCUUAGCAAAACCAGAUCAAUCUCUCACUAAGCAGUAUUAUGUCCUUAAUAGGCUAAUAUAAGGAGGUUUUGCCAAAUUGCUUCCGAGAAGAGAAUGAACUAGACCAAGUGUAAAGUAUAGAAACUAGUUGUACCGUGUCAGACUGAAAAUGCAUGGUUCAAAGUCGUGCCAACCUUUAUGAAACGGAACAAGUACUCGUAUAAUUUUCACCAUACUCUUAGCAAAACUAGAUCAAUCUCUCACUUAGCAGUAUUAUGUCCUUAGUAUGCUAAUUUGAGGCGGUUUUGCCAAAUUGCUCUUGAGAAGAGAAUGAACUAGGCCAAGUGUAAAGUAUAGAAACAAGUUGUACCGUGUCAGACUGAAAAUGCAUGGUUCAAAGCCGUGCCAACUUUUAUGAAACGGAACAAGUACUCGUAUAAUUUCACCCUACUCUUAGCAAAAACCAGAUCAAUCUCUCACUUAGCAGUAUUAUGUCCUUAAUAGGCUAAUUUAAGGCGGUUUUGCCAAAUUGCUCUCGAGAAGAGAAUGAACUAGACCAAGUGUAAAGUAUAGAAACGUGUUGUACCGUGUCAGACUGAAAAUGCAUGUUAGAAUGCAGUACCAUGUUAACCUUUAUAGUUAACAUAACAAGCUUUACCCGCAAAAAAAAAAUGCAAGCUUGUUUAACUCUGAGAUAUUAUUGGUUCUCCUCUUGUUCGCAGAUGGUUGGGUUAAUAGUUUGACAUGCUUUUUGUACUUAUAGAUUAUGCAAUGGAUCCUCUCGAUACCCUUAUAGUCAAAUUUCAUUUCAAUGUAACAAUUGUUCGUUCAGACAGUGCAUUGGAGUAUGUUAAUAGCAUGGAGGACAUUUCAGAAAUUGAGUGAUUGGCUUUCAUAUAUGAUGAUGAAUCCUUACUGGAUGGAUUUAUUUCAAGUUGCUACUCCAUUGACAUGUACAAUAAUAUAUAUGAUCAUUGUUUGGAACCUAUGGAAGAAGAGAGUUGGACAACUGCAAAUAAUGUUCUUAUCAAUUCUUAUUAGUUUUGUCAUGCAUGUCACGGGAUUUUCAGGUGGAUCCAAGCCGUACAGGAAAGGCUAUAGCUCAUAAUUAUGAACCUGCUCCGAUUGUACCAAAUAAACAGAUAUUCGGAGCUACAAGCCUGAAGAUUGUUGGCACUCCGUCCACAAGUCCCGCUCACAGCCUGCUCCCGUUGUUCGAACCAAGCAAAAGAAAGCACAAAGAGUGAAGUCUAGCUCAAGCUCCGAGCAAAGCCCUCGGCCUGCAUGUAAUAUUGUUAUGGCAAACCAGCAAAUUAAUAAUUGCACAAUUGUGAAUCUAAGCUGCCAAGCUUAGCUUCACAUUUACCUUUGCAUUGUGUUUUCAGCCUAGCUGCGUAUAAGUCUGCAAAGAGUGCAAAAGAAGGGCCAAAAAACUACAAGAGAGUUUGAGUAAAUAUCAAGGAACCCAUAUAUAGUAUAAAAAAUGGUAUAAAAAAACCUAAACUCUUGAAAAAUUUAUCACGUAACCACAACCUAUAUGCUAUAUGUUGCAGGAAGCCCAUCCCAUAAUUCCGCAAUCUAUCUUCUUAACCGAAGAACUGACCGUUGGGUCCCGUAGGUCAGUGUCUGUAACUAAGUUAAUCUCAGUGUUUUGCUUGCCCAGCCGGGUUUGAUCGGUUCGACCUGAUUUGGAUUCGGCCCACCGUAUGAUGUCACACUCAAACGAACUGCUGGUUCGACCUAGUCAUUUCGCCUUAUCUCACCGAGCCUGACUAGGCAAGUUCGGAGGCAGCGGUGGCGGCGGCGACUGUUCGUCUGCAUCAACUUGUGAUGGCAUGGACUGGAGCGGCUGCCUCUCUGGUUUGGAGAGACUUGUGAUGGCAUGGCCAGAAGCCUAGAAGGUUUGAUUUGACUAAUGGCGUGUUUGAUUUUGUGCAAAAAUGUAAUAUGCCAAUUUUGUUGGUCAUUGACCAAGAUUUGACAUUAAUUUGGAUGGUUGUCAACUAUUUGGCAAGUCAAUGUUUUUAGCUAACUCUAGUUCAACGUUUUGGCUAAAUUUGGCCAGCUCAUGAGCUAGCAAAACCAGGACCAACUAUUUGGUUAGCAAAAAAUUUGUCAAGGCAAGUUUGGACUCAAAACAAACAUAUAAAUUCCAAUUUUUCUUAUGGAGCAUCGGCUCAAACCCAUCCAGGCCUAGACUUGCAUUAUCAUUCAUAGGUAAUCUCGUCUGAAGAGAAGAGGAAGCUAAGGUUUGAGAAGAAGAAAGGAAAUAAUUAGACAGAAGAGACACAAGAUCGAAGUUGACACGGAAGCUUGUAUAUUUGAAUGACGUAUUUUUUAUUCAUUUUUGUAUGACACGCUUUUGUUACGUUUUAAAAAUAUAAUGGAAAUUACAUCAGUCGAUGCAGAGGGCUCACACCAGGGAUAUCUUUCUUUCUAGAAAAGAUUGACACUUCCAUGAAUAAUAGCUGUUAAUAGGACUGUGGAUGUAUUUAAUUUUCUUUUUCUAUUCUCAUUCGAACAACAGUGUUUUUAUGCUGGUUGGUGGCGCUUCAGGGGUUCUCUUCGCCUCUGCAUCGAAACGAUGCAUACCGUCAAUUUUAUUGCAAAGUUAUAUCAUCUUAGUGGCUUCUUUUUCGUCUACCUGCUAUGCCCGCCACCACUGCACCCCUUUAUUAGCAUCCACCAAACAGAGCAGGGGUUUCAUCGGCAGGAACCUGGAGUAUAGCUACAAGCAGUGAGGCUGUGAGAGAGGGCAGGGAGACGGGGGGAGCUAGGAGGGGAGAUGGGAAGCUCAUCAGGGCUCGUCGACUGGAGGGGCAGGCCUGGAGGAGUAAGAGCUUCAAUCUUCAUUCACGGUAUGGAACACUCUGAGCAUGACUUGGUUCCAUUGAUUGAGUUCCUCCAUUGCUUUGCUCACUUAAGCUGUGCUUGUCCGGCCAGCCGACGAGUCAAAAAUGAUAUGCUUCUAAACUGUACGUUGAGUUAUUGACUUGCUGAGUCCAUGAGUCAUGUAAGAUAGAUCAUGUUUUAUUUUAAGAACGCUUCCUAAGCACAGUACAUAUGGAUGCACAAAAUUGACUGACAUGCAUGAAAACACUCGAUUUGGACUUUUGUUGCACACUUUUCUUAUGCUAGCUAACCUACACUCCCUUGUCUCUGUCAAUUAAUUAGCGUGAAUUUCCACAAACAAAAUACACACCAUAAGCUUAAUCACAACUUUUCUUUUUUUUUCGCUGUACUGCACUGCAGCUCUGGUGCUCCUUAGCAACGCUGCCAACAUAGCCAACAUCAUGAACUUGGUGAGCUACCUCCACGGCACGAUGCACAUGGGCGUCGCGGAGGCCUCAACGACGGCGAGCAACUUCAUGGCCGCGCUGCAGAUGUUCUCCAUCCCUGCGGCCUUCCUUGCCGACUCCUACAUCAAGCGCUUCUACACCGUCCUCAUCUUUGGGCCCAUAGAGAUCCUGGUAACAUAUAAUAUUUCCAGUCAUAUAUCCUUAGGAAGAUGCGUCUUUACGUUAGCUCUUAAUCAUCUUUGCAACGUGAGCAUCGUUUGAAAGGAAUUGAAUCUUGAGAAAAUUACUUAAAACCAUCACAAUGGAGGCAACUGUCUAUGAAAUUUUGCAAAUUGUCACCACUUUUGAGGCAAGCAGUACUCCCGCGCACUGAUUCGCUGGUUGAUCACAUUUUGACGGAAAAACUGACAGUGAGGCCCGCAUGUCUGGUCCAAUAUGGCAGUGGACUUUUCCUCUGCCACGAGGUCGUCAACGCUCUGCGUCCGGUUCCCCUACCCCAACAAAUGCUACACCACCGGCAGCCAAUUCCCCUGCCCGCGUUGCCUUGGACUCCGGCAGCUCCCCGUCGGCAGCCCGCUCCCGGUCGCCCUUGAGGAGGCCCUGACAGGUGACUUGCCGCGCUACGCGUCGCUGUGCAAGCCGAGGAAGAUCGUCAUGCUGCCUCUGGCGAAGGCACAAGGCGUAGGAGGCAACAUCCCCCAAAUCAGGGAGGGCGUCGGCGUCAAGGAGACGCGGUGGCGGGCGCGGCCGGCGGUGGCGGCCGAGAGCCCGUGGGGGAGAGCCAUGCGGUGCCCAGCAGCGAUGCUGCUCCUGCCGGUGGUGACGAGAGCGCGGGGCGUGGGCGGUGCGGGCAGAGGCCGAGCUGCGGGGCGGGCAAGAGGUCGGAGCGGGUUGCCGACAGGGAGCUCGCGUAGCGGCGGAGGAGCAACACUGCGGGACCUAGGACCUAGGGGCGAGGACAACGGGAGAUGGCGCGUUGGCGCCUCUGACCGGAGGUAGGGAAGACGAGCUCGAACAGGUCAAAGCUCCUUGCCCGCCGCCAAGACAAUGACCUCCACCGCCGGCGGGAACCACCCCCCCCCCCCCCCGCCUCGUCGGAGUCAGCUGUCCUCCUCCUCCCACGGCGGACUCCCGCCAUGAAGCGCGCAAGGACAGGAUCGACCUCGCUGAAGCCGGCAGUUCCGCCAUGAGCUCCUCCGCCGGAUCCAAGUCGGGGUCGGGUCUAGCCACGGUGGAUGCCUAGGCCAACAUGGAGCCAGCGUGGACCUGACAUGCGGGCCCCGCUGUCAGUUUUUCCGUUAAAAUGCGAUCAAUCAGCGAAUCAGUGCGCGGGAGUACUGCUUGCUUCAAAAGUGGUGGCAAUUUGCAAAAAAAAAGUAGUUUUCCUAGACAGUUGCCCCAAUUGUGGUGGUUUUAAGUAAUUUUUUCUUGAAUCUUUCCUGGUGGCUAGCUUAUCGUGUACAUUUUUUUAAAAGCGGUCUUGAUCUACGUGCACUUGAAUUGGUGUUUUCAUCAAGGUACUACUCAGCGAGAAAUUAGACUUUCGGCCUCGAAGGGAAAGGUGGAAUAUAUAGUUGCCAUCGCGUAUGUCCGUAUGCAGGAGCUGAUGUUGACAGAUUGACAAAUGGGAGGCGACGUUCGUGGGAGGGAGGGGCCCAGGGGAACAGAUGAAAUAGGUGGGACGUAAUGUGGGAGAGUGGAUAAUGUAGGAGUACUACUACUCCAGUGCCUUGCUUCUUUUUUUUUGACAAAGAACUCCAGUGCCUUGCUUGUGUGAAACAAAACAUCAAAGAUGUUUUCUAAAAGCCUUGGGGUUGCUUCUGCUUUUGAUCGCAACAUUUCAGCUGAACGCGCUAGUUUCACUUUCAAGUUGGUUCCAGUCACAUCGCUUUACCAAUAGACAGGCAGAACACUCAUAAUUGAUUGAUCAUUAGGUUACAAAUAUCCUUGAUUUUUUUUUUUUGAGAAUACAAAUAUCCUUGAUGGAUGAAUAAGAAAAAAUAGUGUGAAAAGCCGUGAUAGCUAAAAACAACUUAUAGCAAUUACCGUUUUGACAUGAGAAUAGUGUUUGGAUGGUUGUUUUCAGCCCAGCCCAAUCGAUCGUCUCACUGCUUCUACCCGUAAUAAAAAUACAAACAGCCCAAAAGCUCUCAAUUCAAGCAACGUGCUGAAAGGAGCCCCGCAGGCCGCACCCGCUCCUCCUUCCCGCUCUGCUCCGGCGUUGGCCACCAUACUCUCGGAAGUAGCGCAAGCAGGAUUGUGCUUUUAUUUUUAGAUUCACAGGCGUUUCGCCCGGUUCAAUUUGACAACGAAACCAUGUUCACAGAAGUAGCGCAAGUAGGAUUGUUACAGAACUGAAAGCCUGAAUGGUCUAACCUGCAUGUAGAAGUAAAGGACAGCAAGCUUACAAGCUGAAAAAUUUCUGGCAACCAGAACAGGUACAAGCCACCUAAGCAGAGAAAGCAAUAUAGCGCAGCAGUGUCCUCAUGUCCGAUGCGUGAGGCGUCCCAGGGCCCGACAAAGUAGUUCUUCUCUUCUUCAAAGACAGAGCCUGGGGACUUCUCUCGCUUUGGUGUCCAUCAACGUGAUGCAGCGAUCCAGGAAUCUGUGGGCCAGUACAUUUAGAGAAGCCGUUUCCGGAGAAGCUCAGGCUAAUCUAAAAAUAAGAGUAAAUUUCGAACCACAGGUUUUGAGGCAGUUUUCUCACGGAGCACUGGUAGAUGCUAAUCUGUCCACAGAAUCACAAUUUUUGUGUCUAAUUGUCUCAGUCCACCCAAAACACGGAUUUAACCCCGUUUGACACUAUUUCUUACAGGUGGGGCCCGCACGUCAGGCGUCACAUCUUUUUCAUGAGACCCCUCGUCUUCUUCUUUUUUUCCUCAUUGCUCUUCUUCUUCUACGGUUCUGUGAAAUUUACUUUAAAAAAGACUGGCUUGUAUGUUUUUAUUGGGGCAAAUAGGUUGCCAGUGCUUUAAUAAACUCAGCAGCCUGCAAGUGAUGUUUGAAUCUAAAUUUGAAAAUUAUGGAUCUUGAACAUCCGUUGGAUAACAUAAUGAUGAUGCAAAUGAGCAAACGUACCGUAACGCAAGUCUGAAUGUCUGAUGACGAUGGCGUCAAAUCUGCAGGGCUUAUAUCCUGCUAGCAGUCCAAGCGCAUGUCCCAUCCCUGCACCCACCGCCAUGCAGCCAGACCAGCGGCGCCGCCACCUGCGAGCCCGUCCAUGGGUCCAACCUGAGCCUGCUCCUCCUGGGCCUCUACCUGAUCCCCAUCGGCGACGGCGCCGUACGUUCGUGCCUGCCUGCCGGCUCUGGGCGGCGACCAGUUUGACACGGCCGACCCUGCAGAGAAGCGGCAGGAGACGAGCUUCUUCAACUGUUAUACCUUCGCUGUCUCCUCCGGCGGCUUCCUCGGGCUCGUGCUCAUCGUCUGGGUCGAGGACGCUGCCACGGGGAUCCCUAUCUCUGUUUUCUGGCUCACCGUGCAGUUCUUCAUCCUCGGGGUCGUCGACGUAACCUCCUUCGUGGGGCUUCUCGAGUUCUUCUACAGCGAGGCGUCGACGGGGAUGAAGUCCGUAGGGAGCUCCAUCUUCUACUGCAUCCUUGAGGUGUCGGCUUGGCUGGGGAGCUUGCUCAUCCAGGUACCGAACCAGGUCACGAGGCGCGGCGACGGGGCGGAGGCGGCGACAGGGUGGCUGGAUGGGACUAACUUGAACAUGGGCAAGCUUGAUAGGUUCUACUGGCUGCUUGCUGUUCUUGAGCUGGUGGCGUUCUUCAUUUACAUGUUCUUCGCAAGGAGGUACGAGUAUAGGAAUAACCAGAGGGCUGUGGACAAUACAGGAGAUAUCAAGGCUCCAUUGGCACCCGAAGGUGCUGUGGGUGAUCUGAUAAUCUAGAUGUGCUAGUCAUCUACCCUUUCUUUGACGAGCUUUUACGUUAUUCCAUCCUGUACUAUUGUAAUAUUUAGUUAUGGAAUGAGUGAUAUAUUCAUAUUUAUUGCUUCUGGUGGAUUAAUAUGUUUCUGCACACUCAAUAUGUGAACACUAUUGCUGGAUAUUGUACUAUUAUCUUGCUGUGAAAAAACAUUAUUCCAAUGUAUUUAUCAAGAUCGAUCAAACAAGGAUUUUUUUUUUUGUUUGGCUUAUUUAUUUUUGGUACAAAAAUAUUUCUACUUUCAUGGAUGAUAUGCUAUUUAUGUAACCAAAAGAGUAAAAUAGACCACUAGCCCAUGAACUCGGCAAAAAUGAACACUUUAGUCGAAGAACUCGAAAAACGCACACUUAAACUUCUAAAUUAGGACUACUGUGUCACUUUUGUCCAAAAAACGGUUCGGCGAGACUUAAACACGCCACAUGGCCGCCUCGUCGGUUUUGGCCGAGACCACGGGUUUUAAUCCCUCUUUCGCAUGGUGUUUUUUGAAAAAUCACCAUCCAGCCACGGCGUUGCUGGUGAUUUUGGCCGCCAAUUUGGGAAUUUUGAGAUGCAUUUUAACUGGACGGGUGAUUUUGCAAAAAAAAAACACCCUGCGAAAGAGGGAUUAGAAGUAUCGAUCCUAGUCUUAGCCGACGUGGCGGCCACAUGGCAGGUUUUAACCCCGCCGAACCGUUUUUGGACUAAAGUGACACAGUAAUCCCAGUUUAUGAAUUUAUGUGUGCGUUUUGCGAGUUCGUGGACUAAAAUAUUCAUUUUUGCCGAGUUCAUGGACCAGUCAUGUAUUUUACUCUAACCAAAAAGAAUAUACUUGUGAAAUUUAUACGAGCUCGACGAUAUUCUUUUUUGCUUGGGUCCGUCCAUAGCCCAGUUGUCUGAAAUUUUCGCUUUCCAGCCAGCCAUCCAUUGCCUAUCCUAAGGCUAAAAACACUCUAGUUUCUUUGACGGUACUUUCUUCAGUAAAUUUUGUUCGUGCUUUUCUUCGCUAACCAUUUGUUCUGGGCCUUUUCUAUUGUGUACUGGGCUGUACAAAUUUUUAUUGGACUAUACCUAUUGUGGAUUAGAAUGGGUUAAGGAAUUAUAAAAAGAACUUGACUAUCGAAGAGAAGACUAUAGGUACCGUUCCUGUUUUGGAACAGAUUAUGGUAAUCUAAAACACACAUCAAAAAAAUCCAAAUUUGUAAAUUGCAACUGAUUAAGUCUAGAAUUGCACUGCCAGAGAUUUUGAAAGCACUAAUCAACUUUCAAAUUUUGGGUAGGGUAUAACCCUACAGGUGGAAUUCAAACUAAAAAUCUGCAAUUGCAAAUAAAAAAAAGGCACCUGCUAAACAUGCAAUUGCAUAUAGAUGCAACUAGGAUUGCAACAUGUAAACAUCAUGCCAUUAAAAGGUCGGAAGCACGGAUACGGCAAGAAUCCGGCGUAUCAGGGGUCGGUACGCCCGGACACGCAGAUAUGCCCGGACACACGAAAAUACGUGUCCGAUACGUAUCUGCCAUUUUCCGAAUAAAAAAAAUAAAAAAAAUCAGGAUACGGGAAGGACACCGGGCGGACACGAGGCGGGACAAGGGAGUGACCUAAUUAGCCCGCAUCUAAGCCAUCCUCUUCCCCACGCGCUCACUUCCCCACCCACUCCCGUCCCGCCUGUGCCGGGCGCCGCCACUGCCGCCACGACGGUGCCCCCGCCGGGUCCAUUGCCGGCACCGGCCGCCGCCGCCGCCACCACCUCUGCUGCUCCCAUCCCCCGCCGCCGCCGCCGCCUCUGCUGCUGCUGCCUGCGUUGCGGCCGUCCCUCACCCUGCUGCUCCCAUCCCCCGCCGCCGCCGCCGCCUCUCCUGCUGCUGCCUGCGUUGUGCCGUCCCCCACCCUGCUGCUCCCAUCCCCCGCCCUGCUCCACCAUUUAUGUCCAUCAAAAUCUUCGUCUUAUUUCAAGGAAAUCUUCUGAGUACACAAGUGGCCCAAGCAGAUUUUGGGACAUUGGAGGAGACACCCAUGAGGUGUUUGGUGGUGGUGCGGAUUUCUUCAAGAAGCCGUACUCUCACUAGAUGAACCAGAGUUAGAGGCAUUGAUAGUUGAUGUCCAAGCAUUUGAUGUUUCAUCUAGAGGGACAGAGAUGGACAAAUGAUGGUUGUUGAAUUCAAACUUGUCAUGCGAGCUUGCCAUGAUAUCUCUUAAUUUGUCAUGGCAUGCAUCUACUAUCUAGCUAUCUAGUAUGCACUACGUCCAUAGUACCUUAUUAUUUGUUAUGUAACAUGAUUGUGAACUUGUGGUGUUUCUGAACUGAUUGUGUGUUUCUGAACUUAUGGAUUAUAAAAUUAGGCAACUUAUUUAUAUUAUUUCUAUUAAUAAUAUAUAUACAAACGUAUCUCGGUAUCCGGGUUUUUGGAAAACCGCGGAAUCGCGGUAUCCGUAUCCGUAUCCGUAUGGCCGUAUCCGUGCAACCUAGAUUAAAAGUAAAAGAUAGUGCAAUUUGAAUGAAACUUAAUUAAAUCUAGAAUUGCACCGCGGGAGAUUGUGAGCACUGCAUUAACUUUCAAAAUUUGGGUAUAAACCUACAUGUGCAAUUCAAAUUAUUAAAAACUGUAAUUGCAUAUGGAUGGAACUAGGAUUGCAAAUGUAAACGUCAUGCAAUUAAAAGUAAAAUAUAGAGCAAUUUGAGUGAAAUUUUUAUCUUGCCUGUUGGAAUUCCUUGGAACCAAUAAAUAUUUGUGCUUGUUUCAUUUCUUGGACAAAAAAUACAGCAAUGCUUUGACAAUUCUAUCGACCAAAAAGGUUAACAACCUACUGAAUUAUGAGGUGCAUGACCAAAAAGGUAAACAACCUACUGAAUUAUACGGUGCAUUUCGGAUCUGUAUGCUAUUCGAUCUAGCAACACAGCUUGGUAGAAACACAGAAAAGAACAUGUCUGCAGCAAAAGAAAAGGAGCGAUAACCAAUAGGAGAAAAAAAGGCAAAGAAAAGCUCUAGCAAUCCUGCUCUAGCACAACCUGUCAGUAUAGCAAGAAAUGUAAUCUGAUUCGGCAAGAACCCUCCAACAAUCAUCAUGUUAAACUUAACCAACGCUUCAGUUUCCUUCCCAUGUUUAGCCAAUGCAGACAGCAGUGCAUUCCACGUGCAUACCUCCUUCUCAAGUACGGCCUGAAAAGCUCUCCUGCAACAGUCCAUCUUCCUGUACUUUCCAUAAAUGUCAAUCAGUGCCGUGCCCAAGAAUACUGUGAGGUCAACCUCAUGCCGAAAAACAUAAGCAUGCAUAGCCAUCCCCACCACAAGCCCCUCAGCGGCAUCCAAGUUAGCACAAGCAGAGAGCACGCUGACCAACGUAGCCUCACCGAGCCAUCCCUUGUUGUGCACCAACAAUCCCCUAAACGCCUCCACAGCAUCCCAGUGGCACCCAUUCCUCGAUAACCCCGAGAUUAAUGUGGUCCGCGACACCACAUCCCUCAUCACCAUCCGCUCAAAGAAAUGUCUAGCCGUGUCCAGAUCCCCGGCGAGGCACACCACGUCAAGCAUGGCAUUAGAGGAGGCCAGAUCGGGACUCCCCAUUUCAUCGAACACCUUGCCUGCGUCACGCGGGAGACCGCCAGCUCGGCCAUAGGAUCUGACGAGCGAGCAGGCGACAAAGCGGUCGGCCGCGAGGCCCCGGCAGAGGCACUGCGCGGGGAAGACGGCGAUGGAGGACGGGGAAGCCGGCGGCGGCAAAUGCAUGCGUUUAGAAUUUGGAUGCAUCGCGCAUGUCUAUUCUCUGCAUUCUGCAAGAAAGAAGUAAAAUUCCCCUCAAAUGUAUCCCCAAGGCACCAAUUUCACUCUAAACUUGAAUCUACUCUUGGCAAACAAGAUCAAUCUCUCACAAGUAUCAUUAUUCUACUAUCUAUCUACUAUAUACUUAUAAAGUCAUCAACAUAUUCAUCCGAACGUACACCCCACUAAACGUACACGGAAUACUAAUGAUCCAACAAUCAGACUCAUUAAACAUGAAUUAGUUGCUAACGGUGUGCCUUAGCCACGACGCUGUCACGCCUGAAAUUCCACCGCGGAGAAUCUUUCAGUCCUGCUGUCUUCUGUUCACGAAACGUUUUUCCCAAAAAAAUUCCCUCGCCGCCAGCCUCGUACGCCGUCUUCUCCUCCUUCCCUUCCCCUGCACGCGCCGCCGCCUGGCCCGACUCGGAGACCAGCCGCCUCCGAAGAAUCUCGAAGCCUCCUCAUCGCUCCAUCCAGGCACGCGACCAGGCGUCCCGCUCGAGCCGCAGCCGCUGCCGCCGAGAUCGGGAUCCCCGCGACCACGCUGUAGCCCGCGCGUCGCCGCAGCCCCCCCUCUUUGCCCUUCCUCUCAGCUCCCGCACCUCUAGCGCCGCCGCGACCACGCUGCAGCCCGCGCCUCACGAGCCCCGCGACCAGCCCGCCCUGCCCUCCCGCCUCCUCCUGCAGUCCUGCGCCACCGCCGUUGCCCAGCCCCUCCAGUGGCCUCGGUCCAGCAGUUAGUUCAUUCAGGUUUUCAAUUUCACGAUGGUAAUUUUCUUUAGUAUUGAUUUGUGUGUACCAUUCUAUCUCCUUGUCAUGGUGAUUGGAUAUAACUGCAUGUUGUCCGGCGCUAUCGACUCUGACAUUUUUAGUUUGGUAUCACCCAUGCGCGCCUAGGCAAGCACGGAAAUACAAGUUUUUUUGUAGUCACUGUGGGGCACUUGCCUGUUAUAUCAUACUAGCUUAUGGUCUUCAUGUGAAGCACUUCGUUAUUUCAUUUGUUUAGUUGCCAUAACAUUAUUAUAUCAAUACAGUACUCUGAAGCAAUGAUUAUUCCUUGUAUGUUUAGUCAAUAUAUUAACCUGUGUUUGUAUUUUGUCACAGGCACCACCGGGAUUGUUGAUUACACAAACUGUGAUGAUAUGAAAUAUGUUGUGAGUCAAUAUAUUAAUCUGUUUUAGUGUAUAUUCUCGCAUUUGCUUGUCUAUUUGCAUGAAGCCUUUUCUGAUUGGAUAGCCUACAAUACCUACAUAUUACAUUUAAUAGCAAUCUAUUACUAUGAAGUUUUAUAACUUACUGCUUUAGUUUUCUUAGUUAGUUCUAUUUCUACGUUUCCCAUGUUUUAAUAACAUCGUUUUGGCUGUUGACCACCAUUCGCAGAUAAAGAAACUGGAUGACACUGAAUUUAACUUUUCUAAAGGUUAUCUAGGGGUAAGCCUGGUUACUUGAAUAUGGUUCAACCGUUGGAACCUGGUUUCUGUGGUUAAGCACCUUCUUUGCAGGUGAAGGAAUAUGAUGCUAAACGUGGGCGCUCCUACUCACGUAGCUGAAGCCCAAGUCGUAGCCGCAGCAAAAGCAGGAGCCCAAGGUUUACCCUGUUAUGCCAUUUCAGCGUAUUGACUUCAGUAAUCAUGGUUAGUUUGUUGAUCGUGUCCACAAACACCUUUGAUAAUGUUGCCAUGUGAUACUAUCUGUGUUUGGGGAUUUCCUUCUCAAUCACUCACUUUAUGUUACAAACGAUAUGAACUGCUUAGCCUCUUGUGUUUUUUGAAGACUCGAUUGUCUCUUCGUUUUAUCUGGGAUUGUGCGGCGAUCUUGGGGAUUGUGCAUUAGGAUAUUGGGGAUGGAAUUUGCUCAAUUUGGUACAAUUCUGUUGGUUGUAUGAGGUUUCAUUUAUUAAGAGCUUCUAUGGAAAGAUGCAAUCAUCCAAUUUUUUUAACCUAAUGUACUGUAACUGAUUGCCAUCAGAGCUUGGGCAUAGCGUAUUGUUUGGAAUUCUGGACAAUAAAGAGCAUUAAGGAUUAUGAUGGUACAGUGGCUAGGAAUGUGCUUGGAGUUCAAUGCUUGAGGAAUGGUUUUUCUUCCUACAUUGGGCACUCUUAACCUACGUUGCAUGGAUACGGCCCAUACCAGCCGUAUCUGCGGCCCAGAACGGGGAUACGGCAAAAAACGCCAGGGAUACGUGUGUCCAUGGUUUGUCCCGUUUUUGUGAAUUAAAAAAAGAUUAAAAGAAAAACAAAACUGCUGGGAUCGCACCUGAAGAGCGCCUGGGAUAACACAUGUCCAAGAAAAACAUCACACGGCCCACGGCCCUUCAGGACGCACGACCUCGCAGUUACAGAACAAGUUCUUCGCGCACGCGGCAGCGCCUCGCUACAUCCCGCCUCCAUCGCAAAGCUCUUCAAUCAUUCAAGUCCAUUGAUGCAGCGCCCAUGGACCUCAAUUUUCUCUCUGUAUAACAUUGUAUACUUGUAUUUUUAAUUUUUUAUACAUAUACUCGUCAUAUCCCCGUAACUGUAUUUUUAGAAAAUGCCGUUUUCCCGUAUCCCCGGAUCCGUAUCCCCGUAUUCGUAUCCCCGUACCAUACCAUGUAACAUAGCUCUUAACAUGGCCUUUUGUAGCUUGCAUGCACUGACUGCAUUCAACACCGAUUUUUUGCAUUUCUGCAUGAUUUGAACUUAUAUAACUGAGUGCUUCAGUUUUCCUUGAGCUCUUUUUGCUUCGAUUCGGUUAGUCCAAUGCUGGGCGAAGCAUGAAGGCUUUUGGACUCAAGCUGUUAAUGGUGCAUUUUGGAUAUUGAAUUCGGUUGUUUGUGGAACUUUUGCAGAUCACCAGCAAGAUCCAAAUCCCCAAUUUGUAUUUAUCCCUGUACAGUUCCUUUUAAUUUAUAAAAUGUGCUGGGCCUCCAUUACAGUUUCCGGUAAAAAAAAAGAAAUAAUUAGAAGAGUUCUUUUAUGGCCGUGACUGAGCAUGCAUAUUCUUUGAGCUUAGACAUGAAUUAUCGAUGUUGCUGGUCUUUCUCAUGUGUGGAGUUGUAUAUCUGCAUGCUGGAGAUGACUUUGUAAGUGGCAGGUUAAUAUUUUUGGCGCAGUAACCAUGGUUUUUAAGGCGGUAAGGCGAGGCGAGGCGCCCCGACCCCUUUUCAACUUUUAAGCGUCUAAAGCGUAGCAAAGGCGACGCCUUAGACCUGUUAGAGCUACUAUAGUAGCAUAAUAUAUUGGCUAUUGAGUAGAAAUACAUAUCUUGAAAUUGUUGAGCAAACAUAGUAACAACAUGGUGACGUGCAUUGCACGUGCAAGCUCACUAGUGUCCUUAAUAAGCACUUAAGGCGUUUUUGUCAAAUUGCUCCCGAGAAGAGAAUGAAAUGAGAAUGAAAUUAGACCAGGUGUACAGUAUAGAAACCAGUUGUACUCUGUCACACUGAAAAUGCAUGUGUAGUACCAUGUUAAGAUUUCUUAUAUAAACUCAAAUCAAUUAUUUCCGGACGGAGGGAGUACAAGCUUUACCCACAAAAAAAAAGACAUAUACAAGCUUGUUUAACUACCAGAUAUUAUUGGUUCACCUCUCUUGUUUGCAGAUGGUUGUGUUAUUAGCUUGACAUCUUUUUUGUACUUAUAGAUUAUGCAAUGGAUCCUCUCGAUACCCUUACAGUCAAAUUUCAUUUCAAUGGAACAAUUGUUCGUUCAGACAAGGCAUUGGAGUAUGUUAAUAGCAUGGAGGACAUUUCAGAAAUGACAUGGGAUUCUGUUUGUUAUGAGUAGCUGCUAGCAAUUGCUGGGGACUUGAGCUUGGUUUGUGGAGAUGCAUUUCAAACGUAGUGGCGAAUACAAGGUUUAUUGUUGCUCCCUGGCAAGGAAUUGAGUGAUGGAUUGGCUUUCAUAUAUGAUGAUGAAUCCUUAUUGUGGAUGGAUUUAUUGCAAGUUGCUACUCCAUUGAGAUAUGUACAAUUAAUAAGAUAUAUGAUCAUUUUUUGGAAGCUAUGGAAGGAGAAGAGAGUUGGACAACUGCAAAUAAUGUUCUUAUCGAUUCUUAUUAGUUUUGUCAUGUCACGGGAUUAUGAGGUGGAUCCAAGCCGUACAGGAAAUGCUAGGAGCUCACAAUUAUUAACCUGCUCCGAUUGUACCAAAACAGAUAUUCAGAGCCGCAUGCCUGAAGAUUGAUGGCACACCGUCGAUCAAGACUCGCUCACAGCCUGCUAUCCAGUUGUUCGAACCAAGCAAAAGAAAGCACAAAGAGUGAAGUCUAGCUCAUGCCUCAAGCUCCGAGCAAAGCCCUCGGCCUGCAUGUAUUAUUGUUAUGGCAAACCAGCAAAUAAUUGCACAAUUGUGAAUCCAAGCUGCCAAGCUUGCCUUCACAUUUACCUUUGCAUAGUGUUUUCAGCCUACAGCUGCGUAUAAGUCUGCAAAGAGUUCAAAAGAAUGGCCAAAAAAGUACAAGAGAGUUUGAGUAAAUAUCAAGGAACCCCUAUAUAAUAAAAAAAUUGGAUUAAAAAACCACAACUCUUGAAAAAUUUAUCACGUAACCACAACCUAUAUGUUGCAGGAAGCCCAUCCCAUAAUUCCCCAGACGGAUUUGAUAGGUUCGACCCGGUUUGGAUUCGGCCCGCCAUAUGACGUCACUCAAACGAACUGCUGAUUCAACCUAGUCAUUUCGCUUUAUCUCACCAGCCUGACUAGGCAAGUCCGGAGGCAGCGGUAGCGGGGGUGACUAUUCGUCCGCAUCAACUUGUGAUGGCAUGGACCGGAGCGACUGCCUCUCCAGUUUGGAGAGACUUGUGAUGGCAUGGCCAGAAGCCUAGAAGGUUUGAUUUGACUAAUGUCGUGUUUGAUUUGGUGCUAAAAUGUAUUAUGCAAAUUUUUUUAAUCAUUGACAUUAAUUUGGAUGGUUGCCAACUAUUUGGCAAGUCAAUGUUUUUUAGCCAACUUUAAGUCAAUAAUUUGGCUAAAGUUGGCCGGCUCAUGGGUUAGCAAAACCAUGACCAACUAUUUAAUUAGCCAAAUUUUUGUCAAGGCAAGCUUCGACUAAGAACAAACAUAUAAAUCUCAAAUUUUCUUAUGGAGCAUCGGCUCAAACCCAUCCGGACUUAGGCUUGCAUUAUCAUUCAUAGGUAAUCUCGUCUAAAGAGAAGAGGAAGAUAAGGUUUGAGAAGAAAAAAGGAAAUAAUUAGACAGAAGAGACACAAGAUUGAAGUUGACUCCGUAUAUUUGAAUGACAUAUUUUUUAUUUUUUUUGUUUUUGUAUGACACACACUUGUGCUAUGUUUAAAAAAUAUAAUGGAUAUGUGCAUUAGUCGAUGGAGAUGGCUCACACCAGGGAUAUCUUUCUCUUCUAAAAAAGAUUGACACUUCCAUGAACAAUAGCUGUUAAUAGGACUGUGGAUGUAUUUAAUUUUGUUUUACUAUUCUCAUUCGAACAACAGUGUUUUUAUGCUGGUUGGUGGCGCUUCACUGCCCUCGGACUUGUUCAUUUGCCAGAACCAGUGGGUCAUGCUCUCUUGGGUAGUGGCUUCUUUUUCGUCUGCCUGCUAUGCCCGCCACCGCUGCACCCCCUUUAUUAGCAUCCACCAGCUGAGACAACUCAACAAACAGAGCAGGGGUUUCAUCGGCAGGAACCUGCAAGCAGUGAGAGAGGAAGACGGAGGGAAGGAGGAGAUGGGCAGCUCAUCGGGGCUCGUCGACUGGAGGGGGAGGCCGAUUAACAGCAAGAAGCAUGGAGGAGUAAGAGCUUCAAUCUUUAUCCACGGUAAGUAACACUCUCUGGAUGACUUGAUUCUUUUGAUCGAGUUCCGAUCCUUUGCUUUGCUCACUUAAGCUGUCUUCGCCCAGCCCACUAGUCAACAAUGAUACACUUAUCCUCACAAAAAUUUAAAACAGUGAUACGCUUCAACUGUGUAUGUUGAGUUGUUGACUUGCUGAGCUAUAGGUUAGGAUGCAAAUAGAAUCUGCUUAUAUCCCGUUUCUAAAUCAUUCUCCAAAUACAAUGUUUAAUCUUGGCUUGUGGACUUUGAGAUUGACAUAAAAGCCAGAUCCUACUUACAUCUCUAUAAGAUAUGUUUUAGUGUGAGAACACUUCGUAAGUAUACUUGGUAAAUAAGUACAUAGAUGCACAUUUGACUGACAUACAUGAAAACAACCGAUUUGGAUUUUUGUUGCACCCUUUUUCUUGUGCUAGAUAGCUACACUCUCACCUCACUCCCUCUUGUUUCAAUUAGGUGAAUCCCAACAAAUAAAAAUAAUAUACCCACCAUAAAAGCUUAAUCUUUUCUGCUGUGCUUCACUGCAGCUCUGGUGCUGCUUAGCAACGCUGCCAACAUAGCCAACAUCAUGAACCUGGUGACCUACCUCCGUGGCACCAUGCACAUGGGGGUUGCGGAGGCCUCAACGACGGCGAGCAACUUCUUCGCCGCGCUGCAGAUGUUCUCCAUCCCCGCCGCCUUCCUCGCCGACUCCUACAUCAAGCGCGUCUACGCCGUCCUCAUCUUUGGACCUAUAGAGAUCCUGGUAACAUAUCACCAUUCCAUAUUAUAAGGAAGAUGUGUUUUCAUGUUAUGUUAAUUAGCUAGUUAAUUAUCUUUGUAACGGGCAUUUCUUGAAAGGAAUGGAAUCUCCCUGGUGGGUAGCCCCAUAGAGUUGCUGCUUUCAUCAAACUACUCAACCAAAAAUUAGACUUUGUUGGGCUUGAAUGGGAAAGGUGGCCUAGGUGCCAUCGCGUACGUCAGCAGGGGCGACGCUGACGGGUUGACCAAUUGCAGGGGUAGUAGGUGGGACAUAGUGUGGGAGUUGAUAAUGUAGGAGUACUGCUCUGCUACUCCACUGCCUUGCUGUGUGAAACAAAACACUCAAAGAUGUUCUCUAGAAGCCUUGGGGGUGCUGCUGCUUUUGAUCGCAACAUUUCAGCUCAACGCUCUAGUUUCACUUUCAAGUUGGUUCCAGUCACAUCACUUUACCAAUAGACAGGCUUGAUCACUCAUAAUUGAUUGCUCAUUAGGUUACAAAUAUCCUUGAUGGAUGAAUAAGACAAGAUAUUGUUGAAAGCCGUGAAAGCUAAAAACAACUUAGAGCAAGCAAUUACCAUUUGGAUGGUCGUUUUCUACCCCUAAUAAAAACACAAACAACCCAAGUGCUUUCAAUUCAAGCAACCCCUCCUGUAAGGCUGUAAAUAUGCACUUCUCCUCCUAAUCGAAUGGCAAACGACUGCCUUUUCUUCAAAAAAAAAAAAAAAUCAAGCAACCUGAUGAAAGGACCCCCGCAGCCGCUCCUUCCCGCUCUGCUCCGUCGUCGGCCACCAUACUCUAGACGCCACUGUCUUCCGCUUUGUGCUUUUAUUUUUAGAUUCACAGGCUUUUCGCCCGGUUCAAUUUAACAAUGAAACCAUGUUCACAGGAAUAGCGCAAGUAGGAUUAUCACAGAACUGAAAGCCUACAUGGUCUAACCAGCCUGUAGAAGUAAAGGACAGCACAGCUUACAAGCUGAAAAAUUUCUGGCAACCAGAACAGGUAAAGGCACCUAAGCAGAGAAACCAAUAUGGAUGCAGCCUGGGGAUUUCUCUCGCUUUGGCGUCCAUCAACAUGAUGCAGAGAUCCAGGAAUCUGUAUGUUCUUCUUGGGGGCAAAGAGGUUGCCAACGCUUGAAUAAACUCAGCAGCCUGCAAGUUAUGUUUGAAUCUAAAUUUGAAAAUCAUGGAUCUUGAACUUCCGUUGGAUAACGCAAUGAUGAUGCAAAUGAGCAAACGUACCGUAAAGCAAGUCUGAAUGUCUGAUGAAGAUGGCUUUAAAUCUGCAGGGCUAUAUCCUGCUAGCAGUCCAAGCGCACAUCCCAAUGCUGCACCCGCCGCCGUGCAGCCAGACCGGCGCCACCGCCACCUGCGAGCCAGUCCAUGGGUCUAACCUGAGCCUGCUCCUCCUGGGCCUCUACCUGAUCCCCAUCGGUGACGGCGCCGCACGGGCCUGCCUGCCGGCGCUGGGCGGCGACCAGUUCGACACGGCCGACCCCGCGGAGCAGAGGCAGGAGACAAGCUUCUUCAACUGGUACACCUUCGCCGUCUCCUCCGGCGGCUUCCUCGGGCUUGUGCUCAUCGUCUGGGUCCAGAACAGGCAAGGAUGGGACAUCGGUUUCGCCCUCUGUGCUCUCUGCGUCCUGCUCGGGAUGCUCAUCUGGAUUGCCGGGUUCCCAUUCUACCGCAAUCAGCUCCCUGGUGGAAGUGCCAUCACCAGAAUGCUUCAGGUAUGUAUGCUUGUUUAUCAAGCCAGACUAGAAAUUUUGCGAAGAAUUGAGUAAGUUGUUUUCAACAGGUUCUCGUGGUGGCAUUCAAGAAAAGGAAUGUUGAGUUACCCAAGGACACAAGUGAACUGAAACAGAUGAACCAAGAUGACAGCAAUAAUGGGCUUGAAAAGCUGGAAAGAACAGUGGGCUUUCAGUAAGUAGAAAAAUCUAAGAAUUCUACAGCCCCACUAAAAUUGGAGUACCUUAAUUUCUGCUCUGUGAAUUUCCUUUCAGGUGCCUUGAGAAAUCUGCCAUAGACACUGGAGAGACGGGGCCAUGGUCGCUGUGCACGGUGACCCAGGUGGAGGAGACCAAGAUCGUGCUCCGCAUGGUGCCCAUAUUCCUCAGUGCCAUCCUCGGCUACAUCCCAGUGCCACUGAUCCUCAACUUCACAGUGCAGCAAGGGAACACCAUGGACACCAAGCUCGGCGCCAUCCACAUCUCCCCUGCCACGCUCUUCCUCAUCCCAACUGUCUUCCAGAUGGUCAUCCUGGUCCUCUACGACCGCUUCAUCGUCCCUUUCCUGCGCAGGAUCACCGGAUACGUUGGUGGCGUCACGCACCUCCAGCGCAUCGGCAUCGGGUUCCUCUCGGCCACCCUCGCCACCGGCGUCGCCGCCCUUGUUGAGACCAAGAGGAAGAGGGUCGCAGAGGAGAAUGGUCUCAUGGACGCUGCCACAGGGAUCCCUAUCUCUGUCUUCUGGUUGACCGUGCAGUUCUUCCUCCUCGGGGUCGUUGACGUCACCUCCUUCGUGGGGCUUCUCGAGUUCUUCUACAGCGAGGCGUCGACGGGGAUGAAGUCCGUAGGGAGCUCCAUCUUCUACUGCAUCCUUGGGGUGUCAGCUUGGCUGGGGAGCUUGCUCAUCCAGGUGACGAACCAGGUCACGAGGCGUGGCGGCAGCGGGGCGGCGGCGGCGGCAACAGGGUGGCUGGAUGGGACGAACUUGAACAUGGGCAAGCUUGAUAGGUUCUAUUGGCUGCUUGCUGUUCUGGAGCUGGUGGCAUUCUUCAUUUACAUGUUCUUCGCGUGGAGGUAUGAGUAUAGGAAUAACCAAAGGGUUGUGGACAAUACAGGAGAUACCAAGGCUCCAUUGGCACCCGAAGGCGCUGCCGGUGAUCUGAUCAUCUAGAUGUGUGCUACUCUUAUUGACCCUUUCUUUGACGAGGCUUUUACGUUGUUCUUAAAUUACUUAAGUAACGUAUUACAUCCUGUACUAUUGUAAUAUUUGGUUAGGGAAUGAGUGCUCUAUUCAAAUUUAUUGCUUCUGGUCGAUUUAUAUGUUUCUGUAGACCCAAUAUGUGAACAUUAUUGUUUGAUAUUGUGGUAUUUUCUUGCCCUGAAGAAACAUUAUUCCAAUGUUUUUAUCAAGAUCGAUCAAACUAAGAAUUCACGUUUUGUUUUGCGUAUUUAUUUCUAAUGUAAAAAUAUAGCUAUUUACGUAACCAAAAAGAAUAUUCUUGUGAAAUUUAUAUGAGGUCGACAAUAUUCCUUUUUUGCUUGGGUCCAUCUAUAGCCCAGUUGCCUGAGAUUUUCAGAAAUUUCAGUCACUUUCCAGCCAGCCAUCCAUCGCCUAUCCUAAGGCUAAAAAACCCUCCGAUGAAGGCCAAUAAAACAUUCCUAAAGAAUAUGAAAAGGAGUAAGCAUUUAUACACUAUUCAGAUUAUAUUUAGCAUUGUAGGUAUCAAAGAAAAGGCAACAAACAGAUCAUGGCAAUGUCAAUUGACACACUAGCUACAGGACAAAACAUCAUGCACAUUUUGUAAAAUAGUAAAAUAAUUAUACCCAUGUAAAGACAUCGGAUAAAGUAUGCUCAGAGGGAGCAUGCCUUCGUUGACAAAUUCAUCUUCUUCAUCUUCCUAUCAUUGUCCCAACUUAUCACUUCCUACUCGUUAUAACGAUAAGAAAAAACCAACAAAAUUAAUAGAACCAAGAGCAUGGCAUGUACAUCACACCACAAGCGUAAGAUAUAAUACAACCUAUAACUUCUCAACGAAGCAAGCCAAACACACCUCAAUGAAGCAUGCCAUUAGAAAAUUACUAAAUUUCUACUAAAACUUUCAUUGAAUAUUGGAAUAAAUAAGACUAAAUUAUAGCAAAAACAUUUAAACUACAAAUAAAAAAGUAUAUAAGCCUAUUCUAUGCAAUAUAAGUAAUGAAUAUAUGCAUACACCAUAGCAUGGUAUAUGAACAGUAUAAAAGCACGAAAACAAUUUAAAUAUUCCACUAGAAUAGCACAACAUAAAACAUGGUAAAGAAAUAACAUCUACAUUAACUAGCAUUUCUAUACAGUAAACAUGUUAUUUAUUUCUAAUCAAAUAAAAUCCUUAAAAGCAAAGAAAAACUGCAAAUGCUCAAUGAAUCACCAAUAAUAGUCCUAAUUAAUAUAGUAAAAUAAAUAAACCUGUGACAAAGAAAAUUAACUUGACACACAACUUUUGCACAACAUACGAACUACAUGAAAGAAGAGAUGUACAAAAAGUAUUACAACUAUACAAAUUGUAUUUGAAUUUGACCUAAAUUUACAUCUAUUUAAAUCUAGUUUGAAUUCUACGUAUUAGAUUUGGAACUACAUUCCACCAUAUAGGAGAACAUUUCUAUGUUUGGUUUGGCCUCAUAUGGAGAAGUACGGUAAUUUCGGUCGUCGACGAGAAGAGAGCGUCCAAGCUACGGUGAUCGGAUGGAAGAUCGCCUACUGUUCUAGACUCUCAAAGACGAGUGGCGCAUUGCAUGCGUGGAUUUUAUCGGAACUAGAUUUGGGAUGGUGAUGACAUGGCCAUGUUGGUGAGGGUCGGCAUGGAUUGGCAAACACAUAGCCAACAUGAUAGAUUAGACGAUCAACCAUGUCUAGAACUAGGGGCGAACGCACCGGUACGGCAUGGUGUGGCGGCAGGCACACCUAAAAUUCGGCCUAGAAGUUCAAUAUAUAUAGUGUAUAGCCUCCCUAAUUAGCCUAUUGGGUCUCAUAACCAGGGUGGGCUGGGCCUCUUGACUCCCGGAGUACCCUUCUCGAUCCCAACCUAAUUGAUCGCUAACUUUAAGACUUCCUGACGUUCUCGACUCAUAGGCGGCCGACUUCCCAUCUUUGGUCUUCCGCCGUUCCACGUUCUUGACUCGGCAAUUUCUGAAUUCCCUAACCAUCAACGGGCGUAAUUCGUGUGAUCGCCAAGCAGGCUGCAGCCUGCAGGCCGACAUAUCCUGCAUAUGACACUACAAGUUACUAAUUCAUAAUUUUUCUACGGUUUCAAUGCUUUGCAGAUCAUUUCUAUGUUUCAUGUAGUUUUUUUCUAUUGAGGUAUUUUGAGUGGCAAUACCUUACUUUUGGAUUUUUAUUACUAUACUUAUUGAACACAAAGUAACUCCACAAAGUGUCUGUGUGUGUAUAGAGAGAGAGAGAGAGAAAAAGAGAGAGACAGAGUAUCCUACCAAGUUUUUGCAUAGUUUUAUUGCACAUGACUUUCAGCUGUGUAAACUCUGCCAGACCUCAAAACUUAUCCUGAGUGCACCACUGUCUACAACUUAAAUGAGACAAAAAUAGGCAUACCGACGAAUGGAAUUUGGCCGUGGUUUCAAGCAUCUUCAACAGGGCCCCUAUUUGGACCCCUAUUCAUUUCUUAGGGGCUGGGGCCCAAAAACAUCUUCAACAGGGCCCCUAUCUGGGACCCACCCCCGAAUGGUCCUCAAUGGAGCCGCUGCCCUUGCUGUCGGCCGCUGCAUCCAUGCAGUCCCGUGUCGCUACGCCUCCUCUAUCACGCACAUCGCGCCGCCGCUUCCCACAGCCGGUUCGGAUUCAGAAAGAUAAUGAUCAUACCGUAUCCUAUUUGAUACUGUAUUUUUUUAUCUGGAAUUAAAGCAGUGACUAAUACACAAGGAAUCAAGGGUAGAGGCUUUCCUACUUGGUUGCCAAAUGUUCUACACUCACAAAUCAGGAUCCCUAAUACACAGACAGGCAUUGAAAUCAAAAUAGGAACAACUUACGGGCAAGACCUCUUCUAUUCAUAUGCAACGGUGGCAGCGGCAAGCGCUCGCCGUCGGGCGCGAGCGGGCAUAGAUAGAGGGCAAUGCCGUCGGUCGCGAGUUGGCGACGGAGGCAGCCGCGGCGGCCAGCGCGGCGAAGUCGUCGGGGCCGAGCGAGUGGGAGACGGAGGGAGCGGCCGCCGGCCCUAGGGGUGAGAGGCCGGCGAUGGAGGCGGCGGCCAGCGACCGGCGCCGCCACGCCACGCCACUCCUGGUCCUGGUCGAUCGAUCGAUCGGGAGAGAUGGCCGAUGGGGAAUAGAAACGUCGAGAAGCUGGGCCCUGGGCCUCUUUUUCUAAUGGGCUGAAUAACGGAACGUCAUUUGGUCCAUUUCGAACCAGUAAUUUCGCUCUCUCCUUUGUCACUUCCUUUGUCUUCCUGCUGUAGCUUUGGUCGGCAAUUACGCAUUGGGAAAGUUUGUAACUGGUCUCAAAAGCUCAAAUGAACUUAUCCUUAAUUAUUUAUCUGACAACUUAUACUAGCAAAGUCCAAACAAAAAAUUUACCACACUAGAAUCUAAGCUCGGCGGAAAAAGGGGCUAAUCAUCUUUGAAAAAUAAAAGAAUACUAACCGCGGCACGUGGCCAAUCGGAUGGUUAUGAAGGUUAUUCAGUUCUAAUAAAAAACGAGUAAUUGAGGAGUUAGCAAAAUCCCCAACAUAGGACAUAAGAAAAAUAAAUAAAGUACAAAUUACCUCAUUUAUAUGUUGCAUUUUACGUUAGGUCACAUAUAUAACUUGUGUAACGAUAGUGGAAUUCGGAGCGUGGAAUAAGUCAUACUUUAAAUUAUUUUACUUUGAAAAUAUCUCAUUUAUAUAGCUCCGAAAAACACACAUCAACCACCUGUGAUUAACACAACCGAAGAAACUAAAUAAUAAAAUAGAAUAUAAACAUGAAAACAGGAAAAUCAAGAUAAACAAAAAAAACAAAAACAAAAUCAAAGCAAGGUGCAAAUAAGAAAACAAAAAUAAAAAAUGCAAGAAGAAAGGUCCGAACAUGCAACCUCCAUACAGGCAAACAAAUACCAUCAAGUACCACCACAACAACCAGCCAAUACUGCACAUUCUCAGUUGAUCUUCUAUCUAUUGCGUCGUUUAUUUCAGCACGAAUCUCAACGCCCGAUCGGGCAGACCAGACCAUCAAGUGAGAUAUAACUAUUUCUCAGUCAACUGACAAAAAGCAAAUCCGUAAUAAAAAAAACACUGUCACGGAUGAGUAUUUCUAUACUGGUGUGUAGUUAUGAGCGGAUUUUGCUCUCCGGUGCCAGUACUUCAAAUAAUUUGAAAAUACUACGUAGUUCUGGAAAAAAUUACAUGCACAUGUAUAAAUUUACUACAUACCACAUAUCCUGAUUAAGAAAUAUAAAAAAACCAAGUGUGGAUCUAUAAUAACAUAAUUGUAUCUGUUAUUUUUAUCAAAAAGGGGAAUGCCCCUGCUCUGCAUUGACUGAUGAACACAGUCAAUUUUAUUGCAGUGUUUAAAAAUCAAAGAGCUUACACUUUAGGGGUCAUAAAAAGUGGAGACAAAUACCAGUCUAUAGAAAAUGUAUAGUAUUUAACAAGAAGCAAAACUAAACAUAGUUGAGUCUGGACUGCAAAUGAAUAUUUAUUAAUAAAACUUACAGGUAAACAGUAUACAUUUGUUGUCCGCUGGGGCCGCAGUACAGACAUGGGAAAGAAAGCGCUGGUCGGGGGGGGGGGGGGGGAACUUGGGGCGCCGCACGCUAACUCGUGUGGGCACGGUUGCCCCAUAGUUCGCUCCUUUGUUUAUAGUAUUGCUGAUGUUUAUCGAUAUAUUGGUGGUCCUUUUCGAAAAGAAAAGAAUUGACGCGUAAAAUGCGCUGGCACGCACCUGAGCUUGGUAGAGCGAGCAUCAGGAAAGAGUUUGUUGUUUUUCGCUCUCGGCUUACAUAAUACGGCCUAUACAUUACAUAAUAAUAGUGUCAUGACGGUUUUGGCAGAAGGAUCCGAUGGACCCAAUCUUUACUCCGUACGUACGUUUGCUUCGUCGUCUUCGGUGAAACUUAGCGGAAAAUACUACUCCAUAAAUGAUGUGAUCAAGCAUGAUAAACAUGAUCCAAAUCCACUACACCAAGUCCGAUCAUCACGUGAGAUGGAGUAGCUUCAAUGGUAAACAUCAGCAUGUUGAUCACAUCAUUCAUAUGACUCAUGUUUAACCUUUCGGUUCCUUGUGUUCCGAGGCCAUGUCUGUACAUGCUAGGCUCGUCAAGUUAACCAAAGUAUUCCUGCAUGUGUAAAACUGGCUUACACCCGUUGUAUGCGAACGUAGAGUUUAUAACACCCGAUCAUCACGUGGUGCUUCAAAACGACGAACUUUUGCAACGGUGCAUACUAAGGGAGAACACAUUAUUAUCUUGAUAUUAACAAUGAGGGAUCAUCUUAUAAUGCUACCGUCAACUAAGCAAAAUAAGAUGCAUAAAAGGGAUAAACAUCACAUGCAUAAAUAAUGUGACAUGAUAUGGCCUUCUCUUCGUGUGCCUUUGAUCUCCAUCUCCAAAGCACGGGCAUGAUCUCCAUCAUCACCAGCAUGGCGCCUAGGUCCUCGGGCGUCAUGUAUAGUUGCCUCCACCAACUAUUGCUACUACUAGCGAUAAAGUAAAGCAAUUACAUGGCGAUUAAAUCAUUGACACGAAGGUCAUACAAUAAUUAAUGAGACAACCAUACGGCUCCUGCCGGUUGCCAAACUCAUCGACAUGCAAGUCGUGAAAUAUUACAAAACAUGAUCAUCUCAUACAUCAAAUAUAUUAUAUCAUAUCUUGGCCAUACCACAUCACAUGCCCCUGCAAAAACAAGUUAGACGCUUCUACUUUGUUGUUGCAUGUUUUACGUGGCUUUAGGGGCUGCACUAAAAGAACCGUUCUUACUUACGCAAAAGCCACAACGGUGAUAUACAAAUUGCUUAUUAACCAUAUAGGCCUCCCAUUGCAAAUCAGAUUUCAACUAUAGUGGGAGAGACAGACACCCGCCAGCCGCAUUAUGCAAUACAAGUUGCAUGUUUAUUGCGGAACCGGUCUCUUGUGCGAAGACAAGUAAGGUUGGUCCGAGCCGCUUCAUCCCACUAUCCCGCAAAAUUCGAUAGUGCACAAAAGAGGUAGCAAUAUGAACAUCAACGCCCACAACUAAAUUGUGUUCUACUCGUACAAAACAUCUACGCCUAGAUCUAGCUCUGAUACCACUGUUAGGUUCGUUGCAUAUGAAACAAAAAAUUUCCUACGAGAAGUGCGGAAGAAAACCCAAGAAUAUAUAUACUAGAUGUAUGUAACGAGAGGGAUCAUGAACACCAUACCCUCGUAGACCGCUAAGCGUUACGAUCACGAGAUCGUUGUUGGUGUAGUGGAACUUUCAAUGAGAUCAAUCUCAGUGCCGAACGGACAGCACCUCCUUGGUAUCCACACGUUCAGCUUCACGUUGUCUCCUCCUUCCUCGAUCCAGCAAGCGAGAGGGAGAGGUAGACGAGAUCCCGGCAGCACGACGGCGUGGUGACUAUGGUGAAUAUUCUCACGGGCAGGGCUACGCCGUGCGCGUGAGAAGAGGAGGAGAGGAGGGCUCAGGGGAGAGAGAUCCAACUGAAAGCUUGGGGUGUCUCUCUCCCUUGCCCCCCCUUCUAUUUAUAUAGGGGUAGAGGAGGCGUGGCCGGCCAGGACUAUCCCGUGGCCAGGACUCUCAUGCGGCCAGGACUCUCCCGCGGCCAGGACUCUCCUCCUGGCCGCAUGGGCCCUGUGGGCUAGCCCCUCGGCCCAUUAAGGCCAGGGUGCUCCCUCACAGGCCCAUUUAGCCCAGGGAUAGGUGGGCCUCAAGGUGGAACCCUCCGGAUCCCUCCGGAACCUUCUAGAAGCUUCCCGGUCAAAACCGGGAAAUAUUCCAAACUUUCCAGAACCCUGAAAACAACUUUCCAUAUAUAAAUCUUUAUCUCCGGAACAUUCCGGAGCUCCUCGUUGCGUCUAGGAUCCCAUCCAAGACUCCGAAUCAUAAUUCGAUAUCAUCAUCAUUUAUCUCAUCUAACCCAAGCAACAUGAAACGUUAAGUGUGUGACCCUACGGGUUCGAGAACAUGUGGACAUGAUCAAAUAUCAAUAACCAAUAGCGGGACCUGGAUGUCCAUAAUGGUUCCCACAUAUUCCACGAAGAUCUCAUCGGUUGAACCACUAUGUCGAGGAUUCAAUUAAUCCAGUAUCCAAUUCUCUUUGUCUCGCGAUAUAUUACUUGCCCGAGAUUUGAUCGUCGGUAUCGCCAUACCUAGUUUAAUCUCGUUACCGGCAAGUUCUCUUUACUCGUUCCGUAAUAUAAUACCCCCGCGACUAAACACAUUAGUCGCAUGCUUGCAAGCUCAUUAGGAUGUUAUAUUACCGAGAGGGCCCAGAGAUAUCUCUCCGUCACAAGGAGUGACAAAUCCCAGUCUUGAUCCAUACAACCCAACAAGCACCUUCUGGGAUACCUGAAAAACACCUUUAUGAUCACCCAGUUACGAGAUGACGGUUGAUGCCCACAAAGUAUUCUUCCGGUACUAGGGAGUGGCAUGAUCUCAUGGUCUAAAUAAAUAAUACUUGACAUAAUAAAACAUAAGCAACUUAAACUUAAGUGACACGAUCAAAAGCUAUGUUUAGGUUUGGGUCUGUCCAUCACAUCAUUCUCCUACUGAUAUGAUCUCGUUAUUAAAUGACAACACAUGUCUAUGGUUAGGAAAUCUUAACCAUCUUUAAUCAACGAGCUAAUCUAGUAGAGGCGUAUUAGGGACACGGUAUUUGUUUAUUUAUCCACACAUGUAUUUGAGUUUCCAAUCAAUACAAUUAUAGCAUGGGCAAUAAACAUUUAUCAAGAACAAUGAAAUAUGAUAAUAACAAAUUUAUUAUUGUCUCUAGGGCAUAUUUCCAACACACCCCCCCCCCCCCCCGGCGGCCCUCCGCUCCGUGGCGAGGCGUGGCGGCACGAGCAGAUCCCACCCCGGCGGGCGGCGGCAGCCCUCUGCUCUGUGCCGCGGCCUGGUUCCCGCCCUCGCAAAAAAAAUUCCCUCGCUCCGUGACCUCCGUCCCUCGCCCCGCGUUCUCUAUUUCUCUGCCGAAGUCAAGCGGUCGUGGGUUUGUUUUUGCCUGACCGCUGGAUCUAAAUUGGACGUCAGAUCACAGGGAUAGAGGCGCUUGGGACGUACACGAGUAACUUCACCGAAGCAGGCAGUGAAAUACUGAAAUUAGAGAAGGAUCUCGAUAGAGUGCGUACCAGUGCCUACACGCAUGCCCACACAAGUACUCUUACAACCCUGCAGUCGCUGCCGUGUAACGAUCAGGGAGACAGUGAUGUACGGCGUACCACAACAUAAUUCGUUUAAUUAAUACGUACGUCUGACCGGCCGGACCACAAGCUCGUGGUGACUUGUCAACUGGAGUAUAUCGUCGAUCUAAACUCUAAAGUGUCUCGAUCAGUACCUGCGUUAUUUUCUCAGUCCCGGGUUACAGUAAUCUUGCAUGCAUUUGCGCGCCACAAGGAUGCCUGCGAUCGAGCUCUAAAUGCAUUGAUAUGGUAUAUGUGGAAUGGACCGCAUGGAAAACCCGUACCAGCCAAGCCACCAGCUGAGCUACAGCUUGUUUUUCAGUUGAGACAAAUUAACGCGAUCGCAGGCGGCAUGAUCAGCGCUUAAACUCGAAUUUGGAUACAGUCCAGCCAAGCCGUCCGUAGGUUUAUCUCAUUUGGGAUGCGGAAGCUUAAGUGAUGUGCAGUACGUACGAUACCUCCACACACACACACAAAAAAAAAAACAGACGUGUUGGACCGAUUGAUCAUCCAUGUCCACAGAAACAACAAAGAUCCAGCGGCAGUGCAUGCGUACGUUCGCACCAAGUAUCUCAGUACGUGCAAUCGUGCACGCAUGCACUAGUAGUAUUAUAUUCGAUCUCCUGCCCGGUAAUCAAAGAGUACGUACAGAUGUACGGUAAUCGAACUCUUUAAUGCCUGCGAGCACACACCGAUAUAGUAGAAAAUAGUAUCUUGCUAUAUACUCGAUCUUGCACACACCGUUUGAGUACAGUGUGGAUCGGAAUGGACCGUACAAGAAGCCACCAGCUUGUUUCUUUCUUUUUUUUUGAAGGAACACCAGCUUGUUUCUGAUUUGGGAAGAACGCGUGUGAUCAACACUGGAAUUUAAAAAGAUUCCAGUCUGUAGGUAAACAAACGGAGGGCUCAUAGCCCCUUAAUUUGUUCCUUAAAUUAAAACUUUUGACUAAGCCUUUGAACCAUAAUUAGUCUAUUAAAAUAUAAUUUUUUGAAAUAAAAUUGAUGCUAUUGUAUUCAUAUUUAAGAGUACUUGUUCAUAGUUAUGAUUUGUAUCUUAUAAGUCACACGUCGAUGGAGUAAUACUUGAUCAAACAUUCGGUCAAAGAAAACAAUAUACGUCUUAAUUUAAGGAACGGAGAUCUUAGCCGAAGAGUUUUAAGUCAAACAGCAGCUUGAAUUAUGACGGUCCCAAACGUGUUCUAGCUCAGGGAAAAUGAGAGAGAGGACCAGCCUGUUUUGAGUGGCAGGACUGAGCUAAAAGAUGGGGAAUAAAAGAUCAUUAUCUCUAACACUGUGUUUGGAUGUAUAAGGCCUGAUAUUAGACAUUGGUAUUGGACAAGUACCGAGUACUAUGAUUUGGGUUGUUUGGCUGGUCCAAGUAUUCGAUCCACACAUGGCACAAUUCCGAUGGGUAAGCCUCGACAUCCCUGGGUAUUCGGAACUUUCGGAACUGCUCGACAACACCCGCGUUCAACCCUCGCUCGAAGCAAUUUUCCCUUUUUCCCUGCCUUUUCCGUCCCUCUUCUAGCUCCCGCGCGAGGUUCAAGGCUUCCAGCGGCUGCGGCCCGAGCAGGCAGCAGCAGGGCCCUUCCUCCCUCCUCCUCCUCCUACGGCACCGGCGGUCUUCUCCCGCGACGCCGCAGCCCCGCACCAGACCACCUUGCCCUCCCUUCCCAUCUCUCUCCUCCGCGACCGCCCGUCCCCGCCGCCGCGCCCUCCUCGUCGGCUCGUCGCUCCCGAAGAAGAAGAGGACCGUGCGUACUGCGUAGGUACGGUGGUGCCGCACCAUCUGGAGCGGCGUGCGGCCUAAGGAGCAGCUCCGCCUUCCUCCGACUGGGCACGGCGCCGGCGGCCUCCCGCCCCUCCCUUCCGGCGUUCACCCUCUCAUCUCCCUUCUCUCUGCAGGUUUGCGGGCCAUCUCGACCAAGCUCCUGCCUCCGGCGCAGGUCCUGUUGGAGAUAUGCCCUAGAGGCAACCAUGUGAUGAUGUUAUUUCCUAUGUAUUCAUGAGUUAUUUGUCCUUGAACAUCAUCACUGAUAUGUAUCAAUAAAUACGUGAUUUGUUUGUGAAACUAUGUAUUCUAUGAUGUUGUUCUAAUGGUCCCUGGUCAUUGAGGUUAUGCGGACACAUAACCUAGACUAGCAAUGUGAAUCAGUGUGAUGACUAUGUUUCACAAGUCAUAGCGCAAGGUGUUGCCGACUGAUAGCAUGGACUCGACAAUGAGAUUGUUGAGUCGGACAGACCCGCACUGAGACACAACGAGAUGAUUGUCAUUUGUUAGUCUCAAGUACGAUGUAUAUGCCAGUCCUAGACCUGAGGUCAUCGUAUGAGCUUGGGAUGUGAAUCGGCCUACUUAGGGGUUGCCAAACGCUACUCCGUAACUGGGUGGUUAUAAAGGUAGCUUUCGGGUUCGCUGAGAAGCAUGCUGCGAGUCAUGGUUGAUCAAGAUAGGAUUUGCCCCUCCUGUUCGGAGAGAUAUCUCUGGGCCCUCUCGAGUGAUCAGAUUCGGAAAGCAUGGCCAUGCGACUUGGGUUAAGUGUUAACCCGUUCGGGAAUCUGUAUCACAGGAACGAGAAGAGACUCGAGCUAUCCACAAGGAUGACACGCACUCGCCUUGAGCUCGACACACAUAUCGCGAGGCAAAAGGAAUGUUGCAUAUGACACAUUGUAUGGUUCGUCAAUAUACCUUGUGGUUACUCGGGAGUUGGCACGUGCUGCUAGGCGCCGCUACCAACUAUCGACUUGAGUCGGUGCCAGUGGACGAGCAAGGUGUUACUCGGGCCCGCAGUCCGAGCUCGUAGUCAUGGCCGACUGACCGCGAACCUGAAGGGUCACACGCUUAAGGGGUGGGAACCGAGUUGGAUCGAUCCAACUCGUAUCGGGCUUGGACUCCUAAUGGGCCUCAAGUGUUGAGCCCACUAGGGACGUCUAUAUAAGUGGAGGAGACCAACCCGUCUAGGGUUAACUCCAGUUCAGACGCGAGUUAGACUCGGCCGUCGCACCUCCACGCCCAAAGCCUUGCGAUCGGAUCUAGCAGUCCGCCGCACGGAGUUCCUCCCUGUACGUGUGGAUACCUCGGAGGCGCUGCACCUGCGGCGCUUGGACGAACUGUUCGUGGGAUCGGCGAGGAGGAGCAGGCUGUUCGACUACUCGGCAUCGACGCGCUACAUCGACUCUACUUCCGCUACAGGUCUGCGCGUCUAGUGGUAAUCUCGUGAUCCAUUAUCUACAGCAUUGAUCCGGGCGGAAGCGGUAGAAAAUUUUAUUUUGUGCUAGCGUAGCAUACCGCGUUCCCCAACAGUGGUAUCAGAGCCGAUGCUGUCUGUUUUGGAUUCGAAUUGCGUGCAUAAGUGUUAUGCGGUUAGUAGUAGAUGUGAUCUAUUGCUAUCUUGGUGGUCGAUCUAAGUGUUAGAUCGGUUUUGUACUCAAUCGAUUGGAUCGAUUGUACUCGGGGAUCAUGGAUAUUCGAUUCUGAUAAUCGUGAUGUAGAAGGUCGUGACACAACAUACUCCUACCGGUCGGAUUUCCGCCAUCGGAGUAGACAGUGAAACAUAAAUCCGGAUACAAUUCAUGAGAUCAAUGCGAUUGAUCGAAUCGGAAUAGAAAUCCAUGAAGGAAAUUUCGGAUUGGAUCGGGGGACCGCCGUGCUAUCUAUUCGUAGCGCCUUAGUUGUCGUUGCGAGUUCACAUCAAUUCGGUAGAAUAGGUUUGUACGCUUAACUUGUUUUUGCAGGAUUGAUGUGAAUAGUAUGGCUCAUAUGUAUGUGAUACAUGUGUGUAAUAUUUGCAUGACCUGCGUGUCAUGAGUUUGUCAGCCAGGCUGGAGCCAAGGUGCUGUCUUUAUAAUUGUAUAACGACCUGCGUGUCGACAUUUGAUGUCAUUCUCCAUGUAAAUUCUUUGCUAGAUACUAGGUGUAGUCAUUUAGUAUGAAUUGGAGGACGUGAGCACCAUGGCGGCUUGAUGAACAGGUUCAUGGAGAUGGAGAUCACCAUGAAGAACAGAGCCAUACUAUUUCACAUGUUAAUUUGAUUAUCUGUGAUGGUUAUUGCUUUGUUUACUCCUAUGCAUGUUAUUGUGUUAGAGUAGAAUGAUCCCUCAAAGAAUGUCAAGUUUAUUUACCUCCCCAAUAGCUGCAACACCACAAGACAAGUACAUUUGGUGAUGGGCUCAUGAAAUUGGGGUAUCACCAUUUUUCCUUGUCGUUGGUGAUGUUCGUGUCGGACACUUACAUGCGAAGCUUUGGUUAACUUGACGGGGCUAUCAAAACGGUUUUGGGCCUCGAGGUGAAAGGAGUCGGAGCCGGGGCAAGUGUUGCCUACCGACUAACAAGAGUCGUAUAGAGAUACGAUUGGCAAGAGUUGCCUACCGAGUGAUUCAAUCGGCUAGCAGUGAUGCUAAAGCUCACUAGACGAUUGGUUGAUCUUGGAUCUUGAAUCACUAAUGAUCAAUGGAGGGAUGUUGAUUUUAGUGGGAGUAUAUUUCUAUUAAAUUGUUUAAUAUGAAUUACUCUUCAUGAAUACUUGUCUUAGUGUUUUUGCAUUUUCUGUUGUAGAUCAAUGGCACCACCUCAAUUGUCCAGUUUUGCUUUGAGAUCUGUUCUUGAGAAAGAUAAACUAAAUGGAACUAACUUCACCAACUGGUAUCGGAACCUGAGAAUCGUUCUCAGGCACGAUAAGAAAGAAAGAAAGAACAUGUCAUAGAGAACCCACUUCCAGAGGAGCCGGCUGAUAAUGCCACUGCUGCUGUUAGAAACGCCUAUCAACGCUCAUGUGAUGAGUCGAUUGAGAUCAGCUGUCUGAUGCUUGCCUAUAUGGAGCCCGAACUGCAGCAGCAGUUUGAGAAUGUUGAGGCUUUCGAUAUGAUCGAGACUCUCAAAGGCAUGUUUCAGACUCAGGCUAGGACCGAAAGAUUUAAUGUCUAAAGGUCCUUCCUGGAGACUAAGCUGAAAGAAGGCGAACCCUUGAGCCCACAUGUAAUCAAGUUGGUUGGUUACACGCAAAGCUUGGAGAAGCUGGGCUUUCCGCUGAGCCAAGAGUUGGCCACGGAUACAAUUCUGGCAUCUCUUCCGCCAAGCUAUGCGCAGUUCGUUCAGAACUACCAUAUGCAUGGCAUGGAAAAGAAAGUCACUGAAUUGCAUGGGAUGCUUAAAACAGCAGAGGAGGAUAUCAAGAAAAAUACCAAGCAAGUGUUGCUGGUACAGGGAAAGCCAAAGUUCAAGAAAAAUUCUUGGGCUAAGAAGAAGGCAAAGAAGGGAAAGGCUAAGGAUGUGAUCCCGACCCCUGCCCCUGCUGCGCCUAAGGCUGGACCGGACUCAGAGACCGUAUGCUUUUUCUGCAAAGGCACCGGUCAUUGGAAGAGGAACUGCAGCAAGUACCAGGCCCACGUGGCAAAGAAGGGUGGAAGUGUGACUUCUACUUCAGGUACGGUUGUUGUAUAUGUUAUAGACAUUUAUCUUGCUGAUGCACCUAACAGCUCUUGGGUAUUGGAUACCGGAUCGGUUGUUCACAUUUGCAACUCGAUGCAGGGGCUGGCAAGGACUAGGAGCGUCGCAAGUGGAGAGGUUGACAUAAGGGUUGGCAAUAAAGCAAGAGUUGCAGCGUUGCCCGCCGGGACUAUGCAACUUCAUUUACCUUCUGGAUUUGUUAUGGAAUUAGAUAAUUGUUAUUAUGUUCCUGCUUUAAGUCGAAACAUUAUAUCUGUCUCAAAGUUGUUGAGUCACGGUUAUGAAUUCAAUAUUAAGGGCAAUGGUUGUUCUUUUUAUUUGAAGGAUAUGUUUUACGGCUUUGCACCUGUUGCGAACGGGUUAUUCAUCCUUAGUCUUGAAGGAGAAUCUGUCUAUAACAUUAAUGUCAAGAGGCGCAAGCCUAACGAUCUGAAUCAAACCUAUUUUUGGCAUUGUCGUUUGGGUCACAUAAGUGACAAACGCAUGAAGAAGCUCCAUGGAGAUGGACUUUUAACAUCGUUUGAUUAUGAAUCAUUCGAGACAUGCGAGUCUUGUCUACUAGGCAAGAUGACCAAAUCGCCUUUUGCAAAGAGUUGCGAGAGGGCGACCGACUUGUUGGAACUCAUACAUACUGAUGUGUGUGGACCAAUGAGCACGACAGCUAGAGGAGGUUAUCAAUACUUCAUAACAUUCACUGAUGAUUUGAGUAGAUAUGGAUAUGUCUACUUAAUGAAACAUAAGUCGGAAACCUUUGAAAAGUUCAAGGAGUUCCAGAAUGAAGUAGAGAACCAACGUGGCAAGAAAAUAAAACUUCUACGAUCUGAUCGUGGAGGCGAGUACUUGAGUCACGAGUUCGACGAUCAUCUGAAGAGUUGUGGAAUUGUUCCACAGCUCACACCGCCGGGUACACCACAAAGAAAUGGUGUGUCGGAAAGGCGGAACCGGACCUUGUUGGACAUGGUUCGGUCGAUGAUGAGUCAGUCAGAUCUUCCCUUGUCAUUUUGGGGUUAUGCUCUAGAAACCGCAGCGUUCACACUAAACAGAGUACCAUCCAAGUCCGUAGAUAAGACACCAUAUGAGAUAUGGACUGGAAAGCGUCCCAGUUUGUCUUUUCUAAAGAUUUGGGGCUGUGAUGCAUUUGUCAAACGACUUCAGUCGGACAAGCUCACUCCCAAAUCAGACAAGUGCAUAUUCGUGGGAUAUCCAAGGGAAACCUUAGGAUAUUACUUCUACAACCGGGCAGAGGGCAAAGUGUUUGUCGCUCGAAACGGUGUCUUCCUUGAGAAAGAGUUUCUCAGUCGGGAGGCAAGUGGGAGGUCAGUGCAACUCGAAGAAGUUCGAGAUGAGCCAGUAGGGGAUAACUUGACAGGUGAUGUCAGUGUGACUGAGCCAGUCGUCGUACCCACGGCCAAUACAGCACCGUAUCCACGAAGGUCGGAAAGACUAUGUAAUAUACGCAAUGUGUUGUUGCUAGACAAUGACGAGCCGACUAAUUAUGCAGAAGCGAUGGUGGGUCCAGAGUCCGAGUUAUGGCUUGAGGCCAUGAGAUCCGAAUUAAAGUCCAUGGAUGAAAACCGAGUUUGGAACUUGGUAGAUCCGCCAGAGGGUGUAAAAACCAUUGAGUGCAAAUGGAUAUUUAAAAGAAAAACUGAUAUGGAUGGAAAUGUUCAAAUCCAUAAAGCUCGACUUGUCGCAAAGGGUUUUCGACAAGUUCAAGGAGUUGACUACGACGAGACUUUCUCGCCGGUAGCGAUGCUUAAAUCAGUUCGGAUCAUUCUAGCUAUUGCUGCAUAUUUCGAUUACGAGAUAUGGCAAAUGGAUGUCAAAACGGCUUUCCUUAACGGAAAUUUAACCGAGGACGUGUAUAUGAUACAGCCCGAGGGUUUUGUCGAUCCAAAGAAUGCUGGAAAAAUAUGCAAACUUCAGAAAUCCAUCUAUGGAUUGAAGCAAGCAUCUCGGAGCUGGAACAUUCGUUUUGAUGAAGUAGUCAAAGGGUUUGGCUUCAUCAAAAAUGAAGAAGAACCUUGUGUAUACAAGAAGUUUAGUGCAAACUCAGUCGUAUUUCUAAUCUUAUAUGUGGAUGACAUAUUAUUGAUUGGAAAUGACAUUCCGAUGCUAGAAGCCGCCAAGGACUCAUUGAAGAAAAGUUUUUCAAUGAAGGACUUGGGAGAAGCGGCUUAUAUUUUGGGAAUCAGGAUCUAUAGAGAUAGAUCAAGGAGGCUUAUUGGUUUAAGCCAGAGUACAUAUGUUGACAAAGUGUUGAAGAGGUUCAACAUGAAUGACGCAAAGAAAGGGUUCUUGCCCAUGUCGCAUGGUAUAAGUCUAAGCAAGACUCAGAGUCCUUCGACUUCUGAUGAGCGAAGUCGGAUGAGUGCGAUUCCGUAUGCUUCGGCGGUCGGAUCCAUCAUGUACGCCAUGUUAUGUACUCGACCGGAUGUUUCCUAUGCUCUAAGUGUUACGAGCAGGUAUCAGGCUGACCCCGGUGAGAGUCACUGGACAGCGGUGAAGAAUAUCCUUAAGUACUUGAGAAGGACUAAGGAUAUGUUUUUGGUUUACGGUGGUGAGGAUGAGCUCGUUGUAAAGGGUUACACCGAUGCUAGUUUCCAAACCGACAAGGACGAUUAUCGAUCACAAUCUGGAUACGUGUUCGUCUUGAACGGAGGUGCGGUGAGCUGGAAGAGCUCUAAGCAAGAAACGGUGGCCGACUCUACAACAGAAGCUGAGUAUAUCGCGGCUUCGGAAGCCGCGAAAGAAGGCGUUUGGAUCAGAAAGUUUGUUUCUGAGCUUGGAGUGGUUCAGGGCGCGUCCAAUCCCAUGGACCUCUACUGUGACAACAGUGGUGCUAUCGCACAAGCCAAAGAACCACGACAUCACCAAAAAUCCAAACACAUACUCAGGCGUUACCAUCUCAUACGGGAAUUCGUGGAGAGAGGUGACGUUAAGAUAUGCAAGGUACACACGGAUCUCAAUAUUGCCGAUCCGUUGACAAAGCCUCUCCCGCAACCAAAGCAUGAGGCGCACACACGAGCCAUGGAUAUGCGAUACUUGGAUGAUCGACUCUAGUGCAAGUGGGAGACUGUUGGAGAUAUGCCCUAGAGGCAAUCAUGUGAUGAUGUUAUUUCCUAUGUAUUCAUGAGUUAUUUGUCCUUGAACAUCAUCACUGAUAUGUAUCAAUAAAUACGUGAUUUGUUUGUGAAACUAUGUAUUCUAUGAUGUUGUUCUAAUGGUCCCUGGUCAUUGAGGUUAUGCGGACACAUAACCUAGACUAGCAAUGUGAAUCAGUGUGAUGACUAUGUUUCACAAGUCAUAGCGCAAGGUGUUGCCGACUGAUAGCAUGGACUCGACAAUGAGAUUGUUGAGUCGGACAGACCCGCACUGAGACACAACGAGAUGAUUGUCAUUUGUUAGUCUCAAGUACGAUGUAUAUGCCAGUCCUAGACCUGAGGUCAUCGUAUGAGCUUGGGAUGUGAAUCGGCCUACUUAGGGGUUGCCAAACGCUACUCCGUAACUGGGUGGUUAUAAAGGUAGCUUUCGGGUUUGCUGAGAAGCAUGCUGCGAGUCAUGGUUGAUCAAGAUGGGAUUUGCCCCUCCUGUUCGGAGAGAUAUCUCUGGGCCCUCUCGAGUGAUCAGAUUCGGAAAGCAUGGCCAUGCGACUUGGGUUAAGUGUUAACCCGUUCGGGAAUCUGUAUCACAGGAACGAGAAGAGACUCGAGCUAUCCACAAGGAUGACACGCACUCGCCUUGAGCUCGACACACAUAUCGCGAGGCAAAAGGAAUGUUGCAUAUGACACAUUGUAUGGUUCGUCAAUAUACCUUGUGGUUACUCGGGAGUUGGCACGUGCUGCUAGGCGCCGCUACCAACUAUCGACUUGAGUCGGUGCCAGUGGACGAGCAAGGUGUUACUCGGGCCCGCAGUCCGAGCUCGUAGUCGUGGCCGACUGACCGCGAACCUGAAGGGUCACACGCUUAAGGGGUGGGAACCGAGUUGGAUCGGAUCCAACUCGUAUCGGGCUUGGACUCCUAAUGGGCCUCAAGUGUUGAGCCCACUAGGGACGUCUAUAUAAGUGGAGGAGACCAACCCGUCUAGGGUUAACUCCAGUUCAGACGCGAGUUAGACUCGGCCGUCGCACCUCCACGCCCAAAGCCUUGCGAUCGGAUCUAGCAGUCCGCCGCACGGAGUUCCUCCCUGUACGUGUGGAUACCUCGGAGGCGCUGCACCUGCGGCGCUUGGACGAACUGUUCGUGGGAUCGGCGAGGAGGAGCAGGCUGUUCGACUACUCGGCAUCGACGCGCUACAUCGACUCUACUUCCGCUACGGGUCUGCGCGUCUAGUGGUAAUCUCGUGAUCCAUUAUCUACAGCAUUGAUCCGGGCGGAAGCGGUAGAAAAUUUUAUUUUGUGCUAGCGUAGCAUACCGCGUUCCCGAACAGGUCCAACAUCGUGUGCUGAGCAAGCAAAUUUGGAUUCCGGCCACGAUGAUUAAUUCUUCUCAUCUCACUGUUAGUCUGUUCUUCUGUCUUCUCUCUGACCUGACCACCCUCUAUCUCUCUUUUCUACCUACAAUGUUGUGGCUACAAUGUCAAGAUUACGGCGUUGUGUAUAUUUUCCAAUGUAUUUUUCAUUUUUUAUUGUCAUGUGAUAUAUAUAGUUAUUCAAAUAUAUUUCAAAUGUUAUAUGGAUUUUGAAAUAUGCAUAAAAACAGUAUAUCAAUCAUACUCGGACAACUGCAAUUGAUCGCUUUGACCAUCCAAACAAGAUUUGUCAUUCAAUCUUAAUAUCAAGUUUGGGUUCCGAAUACCGAAUAUCCAAACAAAAGUAUUGGCAUUCAAUGUCAAUAUCAAUAUCCUGUGAUGUUGACAUUGGAGCAAAUGCACAAUGUCAAGCCUCUCAAUAUCUACAUCUAAACAAAGCUAAGAUCUCGAGGAGACGAUGACGAUGAUGAGAUAAGGUGUGCGGUGAUGAUCCAUGCGUCUAGGAGCUAGCAGCUACGUCCUUGCAGAUAUCACAACCAAAUGUUGACCGGAUCCCAAGAUAUUUGCCCAUAUCUUGCGCAAAUGAUAGAAAAACCAAAUGCAAGCGUCGGUCCGUACCGGAUAAUAAAUAAUUUUGUCCGGCACAUCACUUUUAUCAGUUUUAUUUCAACAUAGGGAGUUGCCUCUGUUUAAGCUGAACUUCGGGUCAUUUCUCACGCCGAGAAGGAGAAUGCAGUCCAGAUUCAGUAGUACAAAUCCAUUUGUCUGCUUAAUGUUAGGUUAAAAAAAAUUCAAGAAAGUAAAUACGAAUCGCAUCAUCGGGAUAGCUCAAGCAGUGAUUCGGUCUACUCAAACGGCCUAUAUGCCUGACCGUCAUGUUCUAGACGGGUGGUUGUCCUUCACGAGACUAUUGAAUAAACUUCACUUGAAGAAAAGAGUGAAUUCCAUUUUUUUACCCCCUCUUUGAAACUUUUUGACACAAUCUACCCCAUUUAAGGGAAUUUCCAAAAUUGUACCCCAUUUAACCAAACCUUUGCCACCAAUUACCCUUUUAAUAUUUUCCCCCAAAUCUGACGUUUUCUGACGAGCGGGGCCCACUUUUCAGGCCUACGUGGCGUGCCACGCUGGCCUUCGGGGCCAAACCAGCCCGGUUCAGUUCGUGCGGUUCUGUCCGGUUGGGGUCUGACAUGGGCUUCAGUGGGUUCUGCCCGGUUCUUUCUUUCUCUGUAUCUCGCUCAUAACUCUUUCUCCCUCAUCUCUGUCUGUCUCCCACGGGUUAGGGUUUAGGCUGCGGCGACGGCGGCGGCGACGGAAGCAACCGCGACCUGUCGGCGGAGAAAGCGGCCACCACGGGUGCUAAGCCGGGUUCGACUCGGUGUUUCUCCGGGCCUGCGCUCAGAUGGCGUCGCCGGCGAAACGGAAGGCAGUGGGAGUGGCGAUUCCGAAGCUCCCCGUAUAUUCCGGGAAUUGCGAUUCUUCGUGGAAGGUAUGUUCAUCCGCCUCGUUUCCUUUCCGUUUCCAUCUCCUUAACGUCUUUCAUCUGUGAUUUCAUUGGUGAUUUGGGGAUAUAUUGUGGUCACAAAGAUAGGACUGAUGCGUAUCAUUGGAUUUUGGGGUUUCUCAAAAUUUAUUCCUGCUGGUGCAGCGUUUAAUUUGUGGUGUGGUUAAUGUACUUUUCAUAUCAGGAAAUUGUGGGCUCAAGCAAGUUCUCCCUUGUCAGUGGGUGCCGCUGGAAGGAACAGAGGAGAAGAUGGAUGCAAUCGACAGGAACUGCUCACGUUGGGCACUUUUGGAUGCAAUCCUGGAAGCAUUUUGUGAUGAAAAUGUAUGAAAUGUAUGCACUGUUGUACAUGGGCUGAUAUGUUGUACCAAAUUUUGCCUCAAAUGCAAUGAAAAUAUACGGGCUGAUAUAUAUGGUGAAGUGAAUUUUGUAUGGUUGCCAGAAAACCGAACCGGCACCUGACCUGAACCGGGCCGGUUCGGCCCCGAAGGUCAGCGUGGCACGCCACGUAGGACUGAAAAGUGGGCCCCGCUCGUCAGGAAACGUCAGAUUUGGCGGAAAAUAUUAAAAGGGGUAAUUAGUGGCAAAGGUUUGGUUAAAUGGGAUAUAAUUUUGGAAAUUCUCUUAAAUGGGAUAGAUUGUGUCAAAAAGUUUCAUAGAGCGGGUAAAAAAUGAAAUUCACUCUGAAGAAAAUGGAUGGCACUUUCUCACUAAAACUAGCAAUGAGGAAGAAGCAGGUCUAGCUCAAGGCUCCAGCUAGCUCAAGCCUCUUUGAUUUACAAGAUUGGAAAAAUCGGAGGAAUAGAAGGAAAAAAAUGUAGAAAUGCAAUGUGAUGUUUCACUACCAGGGUCACAGAGCUUAGUGAUGGUGAUUUAUUUUUGUGUCGGGCACCAGAAUGACUGUCAUGAAAAUAAUAAUUGUGACAGGCUACUACUGACACCAAAUUAUUAAUUUUUGUGGCGGGCCUUGACACUACCGACAGAAAAUAAAAUAUAUUGUGGCAGUUGGAAUCCGACACAUUUUCAUGCCGGUUCACCAUUACACAAAACACACAUUUGUGACGGUUAUGAUGUACCCAUCACAAAAAUAACAACGUCCCAAAUAUUGUUUUUAUCACUUUUGUGAACCAAAUACCAUAAGUCUGCUCUACUCUCAAAAUAUCUGAACAUUCAUAGGACUAUAUUUUGUAGACACGAAUUAUAUUUCUGUCGGCUUUUGGUUAUUUCUGAAGGUUUAGCACCGUCACUGUACUCUGUGAUCCUGUUAGUUUGAUUGCCUGAAAUUUUGUUCGAAUAUUGUAGGGAAAGCAAAGGAUUUCUCCCAAGAAAUGUAGUACUCCCUCAACGACAAGAAUUUGGGAUAGGAGGAAGUUCUUAGGAAAAUUUAGUAUAGGAUAUAAUCCUACGAAUCAAAGGACUCAUGUAGGAAAAAUUCCUAAUGAUUCUAUAUCAAAGCGUGCGUCGAUUUUGUGUUUGUUAGUCUCUGACCUAUAUAUGUCGGCUGACGGCAAGGACCCAGCGUCCGACCGAGCCGCGCGGGCAAGAGCCAUCUUGUGUACACUCCAGGUGAGCAGUCGUGCAUCUCAAAAGAAAAGAGACCCGGGACAGUUGUGUUGCCCCGGGUUUGCACUGUUGUACACGGCCGGGUCGUACUUUUUAGAAUGUCUCCGUGUGCAUAUCGAGCGUUUUACUUUCUUUUUUUUAGAAUCUCCUGUAACUUUAUUCAAACUCAAAACAUUACGGGUACAGUGCUUCGGAUCAUGGACAAAAGAAACUACAAAGUAACCCCUAUGAGUAAGAAUUACAAUGAAAUCUUUUGAAAACAUAUUCUCCGUAGCAUCAAUUUUUGCAACACGAAAUACUCUUCAUACUUUAGCAAAAGAACUGCAAUUAGACUGGAGUGGCAACAUCGCCACUCGUAACCCUGCACGAAUUUGAUUAUCUUUAAAGGUUUCAGAAAGCCCCUUGAGUCGUCCAUCUAAAAAGAUGAGAAGCCGUGAGCAUUGAACAUACUUGGGCCGGGGUUGAUCCCACAUGAUCUUCACGAAAACGCCAGAGAAAGACUCCAAAGUCACCAAAGUAUCAUGACACACUGACAAAAACUCAUCAAAUCCGUAUGAACAGCUCUGCGAGGACAUAAACUCAAAAUCCGCGUGAUCGGACACAUCGAAUCCGCGGUGAGUAAAACUUUUUGGCCCCGUGGCACUGCGCAAUAAGGCACCGCCGCAGCAGAGGAAAAACCAGAAUACCUUUAUUCUCGACGGCAUCGCACCCUCCGUCGUAACGUUGCCGAUGAAGAUCACAAGACUCGUAAUAGUAAAAACUUCUAAAAACACCCGGUAAUACCCGAGAUUCCCCCCACCUCGCAGCGCCAAGAUGGCGACAGGAGGUGAGGGGAACCGGUGAAUCCGGACGGUGCUCUACCUCAAAACUCUAAGUUUUCUCCCUCUCCUUCUCCCUGGCGGCGAUAGCGUACCUAACGUUUUACUCCCUCUGAUUCUAAAUUCUUGACUCAACUUUGCCAAAAUAUAAAUGUAUUUAUUAUUAAAAAGCGUCUAGAUACAUGUAAUAUUUCGACAACAAUUUAGGAUCGGAGGGAGUACUUUUUUUCCUUCCUUUCUUUGCCUCCGUGGGCUUCUUUUCUGUUUUUCUUUUUGGGCCGUGUCCCACCUGGCCCAUAUCUUAGCCACUGCCUCACCGAGCCCAACCGCUCGCUAGUCACGCAUGGUGGCCACGUUCCCCCUCUGCUAAAAAAAAACUUCGUGAGAACUGAUCAACUGAAGCACGAACUCCAUUCAAUCCUUUCCUCAAAAAAAAAAAACUCCAUUCAAUCCUCUAGAUUCCCAAUUGAAGCCCGCCAAAGAAAACCCCAUUCGCUCCUGAAUUGGUACCGCGAGUGGGAUGGCGUUGAUUCGCUGUGGAAUACCGGCAGCGGGCGGCGGUUGCUAGUCUGGGGCGAUUCGGCGGGCCUGGAGCAAGAGCCGGCGGAGCAAGGGCGGGCCACGGGUGCAGGAGCAGGAGCCGGCGGGGGUGAGGGCGAGCUGGGUCUGCGGCGAUUCCCGGAGGUUGCUGCUGUGAACGGCGACUCCGGCAGGGAGUUUUUGGCGGCAGGCGGCGGCAGAGAUUUCCGCCGGUUGAGGACGACGGCCCGGAUCGAGGCGUGUCCGAGAUCAGCCCACUUGGGAUCGAUUCCGGGUCGACUGAUUGGGCAUCUGAAAUAGGAACCCGCGGGCCGACCCUGGGCCGGAACCAACGGCGGCGGCGGGCCGGCCCGGUCUCUUCAACGCGCGUGUGUCGGCGGUGCGGGUCAAGUUUAUUUUUUUCUGAAUUACCUCUUUCAUAAUCUCGCAGCUUUUCUUCACGAGCGUAGAUGGCCAAUGGCCGGGCGGACGACAUUGUAGCGAGAGUCGUGUUUUCUUUUGAUUAAAGAUGGCAUUUUCUCCGAUUUCAUUAAAAGAAACAAUAUGUCUGUUAUAUAAAAUAAAUAAGUCCAAUUUUAAGAGCUACACUAAGCAAACAGCAAGAAGGCUACCCCUACAUUAUUCCCCUACACAUUGUUGUGCUCAGCAAACAAGACACUCUUCCUCGUCCAGCGAUACAGAGAAUAUGCAACAGGCCUACAGAUUUUGUCAACGGCCCUAACCUUGAGAUCGACAGAAGACCUCACAUGUGACUUGCCACAGUCUGCGGGAGCAUUUGCGAAGCGGUUCUCAAGUGGCGGGCUUAUGAAAACCAGCCCAAAGAUGAAUAAUAGAGCAGAUGUUAAAAUCACUACCGGAGGAUCAUAAGGUAACUUAUUCUUAAAACAAGCAUCCUUCCUUGUCUUCCAAAGAGUCCAAAGAACGGCUGCAACUCCAACUACCACGAGGUUUUCAACUUUCUUGCCAAACUAAAUCAGCCAACAAUAAAGCAAGUCCUAAAUAGAGACUGGAUCUACAACAACAUUAAAGCUAACUUGUACAGCAUUCCAGACAUAUCUUGCCAAGACAGCAUGAAAAGAACAAGUGGUCGAUGGAUUCUGUCUAGACCAGAAGGCACAUCUCUCUUCCCCCUCCCACCCUUGAGAUUUCAAUACAUCUAUGGUAAGUACACUACCUCUGUAGACCAGCCAAAGGAACACCAUAAUUUUCAGAGGCAUUUCUACUCUCCAGAGAAAGAAGUAUGGAAAUCGAACAUGGGACCGUUCAGUGCUCUGUACAUCGAGCCUACUAAAAAUCUCCCCUGGCAUCAGGUUUCCAAUACAGCUUGUAAUCUCCCCCGGUUAUCAUGUACCGAGUGUCGGUACACGAGGUUUUAUCAGGUUCGACUCUCCACGUGGAGAUAAAGAUCUACAUCUUGUUUGAUUGCAUUGAUCUUGAUUGUAGCGAUUACAAGCUGUGAUUCUUGUGUAGGCUCGGAAUCUAAUUCUAUGAUCUAUUGUCGAUUGUAAUAAGCUAUAAAAUUGUGUGCCUCGGGGCAGCCCCUGAUGGCCUUAUAUACUUGGCCAAUCUAGCUUACAAGUAGAAUUCCUAGCGGGACUCAACAAGAUGCUUGUGAUGGGGUAAUGGAACUAUAUAUUAUGAUCAAGGGCGGAGCUAGAGGAAAAAGCAUCCGAGUGCACUCUUUAAAGUUCAAUACUUCCUGGGACGCCUAGACAGCUUGGCCUGAUGCACACUUCCUAAUAAUCCCUAGUGCACUAGCUAAUUGCAGGGUAUAGUUAGCAUUAGAAAUUUUGUUUGACCCCUGGUGCAUGUGACCUAGGGAGCCAACAAGUAGGUCCGCCCCUGAUUAUGAUAACCCUAAACUGUCUUCAUAUGUUACAUUACACUCUCAAAAGUUGCAAUCAUGUUUUGUCUUUUAUCUAUUUAAAUAAACACUCAAAUCCAUGUUUUGUUUAUCGUCUUUAUGCUCGAGGAUAAGUAUAGACUAAGUUUGGGGGCGUUGAUUAUGUAAAAUGCAUACAUGAACUUUGACGUUUAUAAUGCCAUAUUCCAUCAUAAUUGUAUCGCAUUAUGAGUUAUUACCAUGGUUUUCAAUGAUUUGGGAAACUUCCCAUGAGUUCUCAUUAUUUUGAUAUUUAAUUAUGGAAAGAAGGAAAACCUCUUUUAAGUGUUUUUAACAUUCUAGGAGCUACGGGACUCGAAAAAGGGCACGAUCAGUGGCCACGGUUCAGAAAUUUUGAGAUGCCUCCAGCAAGUCAAAGCAGGCCAUCAGGGUAUCAACAGAAUGCAAAUGGGGCCCCACGGUGCACACCCCCUCCAGGCGCGACGUGCGGCCCACCACGGCCUUCCCUGCCCCUUUUGCCUUCGCUCAUUCGUGUGCAGCUUUGUCUUGACCUAAAACCAUCCAUAUAUACCCCCAAUAAAUUUAAUUCGUGACAUACGGCGACGAAGAGAGGAAACACAAUAACAGAGAUCUACAGGUAAAGACAUGUUUUCCCUCGGAGCUUUUCAUCUCUUAUAAGCAAACACACACACGCCACGAGCUUGACCUCUUGAAGCAUAGAGGAUUGGGCUUUCUCUGAAAAGAGUCACUUUUGUUUACAUUUUACUUGCUUUACUUUACUACACUUUAAAUUCCUCUACUCUAGUAGUUUAUUUCUACAAGUUAAAGAAACCUUGCAUCCGUUAAUUUAUUGGAUCGCAUAAACGGCCGUAUAAGUGGCUUAUAAAUAAUUAGAGAAUAGAUAGUUACCUUCUGCUCCUUGUGGGUUCGACACCAGUACUUAUCAAAAGGUACUACAUUGAUUCCUACACUCGUGUGGGUAUCAAUAUUCUACAUAUACAAAUUUGUGAUUUUAUGCACAAAACACAAAUCAAGUGUAUAUUUUGACGAAAUUACAAAGUGUAAAAUACAUUUAUACUUACACUAGAAAAAGAAUCAAAGCUUCACAAUAUGAUUUUUUUUCAAAUUAUAGGGACCGUGUAGCCAGGAGCCAAAAGUCCAUGUCCGAAGGAAAACUACUUCUCUCUCUACCCAAACGUAUAGAAGAAAACCUUGAGCUUCCAGACAUGGUCGCAUCAUCUCUUCCAUGUCUUCGAAAGCUCUUUAGAGCAUCAUAUCUUCCAUGUCUUCCAACUCUUUGGUCGUCGAGCCAAGUGGAGUUGGGCUGUCUGUUUCGGCGAGAGCAUAUCAGGUGCACCAAGCCCAUUGGUGCACCCGUACGUUGAAGCAACCAGAGCCGCCAUAUGGAAAAUGAAGGGUCCAGAUCAAAACAACGAAGGAAUUCACAUGUUUUAUGUUUAGUCCCUUAAGUUAGUUGUGAAUCAACUCGCGCUCCACUGCUCGUUAGUGUUUCUUGGACUUGGGGGUGGAUUUAAAUAGAACUGAAGGGUGUGAAUGGAAAAGAACACUAUAGAAGAGUGGAGCAUAGGUUGAUUCGCGAUAAACUUAAGGGCCUAGAUGUAAAACGACAAUUGGUUAUGUUUGAUCUAAACUUGGCCCUUGCUUUUCCAUCCAACGGUCCAUGUGGAUUGGACACACAGGGUGCACCAAAUGUCCCAGUGCACCUGAUACGCCCUCCUAUUUCGGCAACUAUACACGUGUCCAAGACUGUCAAGAAACCCGGUCUACUCCCUCAUAAUUGCAUUUAAAUCUAUGAGCUGGCUGAUGACAACUAGCGAAUCAUUGUGCCAUCUGUUGAUUUUUCAAAUCGCUUUGAUCUAUUUGACGAUCUUGGGAACGAUUGUACAAAAGCAAAUGUUCCCCUUGGUAGAAAGAAACGCCUGGUUAAAUUUCCACCAAACCGUCCUCUCUCGGCUAGUACUUAUGCAUUUGUCCUCGAAUUUGGCUUAAAUAGGGUUCUCCAAAUUAUCCGCAACAUCCGUAAGUUUUGUUCUCUCGCAUGCCCUUUCAUGUUUGUGUUGAAAGUUUUGGGAGAGAUGGAUUUAGACUACUUGAAUUCCAGCUUUGUGCAUGAUUUGGUUGUGUUUAUUAUUAUCUUCUCACAUAGAUCUAAUAUGUCCUCUGCGUUUCGUAGGAUCGUGAAGCAGGUUGGGAAGCCCGUUGACGUUGUAGAAAGACAUCAUAUCUUCGUUCUGAGUUCAGAGGUGAGAACUUUGUUCCGAUAUGUUUUUCACGUUAUGUUCUUGUAAUAUAGAUCUGAUGUCGCUUUAGUUCUUUGUUAUAUCAAUACAAGGUAAAUUUGCACUUAUCAAAAGGAAGAUGAACUACCAAGUUCUAGUGCAAACUCUCUUUUGGUCCUUCGUUCAUGCAAAUUUACGUGUUUAAUUUCUCGCCCUUGAUAUGCAACAAUUGGUUGGGAAAGGAUAAAACCUGAUAGAUGAGUCCUUCAAGAGCGCCUAGGAUUCAUGAAUGAAAUUGGUCUAAACGUCUCGUUUUCAUCGACUUAUUCAUUAUUCAUCUAAGGAUAAACAAACUUGUGAUGAUGCUUUGCCAUUGUUUGGUUGAUUGGAUUUGAUCUAUGUAAUAUGGUUCCUAGGUUCUUGUCUGAGUGAAGAUAAUCAAGUGGAAAACUAGACAGUUUACAUCCUGUAACUACUAAAUUGAUUCAAAAUCACCCACAAGAUUGUGUCAUGUAGUAUUUUUGUCAUGCUUGCAGUUACAAUCAUUUGAUUUUUAUGGUGCGGAUCAUUACGUACAUUGUGGUCAACAAUCCUUGUAUGCACACCAGCACACUUGCCCAUGUAAUCAUUUAAGACCAUUGAAUGUGCAAGCUGAAGAUAAAUAUAUUUUGAAUUUGGUGAUAUUUUAUAAAUUUGAUGAACUUUUCCUCCUUGGAAUAGCACACAAGUUGUUUUGAAGUCCUUGCAUAUCAGAAUUCAGAACACAUGGAGUAAACUAGAAAUAAGAUGAGACUGUAAAGUUGUUUUCUUGAGAAAAGCUAAUGCCCAUGAGUUAUGAAAAAGAAAAACUAUUCCAGUGUUUAGCCAUUAUUUAUGCAAAUUCAUAGGUGUUUAAUUAUUUCAUUGAUCAGCGUAUGAUUUAAAAUAUUUUUUAGGUGAGGAUUGAUUGCAAAGAUUAAACCCACAACACACUCCCAAUUAAAUAAAAUUAUUGUGCAUUAUUAUAUUAAUUGUCGCAAUUAAAUACAAUUAGUAUACAUCACUCAUUUUAACCGGCAAUAUCAAUGUGUCAUCAUUGUAUUUAAUAUUUUGGGAGCAAAUAAUUAUUGCACAUUAUUAUAUUAAUUUUCUCAAUUAAAUACAAUUAGUAUACAUCACUCAUUUUAACGGGCAAUAUCAAUGCGUCAUCAAAGAGUGUAAUUAUUUGUCAUCAAGUUGUAUAAUUAAAAUUGUCCCUAUGUCACACAAACAAACAGCAACUACACUCACGUAGAUAAGAAGAAUGCUGUGUGGGGCCAAACAUAGAGGCGCUGCUCGCUGCAACUGACAUCAAGAGCUGCCACGAUGCAGGAGGAAGCCAUACCUUCUAAGGAUCCAAUCAGGUUUCUACGUUAGGAGACAUUCAUGUUUUUCCAUUAGAAGUCCUAGUCUUGGAUUAUAUUAGAAGUCGUGUGUAUUUUCCACAAGCGAAAGAGAAGAUAAAACAUUUUCAUGGACGGCAUUCUCCAAACAAAGAAGAACAACUAGCAAAGUUAAGGAUAACUAGGUGGGAGACUACGUCGUCUUCUAUGCUUAUGCUGGGAGAACACCUCACCGAUCGUCUCUUCUUCCAAUUAUGCAACGUGUAACCAUCUGUCGGCCAUCGUACCGUGAAAGCAAAAAUUAACGAACCAAGUGUGUACAUGACAUAUCACUUGUUGGCGAGAAGACAUUUUCCUCUUGUCAUAUAUCACACCAUUUAUGCAUGGCCAUGAGGACCAACAAAAACUAGACAUGCACACUAACCAAGAUUUGGAUCUUGGAUCAUAGUAUACCAAUACCCAGGAGCCAAUAGCAAAAUGGCACAGCAGCCGCUCUGAAAUCCCUGAUCGCUAGUAGCUUACUGGCCGGCGUGCAGAAACAUACACAUGUGGAUCGCCUGGAUCGCCGGCCUGCACCUGCAGUGUUCCUGCAUGCAGGGAAAUUAUCUUUACCAACAUUCCAAAAUAAAUUAGUGUCAAGAUGAGCAAAUGAACCGCAAAAACACAAAAGGGCGUCAAAAAGGUGCUUGCGAUCAUAGGCGCAGCCAGGCCCCAGGCAACACGGGCCACGGCCUAGGGCGUGGCCAAAAUUUUCAAGCUAAAAAAGAAAAGAAAUUAGGUUUGGCAUGGGGUGUCGUGGCCCACUGGCCCAAGCCAGCUAGCCCAGCCCAGGGCGUGAGCAAUUCAUGACUCCGCCCCUGCUUGCGAUGAAGUUUAAGUCAGAAUAAAGCAGCUAGUAGUGAAGAAUAAAGUGAUGGCUAUGCGCCAAGAUGAGAGACAGAACAAAAAACGAAAAUCAAGAAAAGAAAAUACAUGAACACACAAUUCCAGAGAGAGAGAAAAGCUAAGAAUCCACCAGGCAUCUCUAAUCUUUUCUAGUUUGUUGUGAAUCAACUCGCGCUCCACUGCUCUUUUGUGUUUCUUGGACUGGGGGGGGGGGGGUGGAUUUAAAUAGAACUGAAGGGUGUGAAUGGAAAAGAACAUUAUAGAAGAGUGGAGCGUUGGUUGAUUCACGAUAAACUUAAGGGCCUAGAAGUAAAAUGGCAAAUGGUUAUGUUUGAUCUAAACUUGGCCCUUGUUUUUCCAUCCAACGGUCCACGUGGAUCGGGCGCACCAAAUGGCCCAGUGCACCUGAUACGCCCUCCUAUUUCGGCAACUACACGUGUCCAAGACCUACCAGAAACCCGGUCUACUCACUCAUAAUUGCAUUUAAAUCUAUGAGCUGGCUGAUGACAACUAGCGAAUCAUUGUGCCAUCUGUUGAUUUUUCAAAUCGCUUUGAUCUAUUUGACGAUCUUGGAAACGAUUGUAUAAAAGCAUAUGUUCCCCUUGGUAGAAAGAAACGCCUGGUUAAAUUUCCAGCAAACCGUCCUCUCUCGGCUAGUACUUAUGCAUCUGUCCUCGAACUUGGCGUAAAUUGGGUUCUCCAAAGUAUCCGCAACAUCCGUAAGUUUUGUUCUCUCGCAUGCCCUUUCAUGUUUGUGUUGAUAGUUUAGGGAGAGAUGGAUUUAGACUACUUGAAUUCCAGCUUUGUGCAUGAUUUGGUUGUGUUUAUUACUGUCUUCUCACAUAGAUCUAAUAUGUCCUAUGCGUUUCAUAGGAUCGUGGAGCAGUUUGGCAAGCCCGUUGACGUUGUAGAAAGAUAUCAUAUCUUCGUUCUGAGUUUAGAGGUGAGAACUUUGUUCCGAUAUGUUUUUCCCUUUAUGUUCUUGGAUAAUAUAGAUCUGAUGCCGCUCUAGUUCUUUGUGUCAUCUAGUAUUUUUUUUUCAUGCUUGCGGUUACAAUCAUUUGAUUUUUAUGGUGCGGAUCAUUACGUUCAUUGUGUUCAACUAUUCUUGUAUACACACCAGCACACUUGCCCAUGUAAUCAUUUAGAACCAUUGAACGUCCAAGGCGAAGAUAAAUAUAUUUUGAAUUUGGUGAUAUUUUAUAAAUUGUAUGAACUUUUCCUCCUUCGAAAUCGCACACGAGUUGUUUUGAAGUCCUUGCAUAUCAGCAUUCAGAAACAUGGAGUAAACUAGAAAUAAGAUGAGACUGUAAAGUUGUUUUCUUGAGAAAAGCUAAUGCCCAAUGAGUUAGGAAAAAUAAAAAUUAUUUCAGCGUUUAGCCAUUAUUUAUGCAAAUUAAUAGGUGUUUAAUUAUUUCAUUGAUCAGCGUAUGAUUUAAAAUAUUUUUUAGGUGAGGAUUGAUUGCAAAGAUUAAACCCACACGGCACACUCCCAACUAAUUAAAAUUAUUGUGCAUUAUUAUAUUAAUUUUCACAAUUAAAUACAAUUAGUAUACAUCACUCAUUUUAACUAGCGAUAUCAAUGCGUCAUCAUUGUAUUAAUAUUUAGGGAGCAAAUAAUUAUUGUACAUUAUUAUAUUAAUUUUCUCAAUUAAAUACAAUUAGUAUACAUCACUCAUUUCAAUACGUCAUCAAACAGUGUAAUUGUUUGUCCCUAUGUCACGCACACAAACAGCAACUAUCCUCGCCUAGAUAAGAAGAAUGUUGUGUGGGGCCAAACAUAAAGGCGCCGCUAGCUGCAACUGGCAUGAGGACCAACAAAAACUAGACAUGCACACUAACCAAGAUUUGGGAUCUUGGAUCAUAGUAUACCAAUACCCAGGAGCCAAUUGCAAAUUGGCACAGCAGCCGCUCUGAAAUCCCUGAACGCUAACUCACUGGCCGGCGUGUAGAAACGUACACAUGUCGAUGGCCGGCCUGCACUUGCAGUGUUCCUGCAUGCAGGGAAAUAAUCUUUUGCACUCGUACAAGUCCAGCUUUAUUUGUUGGCAGCAAGUCAAAGAUGUGUCGUGGCCUGCACCGCCGCAGCCAAUCCACAUCGGCACGAUUUACUUGCGCAAUUAUACGUUGAUUUAGUACCUGUUCGAGUAUUAUUUUGUUUCUUUUGAAAUUUCAACCAGCGCAUAUGUAGGAGUAAAUAGUAAACAGUUCCAUGGACUUGUGCUGGGCAGUACUGGCCCAAUCUUGGACGGUGGAGUACUGUACUACGAUGGGCCUGAACCGGACCUGAGUCCAGCAAUGUAUGUACACCAAGUUUGACCAAAGCCCAAUAUUGCUUAAGUCUAUUUUUAGACCACAAGCAUCACCCUAACAGAAAGAUAUGUAUGCACUGUACUGUUGCAAGUCAACAAGCUUUACAUGCAUCACCCUAACAGAAAGGAAUGAAAGAAAAUAAUGUCUUCAAGUCACACACGGGUGCCUAGGUACUGCUGUCUCCUUUUACCAACAUUCCGAAACCCAUAAAAAUUAAUGUCAAGAUGAGCAAAUGAACCGAAAAAACACAAAAGGGCGUCAAAAGGUGCUUGCGAUGAAGUUUAAGUCAGAAUAAAAUAGCUAGUAGUGAAGAAUAAAGUGAUGGCUAUGCGCAAAGAUGAGAGACAAAAUAAAAAAGAAAUUCAAGAAAAAAAAUGCAUGAGCACAUAAACCCAGAGGGAGAGAAAAGCUAAGGAUCCAGGCAUCUCUAAUCCUUUCCCGUUGAGCAAGAGAGAUAUUCUUGGAUGAUCCAGCCUUAUAUUGUUCCCAAAGACCAUAUCUAGGAUGAACAUUCCUCGUGAUCUAGGGGGACAUUCAGUUGAUAGAAAGAAAAAGGAGGGUGUCUUGUUUGCUGUACCUUAAAGAUGAUCAUUCUGUGAGGCACUUUGCAUGUCCAGCAGACCAGCACCACUUCAUAAUAUUCACCACCAAAAGAAGUGAUUAGGACCUUUCUCCCCACAGGGGAAAGGGAAUCUUAUUCCUCCGAGGUGAUCAUUAGUUUAAUCUCAUCAUGUUUGCAUAUGCCCUAAUCCCAAGUGCAGCUGUGUGCAUGCGUGUGUUGUUAAAAAAGACUUUGGCAAUUUUAUUUCUUUCGGAAGAGAAUGUUGUGCCGUUAGAGGGGCAUCACCACGCUAUCACUAGUCACUAGUUUCUAGGCAUUCAGACAGGCAAACAGACAAAGAAAAAAAGUUGCAGGAUCCAAGACUAGUAUUAAGUGGGCCUAAUGACAGUAAUAUCUUUGCACACCCCAAGGUGAUGAUGCAUGGAGUACAGUAGGUGCUAGCUCCAAAUUCAUCAUGAUAGAUGGCCAAAUGAUAAGAAUCUCCGAGAUGGCAUCUUGUGGAUGCAGAGAGUCAGCUAACAGUAGGCCAUGCUUAAUUAGGACAUACAAGUCACUCUAAUCAGGGGUGCUGCCGUGCACAUGCUGGCCCAAAGGGGAAAGUUGUAGACUGAUUAUUCUUUUUCUUUUUCUUUUUUUAAGACGCCCCCUAAUCUGUUCGUUAAUUGCUGGUGUCACUGACAUAUCUGCUGUUAGCCUCCAGAGCAUGCACAUUCCAGUGCUGUUUUUUUUUCCGAAAAAGGCAGGAGCUCUGCCAUGUAAUAUUAGAAGAAAAAAAAUAUAGGUACAAGAAUCAUUUUUUUGCCGAGAAUUCCAGUGCUGUUAUUUUUUAUGCUUGCACAUUUCCAGGAAGCAUCAGAUGAUUGGUUAGUGGUGGUCACGGGGGGUAUCCUUAGGAGAGGGGGUGUGGUGGUCAACUCUUAGGGCACAAUGAUGAUACAGACAAACCCACUAUGCUCUGCUACAACCUGACGACUGAGCCUGAUAAUACUGUUACUUACAACUUUCUUUUAGUACUCCAAUGUAGAAACAUAUGCAUCCAGCUUAAUUCUUUUUUCAUAACCUUAUGCCAAUAUAUAGGAGAACAUGAGUUAGGUUUGGAUAGUUUUUGUUAUGAAUUUUGUAAGUACCCAUUCAUUGGUGAAUUAUGCAGAGUGUUAUACCCAUUGCUGACACUUAUAUACUACAUUCUCUUAGUUAUACUUACUGCCCCAUGAUUUCUUUCUUGCUAAUUCCAUCUUGUAUGCAUGAGGAUUCUUAUUUCUUUUGUGCUUACUGAAUUUGGUUGACAUGCUAUUUCUAAAUGCCACGUCUUUUUCUCUUGAAACAUACAUGUUAUACCUCAAUAGUUUCAGCAAUGUUUUUCUUUUCUUCAAUUUACCAUGAAGUUCUACAAUGAUUGAUAUAUAUGGACUUAAAUUUUCAUGUGGUUGCAAUGUGCUUAAUUUAAUAUGUACUGGCGUUACUUUAAGAGCAUACGCAAAUUAGAUGUUUUUUUCAGUUUUCUUUCACAUCAAGCAUGUAAAACUGGUAGGUAUACUUGUAAAUGUGAAAAUAGUUUCUUCAGUUGUGUUAGUCGAACAUGAUAACUUGCAUUACUAGUUUUAAAAAUCCAACUAUAUAUGUUUUGUGUCAUGUGAAGAAGCUAGUGUUCAAAAUAGAAUACAUUUGUCUAUGUGAAGAGGGAAAAAAAAUUAGAAGCACCAUGCAUAGUAUUAAAGUGAUGCCGUUACAUCCAUCUCGUAGCAGCAGUUAUGACCUGUGAUCAGGGGAAACACUGUCCAUGAAUUGAUGGGGUCGGACUAUAGAAUUUGAUAUUACGCUUGCUUAUGCAUGAGAAUUAAAUACCCAGCACAAGGGGUUUGUGAUGGUAUACAUACUAGAGCCCAUGAGGGGCAUUAAUUCCUAACUCGAUCCAUUCUUCUCAGUUCUUCAGGAAACCUCUAGCUACUCUAGCAUUCUGCCCCCCCCCCCUCUCACCCCUUAAGAUGAGAGAGAAAAGAGGUUUUGGGGUGUUUAAAACAAGCAAAUUGACAGAAAUCACAGGCACAGUGGAGGCAAGGCAUGCCCGUCUUGUUCCCAUCUCUCUCUCUCUUCUGACACACCACAGCCUGCCCCUCUCACUCUCUCUCACCCUCUCCAUGGAGCAAGCUUUUUUACUGAAGCAAUGAAGUCAAGCAAUCAAGUGAUAAGCUUGCAUUCCUGAUAGUGCAAGCAAAGCAAAGCGCUUGAAGACAGCCUCCCUUGUCCUCCUUCCUCUAGCCUUGCCUUCUUCACUUCUCCACCCCCCUUCACAGGCGCCCACAUCUCCUUCCACCAUCUCCAUUCCCUCGUAUACUAUUUUCUUUCUGUUGGCACUUUGUGUGAUGUGCCCUAGGCCCUAUAGGCUAUAGCCCCCUAGUCACUUCACUACAAUGGUGGAAGCUGCAAACACUGGAGGCCUUGCCCCUUCUUUGUCCUCUUGAUUAGCCCUUGACAAACAAACACAAGGUCCGUUUGCUUUUGGUCUCUCUCUCUCUUCCCACUGUGCAUAGCAGUGUAGGGAGAAAAAACCCUCUGGAUGGUCUCUCUCACUGUCUCACACACACACAUAAACACAAAGAAUUAACAUCUGCACAUGAAGCUCCUCCUCCUUUAGUUUCUAGUCCUUGUUGUUGUGCAUUUAGUCCACAAAGAAAAAACUAGCUGGUACUAGUAGUGGUGGUGUAUAUGUAGUCGUAAGAGUAACUAGUAAAACCUCCACAAAGUAAGCACCCCUCCCUCCCUCUCUUUGCCCAAGAAGAGCUCGACUGUUCAUCCUCCCCUUCCUCCAUGCAUCCUUCCACUGGCUAGUUAUAGUGAGUAGCAGCAGCUGUCUUCUCUCUUCUUAAGCAUCUCCUCCCUUCUUCCUUCUUCUAAUCUACUUGUUUGUCUGGGGAGGGGGGCAAGAGUAGCUCAACACAGUAGAGGCUGAUAAGCUAGAUAGAGAUAGCUAGGACUAGGAGGAAUUAAUAGGAUAAUAUUAUAAAAUAUCUGCAUUUUUCUUCCAUGGUCCAAUUGAGCAUGCAAACUAUAGAGUAGCUUAGAUUAAUAAGCUCAUCUCCUCCAUCUUGGAGAGAGUUUGCAAGUGGUUGUAGUAGUAUCUUCUUGAUAAGGUCCCCAAGAUCCCACACCACAGCAUACCAUACAUGCACCUCGGUUUCCUUUUUGUUCUCCACACACACAUACUCUCUCUCUCUCUUUACUUUAUACUUUAGUGCCUUCCUGUUUCGAGUCCCAAGAAACACUGAGAAUUUUGUUAGCGUCCUCGUGAGAGAGCCGAUUGAAUCAGGCCACUGACAAUUUUUCCUCUGUGUAAUUUCUCAUGGUUUCCAUUGUGCCGCUGCAGAGAAGGCAAGCAGAAGCAAGGAUGGAUCUCUCCGGCACCACCCGCGGCGAGCUCCCGAUCCCCAUGAACGCCUCCUACGGUCCUGCCGCUGCCGCUGGCUCCGUCGUAGUCUCCGGCGCCGGCCACUCCCAUGCCGCCGCCGCCCACAACGGGCAGCAGCAGAUGACGGCUCCUCUGAUGCCUGCUGCUGAGGUGGCGAACAACAACGCUGCUGCCGCCAUUGGCAUUGGCGGCAAGAAGCGCUCUGCUGCUGCAAGCGCUGGAGCUGGAGCUGGGAUUCGGGCUGGCAAUGGCGCCGGGGGAGCGCCGCUGGCAAUGGUGAAGUACAGGGAAUGUCUGAAGAACCAUGCCGCGGCGAUUGGGGGAAAUGCUACUGAUGGCUGCGGCGAAUUCAUGCCGAGCGGCGAGGAAGGGUCGCUGGAGGCCUUCAAGUGCUCCGCCUGCGGCUGCCACAGAAACUUCCACCGCAAGGACUUCGACGACGACCUCGCUCUCCACCGCCGUCUGCUCCUCGGGCCCCACCACCUCAUCCCCAGGGGCCCCAUCGUCCCCAGCUCCGGCGCCGGAGACCACUACGGCGUUGGAGGCGGCGCCGCCUACGCCCGCGCCGCCCUGCCCCCGCCGCAGCACCCGCAUCAGAUCGUGAUGCCGCUCAACAUGAUCCACUCCUCGGAGUCGGACGAGAUCAUGGAGGGCGGCCAUGGCAUUGGGGGAGCGGUGCUCUCCCGCUCCCUUGGCCAUGGCGGCGGCGGGGCGUCUUCUUCGCAGCAGAAGCGGUUCCGCACCAAGUUCACCCCGGAGCAGAAGGCGCGGAUGCUGGCGUUCGCGGAGCGCGUGGGGUGGCGGCUGCAGCGGGCCGACGACACCGCCGUGCAGCGCUUCUGCCAGGAGGUCGGCGUCAAGCGCCGGGUGCUCAAGGUGUGGAUGCACAACAACAAACAUAACCUCGCCUCCAACAAGCUCCCCAUCCCCAGCACCCCAAACUCGCCCCAAGCUGAAGCUCAAGCUCAGGAUCAAGACCAGCCUCCAAUGGCGCCCGCGCCGGUGAAUUCCAUGCCGCCGCCGCCGGAGCAGGAGCCCGGGCAGGACGAUCAGCAGCUCGACCUCGAGUGAUCGAUCAGAUUGGCAGUGGUUCUUGGUGAUUCUGCUAGCUAGCCAUAGCAAAAAACCCAGCAUUUGCGUUUAUUUUUACUGUUCUAUCGGACCGAUCGGAUUUUAUUAAUUUGCGGGGAGGGAGGACGAAGAACCCAAAGAAACUAGGCCCGUGGUUAUUAUUAUUAUCGUCGUCGUCUUUUUUUUAAUCUUGGCAUAAGGUAGGGGAGGACAUAACUGAGCUGCUCUGCUCAACUUCCGGUUAUUAUUAAAAAAAAAUUCCUGGACUUGCAUUUUUUUUGCCCUGCCAUUUUUCCCUGACUUUUAAGUCUAGCUCUAGCAGCGGCUGAUGUGCCUGGCUGAGCAUUUGUCUUGUCAUGGAUCAGAGGGUUUUAUUGAAUUAAUUCUGACUUUUUUAAUAUUUCUCCCUUGGUAUUAUUAUAUCUGUGUGGUUUCUUAGAUUAAUCUGUGCUCUGGUGUGGUAUUAUAGUUAUAUGUGAUUUGAGGAAUUUUAUUUAGAUAUAUAAUGUGAUGGGAGAUGAUGCACAAAAACAAAGAGAGAGCAUGAGCUGGGAUGCAAAUCUCUGCUCAUGUCUUGUGUCUUUCAUGCCCACUGUUGAUGACAUGAUGCGCAUGCACGGUGCACCCCUUUGCUUAAUCUGCAGUUGCUGUCGGUGCUCUUACUGUGGCCUGCCCUGCACUGCAUGCCUGAUCUCAUCUCAUCAGUUUUAUUUACAUCCAUCUCUCAACUCACCAAGAAAUUUAAAAAAAAAGAGGGAAGGGUUUCAGAGGAGAUAGGUGCAGCAGGCAAACAAAAACGGUGAGAAUUAAUACCCCUGUUUGUCCCAUUUCUCUCUUUGGGGGCAGAUAAUGCUCAUUAGUCCUUUGCCCCUGCAGCACAGCACAGCACAGCUACAGGCUUGGCCCCAAGCAGUCAAUCGGGGCAUUGGGGCCGUGUAGGUGUGCAGGGGGGCAGGGGAGCAUGUGGCAAACGAAUCUGAAGGUAGUUUGGAACUUUGGAUUGCCUUGUGGUGUAGUUGGAAUUGCAACAAGGGAGAGGAGCAAGCAAUGCAUUGCUAGCCUGCUAGGUGGCUGUGGCUGUGGCUGGUCCCCCGAUUUGUCCUCCGGCAGGAGAUUUCUUGCUACGGCUUCUCUUGAUUGUUUUACCCUCAAUUGAUCCCUACUACUUCCUAUGAUAAAUGGCUCCGCCUGCCUGGCUGCCUGUGAGGAUCAAGAUUUCAAGUACUACCGAUCUGCUGGUCUUAAGUACAGGUUUUGGUACUGCAAAUGAUGUGAAAUUGGAUUUCUGUUAGUAGUACCUGCUUGAUCCUUUACUAAUGUCUCUCUGUAAGUGUGAUUCAAGUACUGAUUUGUUUUAAGAUGAGAUUCAAGUACUGCUGAUUUGGCGGUCUCACCCUCAAGUAGAUGUGUGAUUGGUUUUUUGUACCGGCUUGAUAAUAAUAGAUGUAUGCUUGCUGGGACAAGCUUUUUUAAGGAGAUCAAGUGCUGCUGAGACGAAACUAAUUGCCGUGCCAAUGUUUUAUUGUCCCUCUGUGCGUCGUGUACUUUCUUUGCCGACCUGUAAUGGUGGCAGGAGCGUUUUAUGUCACUAACGCUGCGGGCAUUUACCCUGAAAUGACAAGCUGCUGCCUGGUUUAAGUGAUUUGCGGUGUCCUGGCCCAUGGGAGUAACGCUGCUCACUCCGAUCCUAAAUUGUUUUCGAAAUAUUACAUGUAUCUAAACGUUUUUUAAAAAUAGAUACAUCGAUAUUCGGACAAAUUUGAGUCAAGAAUUUAGGAUCGUCCCUUUGGAUUAAAUGCUUCUUUGUACAAAUAUUCUAAGAUAAAUGCUAAUCGUUUUUAUGAAAACCUUGCAGUAAAAAUGACACCGUGCAUCGAUUGUUCCAGAGAGGUCAGGAAUCUUUUCACAUUUUCGGAAAAAAAAAAUGCCGCCGUGAACCCCCUUACUGGAUAUUUAAACCCCAGAACUUCAAUAAAAGAAAGUAAAAUGCCACUUUCAAAAAAGAAAAUGUAAAAUGCAUCACAGGUUCCGGGUGUCAAGUUGGUUCUAGUCCUAAGAGAAAUUAAAGUGAUGCAUCACAAUUGAGUUCUCCGUGAUCCUGUCAAGUUGGUACCUGCUUCUAUUUAGUUCUCCUUCUGCUACAUUGCACAGCAAUCUGGAUCCUGGAUGCCGAGGCAAGAGGCUCUCCUAGGAGAUCAUGUGCCGAGACAAAACUCACUAGUGCUAAGUACACGUUGUGCCAAUGUUUUCUGUGUGUCCGACCUGCGUUGGCAGGGGCGUUUUACGUCACUAGUGCUGCGGUCAUUUAAGCUGAAAUGUACAGGCUAGUACUGUUAAGAAUAUAAAUAUACUGACUAGCCUCUUUCUGUAAGUUCGUACUUUUGGUUCAAGUGGCUAGCGCAUCAAUCUAAUGGUGCUAGUUCUUUUCGGUUUCCUGGACCGGUUUGUCUGAGAAGCUACCCUCCACCAGUUUCCUGUAGAAGCCACCACCUAAUUUGAUUAGGUUAUCAAACUAGUUUGGAUUAAAUUACUUUGAAAAGCUAGCUAAAUUAAAGAUGCGGCUUCUCCAAGAAACUAGGUGAGAGCAGUUUCUAGGAGAAGCCAGUUCUAGAAGUCGAAAAGAACGAAACCAUGGUAUUGGAGUCAAGAGGUCUCAAGUUCAACACCUUGCUCACGCAGUAUUAAAAAAAACGAUUCUACGGCCUACACCGAAUCGACGCUAAGGACUAAAAUAGCUUAGACGUGAAGAGGAGUGUUGAGAAUAUAAAUAUAUUGACUAGGCUCUUUCCGUAAAUUCGGACUUUUGGUUCAAGUGGCUAGCACAUCAAUCUAAUAAGUACUAGUGUUCUGUCCCCUCGCAGAGAGUAAUGUUAUGUUUAUCCAGUUUAGAGACUAGAGUUGUUUAUCCAGUUUAGAGACUAGAGUUUGGUACUCCGUCCGAUCUAUAUUAAUUAGCUUAAAUUUGUCCAAAUAUGUAUGUAUAUAUGUCUAAAAAACGUUUAUAUAUAUAUAUAUAUGUAAUAUUUCGACAAGUAAUAUGGAUUAGAGGGAGUACUUAUCUUGUGGCCUUGGAUGUUAGGCCGAAUAUGGUGAGUUACUUGUUCAAUCGCCGUUUCACGGAAAAUUGGGUAGGGGAAUGAAGAAAAUGAUGCAUGCUAGAAAGGCCAAAAAUAUUACUGCAUGCUGAUUUUAAACUGCAUUGCUUCAUGCUGUGCCAGGUUUGAUCCUCAUUUGUCUCGUCUGGGCCAUGGGGCCAUGCUAUUUGCAUACAUGUCACUUUGGAUUCAAGGCAAGUCCUAGAAAUCCUGUUAAGCUGAUCUCUUCUCCUUGACUCGUGUGCAGAAGGCCUGUAGUCCGGUAGGUUGCUUGCGGCCUAUAUGAACCGGAAACGAGGGUUCACCUCAUCAUGUUCGAGAAUGUAAAUUCAGUCGAUGGAUUUGGUUUGGUUGUGUGCGUCACUUGAUGCAGGGACCUUCUUUUUUUCCGAAAAAAUAAGUGGAGGAUUUGGCGUUGGUCAAUAACUGGUUCGGCUUUGAUCUUGAUCUGAUUCCGCCAACACGGUCGUAUAGUUAUUCUUUUAAAAAAGGCGAAUUCUCUGGCCAAGCGAUGUACACAACCAUCACACGGUCGUACAGUGGUGGCAUGACAACUUCUUUGACUCGUGAAACCGUAGAAAGGCGAUCACCUAGUUUCUUGUAUUUGUCUUAUGGAAGAUUUGGAGCGAACGCAACGUCCGCGUUUUCGGAACCUAGUCAUACUGCCCUCGAUCAUCUUGCUCGCAUCGAAAGCACGACAAAUUGAGUACUUGCCGGGGCCAAGCAUCUCAGGUCAAUUUUAACGAGAGAGUAGAGUCGGUUGUCGUCCUUGUUUUUAGCGCUUGUCUUGGAUCUCUUUGAUCUAACUUUUUCUCUAUUAAUGAAACGAGACUUCUGCCUCCAUUUAAAUAAAAUGAAAAUAAAAUGAACCAAACUCCCCCUUCUUGGUGCCAGAAUUUGGGUUGUCAUGUGCAUGACCAACAUGCAUGCGCACGGUGCAGCCUUGUGUUGUGUUGAUAUCGUUGUACUACGAUGUCUCCAUCGUACAGUAAAGUGCAAAUAUUUGACUCGAGCUGUAUGGAAUUUUUAGUCAAGUUUCUACAAAACAUCUAUCAGUUUUUAAAAAGCAAAAAAUAUUGAUGUACAUAUUAAUCUAUAUACCACAUAUGUGUAAAAAAUUACUAAGAAAAUCUGCCAUGUGAGAUAAGUAAAAAAAAUACAAGUUGAUGAAGUGCAUCUAGUGAAAGUCACAUCAAAUUUUCGGGCUCCAUGGAGCCUGAGCUCUACAAGCAAUUUUGCUAAAAUUGGCACUGCACUUUGAAGGCUCCUUUAAUUCAAAAGAUUUUUUUAAAAUAAAUUUGAAUUAUUAGAAUUUUUUCGAUGGAGGCAUUGAAGGCUCCUUUAGUGCAAUUUGGUUGGUUGAUUUGUAAGAUUGAGUCUCGUAGAUUUUUUUUCGAAGUUCUCAACUUUGUACUUAAUUCAAGACACUUAUUAUGGAUCGGAGAGAAUACUUGUAGUUGAUACUAAAUUUUUACUCGCAAAAAAAAGUUUAUACUACAUUUUUAAGUUCUUGGAAAUCGUUUCUUCUUUUCGUGGUAGAAUCAAACAAACUUUCUGUACAAAUUCAAUGCAGUAGGAUUCGAGCGGACCCUGAUCCAGUGUGUUUCAGAUUCCUGCGUUUUAUCAUUUAUCCUGCAAAUGAAAAAGCUCUAAGCAAGUACUUUUUCCCUCAAAAGUAAACGACUGCAGCAUCAUACUCGAAGAAUAUGGUCACAUCCAACAGUUCGUAUCCGAAUUCUGACGAGGUGAAAAUAUAGACACACGCAAUGGAGAAGGCCUGAGUGCUUGGACAUACUGACGACACGAGCGAAAAUUGCAAGAAUCCAGCAGAAGAUGCUCAGUAAAACAAACAGGCAUCGCACAAAUAUACAUGUGGGUUGUAGUACUGCACAAAAAUAUACAUAGAAAACAAUAAAACGCUUAGAUUUGAAUGUUUGAAACCAAUGUAACAAAAGGAGAACGAACAGCAGCGCCUUGCAGCUGUGCUGAGAUGAGAUAACCCAUGUGUUGUUGCAGGGGAGCCCAACCAAAACGCCCUCUUCCCAGCAGCUGAGCUGACAUAACCCAUGUGUGUCAGUGCUGCUGCAGAUGGAUCCGUGGUGGUUGCUGCCAAGGCAAGCAGGCAAGCCAUCGGAUCAGUCCCAUGUUCUUGGCAUCAGAACACCAUCGCCCCUCUUUGCUUACGUUCGGCUGAAGUUCAAUGCUCUGUUUGGUCCAUAUUAAUUCGCUGAUUUAGUAUGAAGUUGUACUAUCAGCCACAACCGUAUGGAUCGGAGGGAGCGGUACUAUCUAUACAGGAAGCAUUACCACCAGUUUUUUCUUAAAAAUUUGGUUGUUUCACAAGUGGAUUUUGAGAUUUUGCUUAGAUAAGGUGUCUGCCUGGAGUUGUUGUGCAAAAAAAAAAAAAAUUCUAUUCCAAAACUUUAUCACAAAUGGGUAUGAAGACCACAGAUCGAUCUCCGUUUUAGAAGGGACUCUUGGGAAUGAGAUGGUCUUUCUUUCUAUGCGUGUCUAUUCACUGUUAACGAUGGUAUGAGAGUUUGUUUUCAUGAGGACACGUGGUUGGGUUCUUCUCAUUUAAAGGAUCAAUUUCUGUCUUUUAUCGAAUUACGCUCAAUCGACGGGUUUCACUGGUCCAUGUUUAGUCGAGGCCCCUCCUAAUAUUGCCUUUAGGAGGACUAUCGUUGGCGCAAGAUUGACAACUUGGAAUAAGUUAUGUGCUAACUUGGCUUCUUUGCAUUCCAAUGACCAACCCAAUGCGUUUUGGGUCUUACUACAUGGGUUGGCUCGCCAUGAAAUCCUUAUGUAAGACAUUAAUCAUUUUGAAUUGCCAAUUUCACCAUAAUGUCAUUUGGAAGCUUAAAUGUUCAUGCUAAGAUAAAAAAUAUAUUUGCCUGGUAUCUUUAUAGAGGGGUGGUGACAAUGUGAUCGAACCCUAAACCCUCAUCCUAUGGGAAUGGUAGUUUCCCUCAUUUCGUUUAUGAUGUCUCCGAAAAUCACUACUUGCCCUGUAAAUUUUGUAAAAAAAACACAUAAAUAUUUUCUGUCUAUACAUAAAUCACAAAUGGACACAUGACAAAUCAUGUAAAUUAUAAACGUCUUUUGUACAAUAACUCGUCUUGUGAUUUCCACAAGGCUUCCAAAUGAUCAUAUUCAUGGCAAAAGUUACAUAUAGGCACAAUUUUACCAAUGCCUAAUGCAAUAUCAAAAGACCACAUUUCCACAGAAAACGUUAAAAAAACAACGAGAAAACAUGUGCUUGGCUUCGGCGUGACCUUGUGUUUUCCUGAACGCUGACCAUGAGAAACUCUGAACACCUUAUCAUUCAACUCCAUGCAUGAUUACAACAACAACGUGAAGCUGUGAACCCAAGAAAAGAAAAAUCAAACAAACGCCAGGAAAGGUAAACCCAGCUCCCAACUUUCAGACAAACUAAAGCCGGCUGCACCAAACAUUCUAUCCAUCACACACGCACACACACGGCCCCUACAGCAAAAAGCUCUGAACCCACAGCACAGCAGCGAGAGAUAGAGUUUAAUGAGGCGCUGAGCACGCAUGCACGGGCACGGACGGACGGGCAUGCAUUGCAAAGUCAGUCAGGCAGGCUGCAAGAACAGUUUUAAGGCAGGGAAGAGGGAGAGAGCAUCGAGCACCGCGCCGAUCGUAAAAGAAGGAAAAACAAAGGCGCAGGAGCGUGAAAUGCAGUAAAAAAGGGGUCGGAUCAUCGGAGCCCGCCGUGUAAUCGCAAUCGAACGCCGUGGUACGAAGAGAUUCCGGGGCGCUUUCUUAUCAGGAAAACCGAUGGAUUCGCGGGCAACGGGCAUGCAUUGCUGCAGCGUGGUGUCAUUUCUCUGGUGCGUGGGAGUGCACGUGAGAGUACUGGUAUUUUCUUAGAAAAAGAGAAAAUAUCAAGUGUAUAUAUACAAGAUGGGAUGGCAGAGAGACACAGCUGAGUAACAUAAUGAGAGGCCGGCCGUAUAUAUGAAGAGAAGCUAGUGAAAAAAAUUGGAGGGAAAAGCCGGACCGCUAUACUCUCCUUCUGGCACGACAGCUUCUUUGCUUUCGAGACAUCUUUUCACUUUCCGCUCCUACAGUGCCAAUGCAGUGGCAGUCGUAGUACACUUUGGAUUGUUGCUGUGCUGGCAUGCAAACAUAGAACACGCGCAAGUACGCACUACUCAUCAGAGGUUUUAAAAUUUUCCUGAGUUUGCAGGGUAUCCCAUGCCACUAUAGCAGCAGCAGAGAUGGAGGGAUCAUGAUAUUGAUCAAGACGUGGAACUGAGCACGCAUUUACUCUUUUUUUCUUGACCACAUCACAUCAGAUCAGCUCAUUGGCCAUGUCAAGCUAGAGAGUAGAAGAAAAAGGGCAAGAAAAGCAGGAGGGGUUGUUGCCUUGUUCCCAUCUCAUCUCAUCCCAUCUCCCCUGGGUACCUACGUGCAUGCAUCUAGUAGGACAUAAAACCCUAUGGUUCCCCUGUCAGAAGACAGGGACAAGUCCAUGUCCAUGUCCUCCUGGUGGAGAAGAAAACACGAGAAACACAUCCAAGAAGAAUAAUCAAAGGACAAACACCGCUAGCUUUAGCUUAGCUUAGUAGUGGUACUAACUUUGAUGGUGCCUAUUUGGCCCCUAGGGCUUAGGUUAGGAGAGUGAUGAGUGCUAGUAGCUACGAGGACACAUGAUGAUCCUCUCCACUCCUAUAGUCCUAUCUUUGUGUGCAAGAGCCUCUCAUCAGGGAUGCAUGGCAUCUGUGCAUGCAUGUGAACCCUUCCACGGCAAAGAAGGACAAGGGGCAGUUGCCACUAACCCCAUUCCAGCCAAUCAAGAGAAAGUCCAUUUAACCAUCAUCUGAUCGGAGCGGCAAUAAAACGAAAACAAAAUCAUACGCCAUCCGUUCAGAAAAGUAUGUCUCAAAUUUGAUUUGUCAAAAUUUGAAUGUAUUGAGACACCAUUUAGUGUAUAUAUACAACUAAAUUUAGAUAAAUUUGCGAUAUCUUUUUUUUGACAGAGGAAUACACGACCCCAUGAACGUUCAUAAAACGGCAUGCAGAAAAAGCAAUUAAAUCACAGGCCAAGGACCAAAAAACAAAUUUCUUCAAGCUGUGUUGGCCGUGCCUGUGGGAAAAAAUCAGAAAGAUUUUGUGAUCCUCGAUCGUGUUCCAUAAUUAUGAUGCAGCAUGGCAGCAGCGAUUCGCACACCCAUAGCAUCACAGAUCUUUGCUAGUACUUGGAUAAAACCGUACACAUACAAAAGAAAGAAAUGAAAUGAAAAAUGGAGACAGAUCGAGGAGGACCACGCGAGGAAUUGCUCUCCGAUCCUCUCUUUCAUCCCCAAGUCUCAGAAGGAUGUUUUCUCAUUAAGUUAUUGCUCACUCAGUAGCUGGCCCUGGCGCCGAGAAGAGAUCAUCAGCUCAGCUCCGUCCGUGCCAGCCCCAGGGACAAGUGUAGCCAGCGAUUGUUGCAGGUUUUGCAGCAGAGGGUAGUAGUACUGGUUGCGUGGCUGUGGGCCCGUGGGUGGGCCAAUGGUUACCAAGAAAUACAGUGCUCCUUUCGUUUUUAAAAUAUAAAACGUUGUAGUUUUAUUCUAGGUAAAAAAAAGUGUGAUGGUUUAUAGAAAAAUAUACUAACAUCAAUAAAUUUAAAAUGGUUUUAUUACAUUUUUCAUUGUAUGCUCCAUCCGAUAUUAGUUCCUUGAACUAAAACCACGACAAGAAUUUACGAUCGAAGUGAGUUUCUUAAUAUUUUUAUCGGAUAUUAUAUAUUUUACUAUAUUUUUUCUAUAAAUUUGCAAUGAACACAUAUUACUUACGCCAAAUUAAGUUAGAGCAUCUUGUAUUUAGGAGCGGAGGUAAUAAUUUUUUUGUGAGCAUAGUGUUGUACUGUUUUGCAUUAAUCACGUGAUUAGAAACGAUUUAAUCAAAUUAGGUUCCGUUAAAUGGCUUAUCGUCCUGUUGAUGAUUUAUUUCCUUUGGGCUAUGGCGCCGCUACUUGACUACUUAAUUCGAGUGUUGUUUUGCACCGAUCGUAUGGUUAGCAACAUAGGUUUAUUUAUUACUAGCUCCUUGAAAUAUUUUGUUCUAUUAUAUCUUUGACCAUUGGCUAACAUGGGUUGUCUCGUGCUAUGCUAUUGCGCUAUUUGAUUGAUUUCGUUGUGUCAAUAGCAACAUUUUUUGGACAAAAAAAUGCAUUCUUAUUGAAAUCCUCUUGUCUAUCAAUCGGCUGCGGUUCAGGUCAAAUUAAGAUACAAUGACCGGAGAAACAUGAGAGUGUAGUGGAAGGAAGCAAGAAGUUGAGCAAUGUUGAUUUACUCCCUUUGUUUCACAGUGUAAGAUGUUCUAACUCUGUCCUAAGUCAAAAUUUUAAAGUUUGACUAAGUUUUUAGACAAAUGUACCAACAUCUACAAAUCUCAGUUCGGUAUAUAAAAUUUGUUAUGAUAUAUUUCUUCAUAGUAUACUUAUUAGAUGUAUAGAUACUAGAUAUUUUCCAUAUUCUGAAGCACGGAGUAGUUCCAUCAACUACCGACUUGUUUUUUUGUGUCUUUUUUUCAACUCUUGGAACUUUAAAAUAAUUUUGGUAUUCUAUUUUCGGAGGCAGAGGUCGAAGGGGUAAAUCUCUUUCAUUAUCUUAGAAGACACAUGGCCGACCCCAUACGCAUGAUCUUGGCCUAACAUGAUACAAGUUGCCAUGAACAUGACUCGACGACUUAUCGAUCUUGCAUACUUUGUGAAUUUUUAUCUGCUCAAGGCACCAUUGAUUCCAAUAGAACACAUGAUCACAAAACAAGCUCAAGAAGCAUGCAACGGGAACACAAUAUAUUAAAAGAUAACCUCCUCGACUUAUUUCCCCAAAUACGUGCCCAGGUGAUUCUGGUGACACUUACAUGCAUAGAAGAAAUCAUUUAAACUUUGAAUGGUUUAUAGUGACAAGUUAUCAAAGUGAUUGAAAAUUAGUUCUGAAACAGAAAAAUCAUUUAAACUUGAAUAAUAUCCUUAUAAAUAUGCAAGAUUGACAAAAAUGUAAUCAAAGAAAAACAAGAGAUAGGGAAUAGGUUUCUUUUCUAUCAUUUUAAAAGUUAAGCAACUUUUAGUGGGUUUUCCGGAGUUCAAAGAACAAUUUUGAGUUUUAAAAAUAAUCAUAUUUAUCAAUAUUUUUAUUUUACAAAUAUUUCUUAAUAUCUUGGAUAAUAAAAUCUAGGUCUUCAAUUUCUUUGCUGAUUUUUCACUUUACUAUAUGUUUGUGUGGCUGAAACCACAUUCUAUAUGCACGUUCUUAGUGAAAUGGCAUUAAAAACCGCCCCUCGGGCUAUUAAUCUGGCCAUUACUUUGACAAAUAUUUGAUAUUUUUGUUAUUGAAGGGUAAAUUUUGUAUGAAUAGUUUAAUUUUCUCUCUAGCAAUGUUUGUGGGGUUACAUAUACCUUUAUUACGACAUAGAUCUGGCUUUAGUGAUUGAUGAAAGAACAUAUAAUAGAUCGACACAACCAAAACGAACAUAAACCACGAAAAUCCUUGAUAAAAUCAAAAGCUCCAUUAUGGUCAUUCAAAGUCAACGUAUCUGGAUUCACCUUUCGAAUCUUGAGGUUUCAUCAUUUAUUCGGUGACAAAAUUGUAUAAUACCAAGCCCGCGCAAGAUGGACUAAAUUCAUAAGUUUUUUAAAGGUCGCAUGAGUUGCCACCUCAGAAAGUGAAACUUAAGAUCGUUGGACGCGUCAUGGUCAAGGACACGCCGCUCGCAAGACAAGAUAUGAAACCGCUCCUACAUCGUUGAAUUGACAAGAAAAAAAUACGAAAAGAGAUCCGUAAGAACCACUGACUCCAUGGAGUAGGCCGUGACACCUACACCAGGCAAGGGCGGGACACAUUCACCAUCCUCAAGAACACACACACCUAACAAGAAAGGUAUGAAAAACUAGACUCCUGAUAUUGAUCCAUGGUUCCCCCCAAUCUCCCAACGCCAGUUCAGCCAUCAGAGACAAGGAAAACCGCCGGAAAUCAAACGAAGACCCAAAGAAAAACUUCCGAGGUCAGCAAGGAAUCUGAUGGGCCAGUUCCAUAUGACCCAUGUCAUGGUAGAUAUGGUCCAAGCCCACUGACUUUUCGUCUAAAAAGAAAUACUUACGAUGGAUGGCUUGUCAGAAAUUACACUAGAUCGAGAUGUAGGAGUACAUCGGUUGACUUGUUCUGCAGAUGGACGGGAAUCCUAACCCCCAACCGAUUCGAAUCUAGAGAAGGACGAGGGAGCGUUGGGUGCUGUAUGUGAUCCAAAGCAGCCCCGGGAGAAAAUUCCUUCUUCUAAAAAUAUAUACUCGUACAAGAAAUUGAUUACAGAAUACACUGUUAACUCUCUACAGUUUAUGUCCAACUCCUCCAGAAUUCAGUUUCACUACUCUGCUAAUAUAUUAAAAUUUACUUACGAAGUAUUACUAGAUAAUGAAUUGGCAAUCCAUUCCAGAAAUUACUCAAUCAGCAGGAGAGCAUUUAGCAGCACUUUUUCAGAAAGCCACACAAACUGAAGCAGUAGUCUCAUCAGAAAUCAGAACGAUCAUGUUUCUUCUGCCCUUGAUAAUUUACACGUACGGUACAUUCGGACUCUCGUACACUUUCCCGGUAAAAUUAACACAGCACAUCAUGCUGCAUUGCACGCACGCAUGCAGCUGAUCAUCGACAAGUCGACGGCAAUUGCGAUGAAGAGCUCACAGGCUGGGCGUCCUCUCGGCAGCUCCGGAGAUGACGGUGAGCAGGUUGUUGCCGAAGGGGUCGCUGAGGUGCGCAGAGAGGUUCUCAACGGGGCCCUCGCCAGUGACGUAUGCCUGGAUGAAGAAACCCAGCAUGGAGAACAUGGCUAGCCGGCCGUUCUUGAUCUCCUUCACCUUGAGCAGCGCCGCCUGGUCGGGGUCGCUGGCGAGGCCGAGCGGGUCGAAUGGGCCACCGGGGUGGAGCUUGUCCUCAAGAUCCUGCCGGAGAAAUUGAUGAAAACCGUUGGUCAGUACAAAGUUCCUAAUUGCAGCUCAACUUAUGUAUAUGUUUGAGGUGUUACUGUCACUGACAAGGCCGUUGAUGAUCCUGUAGUACUCGGCGCCUCCGACGAGGACAACCUCGGCGACGACGGCGAGGAUGAGGUUGAUGGGGAUGCUGUUGCCGAAGUAGUUGAGGGUGUUGCCGUCCAGGAGAAGAGCGCCGGUCUGCAUAUGUGUUUGUUCAUGGCACCGUGAGUUUAAACUUCAGAGUUCUGAAUCUGAAUCUGAAUGUGUGAAUACUGAUGAGCAAUUAC
rnacentral:lncRNA from 1 species